rnacentral:lncRNA from 1 species
AGACUAGAAUCUCCAUUUUCAAAUGCAUGUUUUGCAAAUAGGGACCAGCAGUCGUCAAAGGAUAACUGUCCCAAAUGAUGAAUACGGACUGAACGCAUGACUGAUGCAACCUUAUCACUACGUGUAGUUACAAUAAUCUUACUUCCAGGUAGGCCAACAGUGAAGGGAGUUUGUAGCCUAUCCCAAUUAUUAUAGUUUUCAUUCCAAACAUCAUCAAGGACAAGAAAGAAUUUCUUCCCGCUAAGUCUCUCCUUCAGUUUAAGUUGAAGCAGAUUCAAAUCAUUGUCAUCAGACGAAUUUUUAGAAGUCCCGGAAUCGAUUGCCUUAACAAUUGUUUUCGUUAUCCUGACAAGAUCAAAUUCGUCUGAAACACAAACCCAUGCUUUAAGGGCAAAGCAUUCCACCACUUUCCUAUCAUUAUAGACCACCUGAGCAAGUGUGGUCUUUCCAAUACCGCCCAUACCCACCAGGGCGAUCACACUUAUCUUAUUCCCACUUGCAUUAUGGGACAACAAAAAUUUAACUAUCUCCUCCUUAUCACCAUCCCUACCGCACACCCCAGACUCAUCUACCAAGGAAGUUGUCGGCCAUCUUUGUGAAAAUUUAUCUCCAACGCCUCUUUUCAACCCGAGAACAUCUUUUUUUUGUGCAAGAUAUUCUAGUGUGUCAGUGAUCUCCUCUACCCUGGACUCGAUCCCCUCACCAAAGAUGAUGUUUCGUACCUGAGUUUGAGAAUCAUACUCCAUCGUGCGUCGUAAAGCUUCAGUGGUGAUAUCAUCCACCAGGUCCUCCGCAUCAUACACUGCAUCUUUCAGCUCAUCGACCCAAUCUUUAACAGCUGAAUUCGUGAUUUGCUUGGCCUCGGCGUCAUUCAGCACUGCCUGAACUUCCAGCAAUUUCAUCUGCAACUUCCUUAGGAGCGUCUCACUGAGUUUCUGUCUCCGGAGGAAGGUGAGGACGUCGCGAGAAGCCAUCCGAUCAAAUAGAACUUGGAGAGAAGCCGAGAGAAGUGCUCCUCCUCCUGCUACAGACCCGGCCAUGUCUGUUGGUUUGCAAGGGAAGUGAAUACUGGAUCAGAGAAGAAUGAAAGAAAGCAGAUGCAAAGCAACGAGGAAGAGUUUGACCCUUAGAAGAAAGAGGUAGAUGAAGACGGUGGCCUAUCAACUAAUGCCAAAUGUACAGAUGAAUAUGGGUUGCAAUUUGGUCCCUGCCUUAUAAAUAAAUAAGAAAAUAUUCAUAAACCUUUUCAAUAUUUAAUUUCUAGGAUCCAUAAUCCACUUAGUAAACUCAACAACAGGCUUUUGGACCGAUAAUAAAAUUAUUGAUUUUAGGCUUUCUAGAUGCUUCAAAUGUUGAAAAGGUCUUCCCUUCAAUAGUGUAUAACAUUAAGAGACCUUUGAAUAGUUUAUGAUAUUGACAAAAUCACCCAUCUCAGUUGUAAAAUAUUGAAAAGAGACCCUUGAAUGUCUGCCACAAAAAUUAUAUCAUGAAGUGUUUUCGAACUUUUUAAUACUUUAAAAAUUAUAUCAUUUUUAAGUGUUAGAAAUGCUAUGAAGGUUCUCUAAAAUUACUAUCAAACGCACUCUUAUUGGAUAAUAUGCAAUUUUCUUGAUGAGAUUGGCCUACCUUGGGAAAAGAGAGGCAUCUCUCCUACUUCCAAAAAAAGAGAAGAAAAAAACAGAAUGAAAAAGUGUGAAUUUCCACACUUUUCCUAAAUUAUAUUAAUAUCAAAAUAAAUGAUUUAUUAAGAUUUUUUUAUUAAAAAAAUUAGAUAAAUAAAAAAAUCCUCGCUAAAGGCACUAGAUAAAUUAAAUUUUAUCCAACUCUAGCUAUAAUAUAAAUUCUUAUGCCAAUGUAUAUAUGCUUGUCAUAUAUAUCUUUAUCUAUUUUUUUAAUAGAAAAUCUUACUUGAAUAGCCUAGUUAUUUGAUAUUUGAACAUAAUAUUAGGUUGACAUUGCUUUAGAAAAGACUUGGUUGUUAUAUUGAGACUCAAAUGUUAUAAUUUACUUCAUUUUUUUUUUUUCCUUUUUACUAGAAAGAGUAAAACAUAAAAGCAAAAGUGAAAAAGAAAUGCUAGAGGAGUGCACUUUAUUUAUAUAUUUUUAAAACUGAAGUUGAAACAUAAAGCAAAAAAAGAAACAAAAAAAUAAAAGGGUGGGGAGUAUUGCCACGCUGCUCCUGUCAUUUAUUCGAUUUUUGAUAAUUUUAUAGUAAAUAAAAAAUCAUUUAUAAAAGGUGGUAGUUUUAAAACUAUUGACAACAUUAUACUCCUUUAUAUCAUAUAAGCUUACCAAAACCAUUAUAUCACAACUUAUCUUAAAAUCGUGUCUUGAAGAUAUGAUGUCAAUACAUUAUCUUAAAAUCGUGUUUUCAGGACAUGAUUUUAAUGUAAUAUUUUGAAAUUAUUUCUUGAAGAUAGGAUUCAGUGUAUUAUCAAGAAAUCGUGAAUUUAAGAUUUUUUUUCUUUUAUCUAAUUUUUAUAAUAUAUAUUUUUUAUAUAAAUUACUUUAUUUCUUUUUCAUGUUUUUUUUAAUUGUUUUUUCUAUCUUUAUUGAAAUCAUAUAUUAUUAUUACUAUUAUAUUAUUUUUUAUUUUAAUGCAUUACCAUUACAUUAAAAUUGUAUUUUCAAAUCACAACUUCAACAAAAUAUACUUCAAAUGCACUAAAAUCCUGCCUUUAAAUCACAGUUUUAGCAAAAUACAAUAAAAAUAUGUGAGGAGUCUUAGUGUCAUAAAUUGUCAUAGAUUUAAAAACAUUUUUGAAAGUUUUAUGUUUUGAAAAUUAUUUUUUAAAAUUAUGGUAUUUUAAAAAAAAACCUUGUCAUUUACCUAUGAUGUCACUCUUCAAUAGAGCAAAAAGGAAAGGAAAAGGGAACACACACCUUAAUUGAGUCAACUCAUGCCGUUGGGACAAUCCAAAGUUUUAGUUGAAGUAAUUUUAGUGAUCACCAUGUAAAAAUAACUUGAGCAAAGCAUAUAACAAAGAAGCAAUUUCUGUGUGAAUAAAAAUAAAUUCAUUUCUAUGCAAGAUCAGAAAGUUCAACAAGGGACUAGAAGAUAAUAACACAUUUCUCAAACAACCAAAUUGGAGUCUCGCUCAGUAUAAAACUUAAGCAAUGGCAAAUCUUCGUCAUGGGACUUCUCCAAAGAUUCAAAAUAUUAAUAACACAUUAUGUUUUAGGGAAUAUAAUGUUUUAGGAAUUAGAUACAUUCAUGGUUUAAUAUAAUGUUUUCAUAAUUGGAUUGGUCAUUAAAUAAAAAAAAUUAUCGAUUUAUGAUUUAUUAGUUAGAUUGAUAGUUCAACCACAAUCAAAUUAUGUUGAUAUCAUAAUAUAAAAUUUUAAAAUAAUUACUAAAUUUUUUUAUGUUUAUUUAAUAGUAUAAAUAUAUAAUAUUUAUGAUUUACUAUUUAAAAGAUAUAUUAUAGCAUAAAAUCAAAUUUUAUUCAAUAUAUUAUACCAUUCUAUCAUCUUAAAAAAUAUUAAAUUUGUAUUAUUACAUAAAUAUUUAUAUUUAUUUCAAUUUUUUUUUAAAAUAACAUAUGAAUAUACAUUCAAAAUAAUUGUUUAUGUCAUUCUUUACCACUCUUCUCCUAUCAAAAUUUUCUUAUGAAAAAAAAGAAAAAGAAAAAGAGAGGAGUUUUGGUUCAUUUUCAACACCCUUUUCAUAGAAAAAUAUAAAAAGAUAAUUUUUAAACCACAAUGGAAGUUUUUAGAUUCUUUUAGUUUAGUUUUUUAUAUUAUAAUUUAAUAAUUUAAACUUUUGAAUCAAUUGAUAACUUAACACAUGACAAAUCUUAGUGGAUUUAGAGUAUGAGUUUAUCUUAAUUGCUGAUUCUAGGUUAAUUUGUUGCAGCCAAAUCCCAACUUAGAAUAAUAACUAAAGACAAAUUUCAUAAAAAUAAUGUGGUGAUCGAGUGUUAAACCUUAAGAAAUUUCAACUUAGAAUAAUGAUUAAAGGCUAAUUUCAUAAAAGUAAUGUGAUGAGUGUUAAACGUUAAGGGGGCUUUAGUUGCAUCAGGAAUUACAUUUGAUUGAAAUCAAUGUCCUUUGGGAAUUUUUUCUAACAAUGAUAUUGUAGACCCCCACUUUGGGAGGUAAUUGUUGUGGCAAAUUUUGCCAGGUGGAGCAACUUUAGGAGGCCGCGUGGUGCCUCUUGACAGGCUGCUGAAGGAUCAAGUAGUGGAUUUGAGAGGCAAACCAGGUGGUGACACCUGUAAAGUGAUUCUUCAGGCAGUUAUGAGAUAUUUUUGAGGACUGCCAGCUGCAUGGAGGUUAGAGGAGCAGAGGCUGCCAGCUGCAUGGGGGUAGUGGAGGCUUGCGGCUGCAGGAAAGAGGUGCUUUUCAGAGCUGGUGAGGAUACCAGAGAGAGGGGGGUUUUUGAGAGGGAAAAAGGAGAAGAGAGUGAGGGUAUUCCGGGAUUUGAGGCGGCGACGGAGGGAAGGCUUAGAGGAGAUUAGCUAGAAAAGAAGGGAGCUUGAAGGAGAAAACGAGAGGGGUCUGAAAAGAGUGAGCAGAAAGCAAGUGGUAUUAUCCUCGGUUGAGGACUCAGGUAUGGCCAUGAUGGGCACUUUCACUCUGUAUUUUUUUUGUUGUUUUUCUGUUUUUCCUCGUUUGAUAUCAUCGAUCUGAGGCAUGGCUGGAUGGAUUUUGUUCAUAUAUUUGAUUUGCUUUGUCUUUUCUCUGGUUUCUCUGUUUCUUUCUCAAAUAACUGGGGUAUGGUUUGCUUUCUUUGAGUUUGAUGUUUGCUCAAAUAUCUAAAAGCUUACUUCUCGUUCCACCAACUGACAUUUCGUUCAUCACUCAUGAAACGAAAUAGUGCUUGAUAAUUUCUUGAGUCUCUCAUCUUUACUCUGUUUUAGCUAUUUCAUCCCUUAUACUUUUAUGCUCGCGUAUGCUUAGCUAUGAAAAUGCUUUGGACUGUGUAUCAUCCUUUGAGAAAACUUUGGCUGCUCCUAAUCUGGAGGAUGGUGGUCACUCGAAUUUAUUUGGGCUGCAAAUAAGGGUUUUGGUUGGCAUGGUCAUUGAUUUUCCUAUGAGCCCGUGUCCAGGACUGUGAGAGAUGAGAUUUGGGUCUGUCUACAAACUCCUACAAGGGAAAGAGUGAAGGAAAACGAACUUGAGAAAGAAAUAGAGCGAGCAAAGCUAUCCUCGAACGACGCCGGCGGCAAAGCCGCCGGCGGCGAAACGCCUCCACCAUCACCAGAACGCCAAACAACCAUUGAAGCUCUUUCACUUUCCUUCUCCUCUGAUGACCUCUGCAGCAUAUGCCUUGAUAGAGGAGAACCAUGAUGUAUUCUGGAGCUUCUUGGGUUUUAUGAGGAGAGCUCGGAGUAUAUUCAUGUUGACGGAAGGAAGGUAUUCAUUUGGAUAACAGAUUUAAUGGGACAAGUGAUCUAUGGGACGUAAUGAACUCCUCUACCGGCGUUUAUUUUCCCGUGGGCGCCGGAACUGCAUCUUCGUCAGUUGGAGGCCUCGACAAUUGACCUGAACGAAUACGACUGCGAGAGUGAGGGAUGUCUUGAAGCAUUGGUAGGAGAGGUGGCGGCAAAGGCAGCUCCUCUGCGAAGUUCAUCGAAGAGAAGCAGGGCUGCCGAGGUCCAUAAUUCGUCUGAAAAGAGGAGUGAUGGCGGCGGUGGCCGAGGCUGCUGUAGCGUCGACAUAAGUAGCAGCGAAGAUGGGGAAGCCUUGGACGGGUUCUCUACCAGAAGCCGCAGAGGCAUUUCGGUGCUGAAAAGGACACGUCAGAAUGCAGAUCUUGAUCUCGAUUCCGACGAUGACAUUGGCUGCUGCUUCUGUCAACACAACCACAAAGCUUCUGUCAAUGAAUAAUGGUUUGGUUGAUGGAGUUAUCUCAUGAGUUGGCACAAAAUUGUGACCGUUCAACCCUUGAGCAUAUUCUUGCUAUGUUUCCAAGUGCGUCACUCAUUGGGAAUGACCCAUGUGUGCAUAGGGUGGCUGUUCCAGUUGGCUCUAUGCUUGCUGCACCAGGAACUCCACGCAGACCAGUGAAUGGCCAACUGCAAGCCCAAAACCAAGGUCCCCACCUCCAACAGAGUAGAUCAGAAGAAAUGGUCUUGGCGAAACCAUUGACUUGACUGAAAUAUUGCGAAUGAAGUCACAAGAAUUGGUUCCUAGGAUUUGUGGAGAAGUUCUUGGAUACCGAUGUGGACAUCUCGGCAUCAUCCGAUGAUGGUCAGAUAACAGGGCUCCACUAGGGCAGAACACGAUUAUUCUCUGGGGUCCUGAGAAUUCUAGCGAAGCAGUAAAACACUUUGAGAAAGCUCCUGAUUGUGCCACACAGCCAUACCAAACUUUAUGUGCGGUCAAAGGUAUGUAAGUUUGAAAGAACAAGGGGUUAAGCUAGAGCAGGGGCUUCAGAUGCUCCAAGUCUUUAAGGAACACUCCAUCAAUACAUGUGUCUUGGAAGAUUUUGCAUUUUAUGAGUCUCGCCAGAAAACAAUUCAGAGGAAAAAGGCUAAACAGCAGUAGUUUCAGAAGUAGGUAUGAAAAGAGAAACGACAGAAUGAGCACCCCUUCAGAAUGGCUCCAUCCCUGCUGCAUGGCUUGCAUGGCCAUUUUGGGCAUGCAACUUUAGGUUGCGUGUCUUUCCUCAUUUUUUUUUCAUUAUCAUUAUUUUCUCAUUUCAGAGUUUUAAAAUAAUUCCUUGCAUUCCCAUUUUUUAUAUAAUUCCCCGGAUUCUAGUUUUCUUUCUAAUUUUCCAAAUUCCAUUUUUAUCAAAGGAUUUAUUUUAUUUAUCUUUAAUUUUCAUCUUUAGGUUUUUCUUUUAGAAUCAUUCAAAAUCUCAUUUCCAAUAAAAUUUGCCGCCAAUUUUCUUCGGCAUGCAAUUUUUACAACUUCCAUGAAUUUUUAAAAAUAUUUUAAAAUGCUUUGAAAUAAGUAAGAAUUAAAUUCCGUAAUUCCAAUUAAUGGAACUUAUGAAAUUAAUUCAUGCAAUAUAAAACGGGCUUUGGUGGGGGCCCCACAUAUGUGAAUUGACGAUUGAUUGAUUGUUUGAUUGAUUUACUUAUCGUGCGUGUUUGAUUUAUUUUGUUCCAUGAUAUGCGCUUAAUUAUAUCUUGUUCAUUGCUCACUAACCCUGUUUCAUGAUAGCGCAUUCAAGAUUGCCGCCCAGGUACGCAUCUAUUCGUAUUUUGCUCAUUCUUUAUACAUGAUUUGCUUCUCAUAUUGUGCAUGAUCGAUUUGAGUAUUCAUCGAUUCCCUCAUUGAUUGCCACGUCAGCUUCAGUCUAUUAGUAGAGACCCGACUUUAGGGACUUAGAGGGGUGCUACGGUCUUUACCGUACCUUCCCGAUAAGUAACCUGACCCCCGAACCCUAUCCGGUUUUUCACAGACCGCCUUUUCCAAAAUAAGGAGUCACACUUAGGGUUUUUUUUUCUUAUUUUGUUUACCCUUUAAAAAUAAAACAAAAAUAAGUGGCGACUCCAAGUCAUUUUUUUUCUUAAUCAAUAAAAAUCAAAUUUUUAAAAAAAUAAAAAUCGAGCUCACUAUCGAGUGGGAAACGCAUUCGAGCAUGAGUCGAAAUGCGGGGUCCACAGAUAUGUUAUUUGUCGAUAGAGUCAAUUAUAACUCCUAAAGCACUUGAGUUACCUGAUCUUAUAAAGACUUGAAGUUAUUAUUAAUAAGCUUAAUAUUGAUUUUCUUAAUAUUUGAAUGAAGAUUGAUGAUUCGAUUAUCGGUUUGACCAUAUAUUUAAUUGAAGGAUGUGUUUUCUUGGGUGAUUAGCAUGUUAAACUAACUGUAAAUUAGUUUAAAAGUGGUUAAUAAUAGUGGAAUUUCUCUGUAAUAGCAAUAGCACUUAAGCUGACAGAUUAUUUAGCUAUAAAUUAGUUUAAAUGUGUUUGACAAUAGUGAAUUUUUUUUGUAACAACAGUUGCACUUAAGUUGGCAGAUUAUUCAAUUGCUUGCUUAAUUUUUGUGUGAUUGGAAGUUCAACCAUUCUUCUUUAUCUUACUUGGCUAAUAUGGAAGUCAUUUGUCAUCUCUAGAUUUAAUUAAAAGGGGUUGGAACAGGUGUGAGGAGAGGGUGAGUUCAAGACACUUCGAAUGACAAGUUGUAUGACAUGUGGUAGUAGUUAGAGAUGGGUAAGUUGCUAGCCAGAAGAUUUAAUUUUAAUAGGUUGUAUUAACUGACAAAAAAAAUUCUAAAAACUGAGAGCUACUCUUGAAAGUGAAAAAACCAAAGGAGACAAAAACAAAAAACUGAGAAAUUAAAUGAGUAGAGAAGUUGCUAUUGAAAACUCUAAUUUUUCUUUUUAUGGAUUUGAAAAUUAAAUUGUUUAUUGAUAUUUUGGUUAAUGUUUUGAGGUGUGAAAUUAAUUAACAUGUUGAAUUAUGGAUGUGCGCAGAAAUUCUAAGCAUAUAUAAUGACUAAAUGCAAAGUAUGUUGAUUGAAAUGUUAAGAAUUUAUUGCUCGUUAUUGUGAUAUAAUUUGUUAUGUGUAAUAGGCUUUGUUUUGCUGGAAACUAACUUGGAUAUGUAGUAUGAGAAACAUGAAGAAUGUUGAAGGCAUUAUGAAUUCAAAAUCAUGGCACCAUGAUAGGUUUACAUUAUGGAAAAUAAUGGGAGAAAUGGUCCCUGGAUGAGUGUCCCUAAAAGAAGGAUAAAGUACCAUAAGGUGAAAGACCCAAGACAUACCUUGAGAAGAUCCACGAGGGGAUAGAAUAGCGGGUAUAAAUAUAUGUCCUUGAAUAAGAGUUCUUAAAAUAUAGAUAUUCAUGAUUGAAAACAAAGAAAAUGCUAGUUGCUGAGGUACAUGAAAGUCUCAUGAAAGGUAUAUGAUAAGUUGAAAAUGAUUUGGUGUGAAAAUGUUAUAUAUACACCUUCAGGUUGGUCCAAAAAUCAGUUUAAAGAAAAUAAUGAUGAUAGCUUAGCAGAGAAGUGUAUUUAUAACUAAAAGGUUUAUUCAACAAUCAUUUAAUAUUUGUUUUAACACAAUAGAAUUCAUUUGGAAAUAUGAAAUUUCACUAAUAUAUAUAUAUCUUGAGAAUUAUUUUAUGAAGUUCGAAAAUAUUUUGUAACUAUGGUUAUUGUGGAUUUCUAAUGUAUUUGGAAUGCUCUUUGCUAGUUAGUUGUUGUACAUGAAAGGAAUAGAGAAUCAUGCUCAUAACUCUAUAAAAAUAACUGUUUCCUAAAAGAACUUGAUGAAGGUUUUUUUUUUUGGAUAUGUACAAAUUUGAUCUUGAUUAUAAAUCUAAGUUUUUAGUUGUAAAUAAGUUUUUAAAGUUUAAAAUUAUUCAUUAGAGUUUAGAAAUGAUUUUCAAAUAUUUUGGCAUAAAAAAAUGAAGAAAAUAAGAAAAAUGGGAAACUUCUAAGGUAUGACAGAAGUGCUGAUUACAACAAGUUGAGCUCUGAUAAGUAAAGGAACAACAUGCUAAAGUGAUCAAGAUUUUUCUAUCUGAAGGUGCACAAGAUUUAUUUAAAGGGUGAGGUGUGCAACUUAAGUGGUGGUUCACAAGAUUUGUUUAAAGCAUAAGAUGCACAACUUAAGUAGUAGUGUGCAAAAUGCGUUUAAAAGGUAAGGUGUGCAAGACUUAUGUUAAAGUGAAUACUGUGCAACAAAAAUGGUGCAUCUCUUAGUGCAGUUGGUGUUCGUCUCAACUUACUCAACCAUCUUGACUUUAACACCUCAACAAAGUCGUAUACUCAACAUUAUAUUUACGUUAUGUCAACUUCAUAUAUUAUUUUUUCAUUUAUAUCUCCAUUUACUUUAAGUUUGCAAUGUAAGUAACAAAAUACCCUCAAUUUUGAAUUUAAUAAAAAUACUUUGAAAACCUAAUUCCAAGUAAAUCAAAAUAUGAUUUUUAAAUUUUAGUUAUAAAUUGAUAGUUUUUAUUAAAUUUCUUAGGAAAAAAAAAAAGUUUGCCGAAGUAAAAUUAUCAAAGAUAAAAAUCUAGAAAUAUUAUUUUGAGUAUUACUAACAUGAAAAUAACAAAAUCCGUCACUUUUUAUCUUCAAUUAUGAAAAUUUUAAAAAUGAAUUAUUUCACAUACUAGGUGGAAUUUCUAAUAAAACAUGUAGUAUGUAUUUGAAAACUCCCCAUCCAUUGGACCACAUAUCUAUAUUAAAAAAAAAAAAAAAGAGGAAAAGUUCAUUAGGCAAGUUACAUUAAGUUGACAAUUUAGUUUCAUUCAUCUUGGUUUAAGACUUUUCAUUCUUACCUAUGAUUUGCAUUCUUUUGAGAUUGAGGUUGCUACAAAAUCAACUUGAGAUUAAACAUGUAUGGUUGAGUUAUUUGAGAAUAAUGACAUAAAAGAUAUAUAAUAGACUUAUGAAAAUUAGAAAUACAAUUAAUUUGGAAAAAUUUAAAAAGAAAAAUCUUUCCAAAUAAUAAAAAUAAUUUGGAAAGGAAUUUAAAUUGAGAAUUUAAAAAAGAAAAUCUUUCCAAAUCUUUAAAGGAAUUUGGAAAAGAAUUUUAAAUUAAGAAUGUUAAAGGAAAAUCUUUCCAAAUAUUUUUUUAAUUUAAAAUAUGCAAUAUUUCCAAAUCUUUUUAAAAUUCUGAAGUUUCUAAAUUGUUUUUGCUAAAAUAUGACUUUUAAAUUGAUUCUAAGUCCACUUGAUUUUAUAUAUAUGCCUAUUGUGAGAGUUUUUUGAAAAGUGAAUGAAACUAAACUUUAAGUCAUUAGUUUUUACGUUUAACCCAAAACUCUCGGAUAUGCUUGGCUUUCCAUUUGUUGGGUUGUAAAGGAGAUCUACAUCUCCUUAGGCCCAGAGAUAAGAUCCAUUGGAGCACAUGAGGUGCUGCAUCACAGGCGUGGAUUAUAGUAUAAGUCUUAGAGAGUAAAUCUAAGGGUAGUAUCUGCUAAAUAAUUCUAUGUACUACUUUCUCAUAUAGUAGAUUGUUGAUUCGAGGUCCUGACCCCAUGGUUUUUACAUCUGCAUGUCGUGUGGGUGGUUUCCACGUAAAUACUAUGUGUUUGUGUGGAAUGUCUUUAAGCUUUCCUAAAUUGAAAAAUGGUUGUCACAUAAUUAAAAAAAAUUAAUUUUUUGGACCAAAAAGUUUAAACACUUAUUCAUCCUACUAGGUAUUUCAUAAGCAAGAUUUACAAACUUUCAACUAUUAUUACUUAAAAUAAUUAAUAUGUAAUAAUAAAUAAAUAAGUAUUUAAAAAAAAACUUCUACUUGUUACAUGUACAAUAGAACUAGAAUUUUUUAACAUGAAAAAUAAAAGAUUAGCAUUUUAUAUGACAAACAUUAUAGCAUAUCAUUAAUUCACAUUUCAAAUCAUGGAUUAAUCCUUGAAUAUUAUAAUUAAACCAUAAUUUUAGAAUUUGGGAUGUGACAAACCUCUUAGUUGCUUUUAGUCAUAAUACUUAUGGAAAAAAUAAAGCAAGGUGUUGGUAAAAAAUUAGGUCUCAAAUAAUGGGAUAAGGAAGUUGGCCAAGCCCAAAACAAACAAACAAACAGCGAUAGGAAAAGUGAGAGAUGACACUUAUAGAAUUAGGCUGAGGCAUGAUAAUCAUUGUUCUUAAAGUAGAUCUACCCUCUUUGGGUAUCAAAAUGCAGUGCAAAAGGGAACCGACAACCUACCUCCAAGAUUCAACAACCAAAAAACUUUGCUUUUGGUGCACACUUUGAGCAAGUAGUAAUGUAGCUCAAACUGAUAUUCCUUUAGACGAAAUGAUGAAGAGAACGUUUGUUUGUUUGUUUUUUUUUAAUAAAACUAGUAGUGUUCGGGUAGGGUGCCUUCAUUAAGAAAAUUGCAUCGAGAAACUGAGGUUGCAAUUCCAGAAUGAGAGAGAGAGGAGUAGUGUCUAAAUAAGAUGACAAUUGGGAGAGAGAUGUACUAGUAAAUAGGUGUGAAACACUGAGGAGGAGAAGCCUAUUUAUAGGUAGUCUCUCCAGGAGAACAAUCAAAUUAAAGGCUAAAUGACUCUAGAACUAAAACCCAAAUAAAACCCCAUUUAAACCAGAUAAUAAACUCAUAAUGGAAGGGAAUUGAAGAUCAUUUGACCAAAUUUGAAAACAAAAAUUAAAAAUCCAAUAGAAGAAUUCAAAAUUUCAAACUCAAAAUAAAAUUAAAAAUUAAAAAUAGAAAAUUUUAGUUUUCAAAAUGUAAAAAGUCAUUAGACUCAUGCGUGUACGUGGGAAAGGGGUGGGGGGGCAUGCAGGAUGUGUGUACGGACAUGUCAUGCAUUAAGGAUUUUUCGACCCAAGCCACCCGAAUUCCCUUUCGAAUUGGCUUGGACACCCUAGGCACGCGAGACCCCCUUUUGCCUCUCCACAAGCUCAUGAGGUUAAGAAAGGUAAGUUGCUAGCAAGAAUAUAUAAUUUUAAUAGGUUGUAUCAACUGAUAAAAAAAAUUCUAAAAACUGAGAACUAUUCUUGAAAGUGAAAAAACCAAAGGAGAUGAAAUGAAAAACUGAGAAAUAAAAUAGGUACAAAAGUUGCUAUUGAAAACUCUAAUUUUUCUUUUUAUGGAUUUGAAAAUUAAAUUGUUUAUUGAUAUUUUGGUUGAUAUUUUAAGGUGUGAAAUUAAUUAACAUGUUGAAUUAUGGAUGUGUGAGGAAAUUCUAAGCAUAUAUAAUGACUGAAUGCAAAGUAUGUUGAUUGAAAUGCUAAGAAUUUAUAGCUCAUGAUUGUGAUAUACUUUGUUAUGUGUAAUAGGCUUUGUUUUGCUGGAAACUAACUUGGAUAUGCAGUAUGAGCAACAUGAAGAAUGUUGAAGGCAUUAUGAAUUUAAAAUCAUGGCACCAUGAUAGGUUUACCUUAUGGAAAAUAAUGAGAGAAAUGGUCCCUGGAUGAGUGUCCUUAAAAGAAGAAGGAUAAAAUACUAUAAUGUGAAAGACCCAAGACAUACCUUAAGAAUAUCCAUGGGGGGAUAGAAUAGCGGGUAUAAAUGUAUGUCCUUGAAUAACAGUCCCUAAAAUAUAGAUAUUCAUGGUUGAAAACAAAAUGCUAAUUGUUGAGGUACAUGAAGGUAUAUAAUAAGUUGAAAAUGACUUAGUGUGGAAAUGCUAUAUAUACACCUUUAGAGAAAAAAAUGAGUGACAGCUCAGUAGAGAAAAGUUUAUUUAUAACUAAAAGGUUUAUAAAAUAAUUAUUUAAUACUUGUUUAUAGUAACACAAUAGAAUUCAUUUGGAAAAAUGAAAUUUCACCAAUAUACACACCCACACCCCACACACACACAAUAUUUUGUAACUAUUGUUACUAUCGAUUUCUAAUGUAUUUGGAGUGCUUUAUGCUAGUUAGUUGUACAUGAAAGGAACAAAGAAUUAUACUCAUAACUCUAUAAAAAUAACUAUUGCUUAAAGGAACCCAAUUAAUGUUCAUCUUUUUUGGAUAUGUAUAUAUUUAUCUUGAUUAUAAAUAUAAGUUUUUAGUUGUAAAUAAGUUUUUAAAGUUUAAAAUUAUUCAAUAAGGGUUUAGAAAUGAUUUUUAGAUAUUUUCAAUGCACAAAAAAUGGAGAAAAUAUGAAAAAUGGGAAACAUCUAAGGUAUAAUAGAGGCGCUAAUUGCAACAAGUUGAGGUGUGACAAAUAAAGGAACAACAGGUUGAAGUGCACAAGAUUUUUCUAUCUUAAGGUGUGCAAGAUUUAUUUAAAGGAUAAGUUGUGCAACUUAAGUGAUGGUGCAUAGGAUUUGUUUAAAGGGUGAGAUGCACAAAUUAACUAGUGGUGUCCAGAAUAUGUUUAAAAGGUAAGGUGUGCUAAACUUGUUUUAAAGUGCACAACAUGCAACAAAAAUGGUGCACCUCUUAGUGUAGUUGGCGUACCUCUCAACUCAACCACACUGACUCUAGCACCUCAACAUAGUUAUAUCCUCAACAUUACAUUUACGUUAUGCCAACUUUAUUUUUUAUUUUGUCAUUUAUAUCUGCAUUUACUUUAAGUUUACAAUGUAAAUAACAAAAUACCUUCCAUUUUGAAUUUAAUAAAAAUACUUUGAAAACCUAAUUCCAAGUAAAUCAAAACCUAAUUUUUCAAUUUUUGUUAUAAAUUGACAGCUUUUACUGAUUUUUCUUAGAAAAAAAAAGUUCACCUAAGUAAAAUUAUCAAAGAUAAAAAUAUAGAAAAGUUAUUUUGAGUAUUACCAACACGAAAAUAACAAUAUCUGCCAUUUUUUUUGUAUUAAGUUAUGAAAUUUUGAAAAAUUAACUAUUUCACAUACUUAGUGAAAUUUCUAAUAAAACAUGUAGUAUGUAUUUGAAAACUCUCCAUCCAUAGGCCCAUAUUAUCUAUAUUUAAAAAAAUUUAAAUAGGAAAAGUGCAUUAGGCUAUUUAGAUUAAGUUGACAAUUUUGUUUCAUCCAUCCUAGUUUGAGACUUCGUGUACUUUCCCAUGAUUUUUAUUCCUUUGAAGAUUCUAGGUUGCCAAAAAAAUCAACUUGAGACUAAACAUGUAAGUGUGGUUGUGUCAUUUGAGAAUAAUGACAUAGAAGACAUAGAAUGGACUUAUGAAAAUUAGAAAUAAAAUUAAUUUGGAAAGAAUUUAAAUUGAGAAUUUAAAAAGAAAAGUCUUUCUAAAUAAUAAAAAUAAUUUAAAAAGGAAUUUUAAAUUAAGGAUUUAAAAUUGAGAAUUAAAAAAAAAUUCAAAUAAUAAAAAUAAUUUGGAAAUAAAUUUUAAAUUGAGAAUUUUAAAAAGAGAAUCUUUCCAAAUCUUUUAAGGAAUUUGGAAAAGAAUUUUAAAAGGAAAAUCUUUCCAAUUAUUUUUUAAUUUAAAAUAUGAAAUCUUUCCAAACCUUUUUAAAAUUUUUAAGUUUCUAAAUUAUUUUUGUUAAAAUAUGACUUUUAAAUUUAUUCUAAGUCCACUAGAUUUUAUAUAUGCCUAUUGUGAGAGUUUUUUGAAAAGUGAAUGAACCUAAACUUUUAAUUCAUUAGUCCUUGCGCUUAACCCAAAACUCUCAAAUAAGCUUGGCUUUCCAUUUGUUGGGUUAUAAAGGAGAUCUAUAUCCCCUCAUGCGUUGAGGAGAGAUCCAUUGGAGGACACGAGGUGCUGCAUCAUAGACAUGGAUUGUAGUAUAGGUUUUGCAGAGUAAAUCUAAGGGUAGUAUAUAAUUCUAUGUACUACUUUCUCAUAUAGUAGAUUGUUGAUUCGAGGUCUUGACCUCGUGGUUUUUACAUCUGCAUGUUGUGUGAGUGGUUUUCCAUGUAAAAAUCCUAUGUGUCUUAUGUUGAAUGCCUUUAAGAUUUCCUAAAUUGAAAAGUGAUUAUCACAAAAUUAAAAAAUAAUUAAUUUUUUGGACCAAAAAGUUUAAACACUUAUUCAUCCCUGCUAGGUAUUUCAUAAGCAAGAGCUACAAACUUUCAACUAUUGCUACUUAAAAUAAUUAAAUGUAAGGAUAAACAAAUAAGUAUUUGAAAAAAAAACUUCUACUUGUUACAUGUACAAUAGAACUAGAAUUUUUUAACAUGAAAACCAAAAGAUUAGCAUUUUAUAUUACAAACAUUAUAGCAUAUUCAUUAAUUCACAUUUCAAAUCAUGGAAUUAUGGGUUAAUCCUUUAAUAUUAUAAUGAAACCAUAAUUUUAGAAUUUGGGGUGUGACAUACCUCUUUGUUGCUUUUGGUCAUAAUACUUAUAGAAAAAAUAGAGCAAGGUGUUGGUUAAAAAUUAGGUCUCAAAGAAUAGGAUAAGGAAGUUGACUAAGCACAAAAUAAACAAACAAAUAUGAGAAAAGUGAGAGAGGACACCUAUCGAAUUAGGUUGAGGCGUGAUAAUCAUUGUCUUUAAAGUAGAUUCACCUUCCUCAGGUAUCAAAACGCGAUGCAAAAGGGAGUCGACAACCUACCUCCAGGAUUCAACAGACCUUGCUUUCAGUGCACAUCUUCAACAAGUAGUAGUACAACUCAAAUUGAUAUUCCUUCAGACGAAAUGAUGAAAAGAAUGUUUGUUUGUUUUUUAAAAUAAAACCAGUUGUGUUUAGGUAGGGUGCCUUCUUUAAGAAAAGUACACUGAGAAACUGAGGUUAUAGUGGUAGAAUGAGAGAGAGAGAGAUUCAGGAGUAGUGGUUGAAUAAGAGAGCAAUCAGGAAAGAGAUGUAUUCGCAAAUAGGUGUAUAAUGUUAAGGAGAAGAAGCCCAUUUAUAGGCAGUCUCUCUAGGAGAACAGUUAAGGGCCUUAAAGGCUAAAAGGCUAUAAGCCUUAAAAAGCAAAAUGACUAUAAGCCAUAAAAGUCAAAUGACUCCAAAAUUAAAACCCAAAUAAAAACCAUUUAAACUAGAUAAUAAACUUAGAAUGGAAAGGAAUAAAAUCUCAUUUGACCUGAUUUGAAAACCAAAAUUAAAAACCCAAUGGAAGAAUGCAAAAUUAAUUUUUCGAUUACCAAUUCCAAACUCAAAAUUGAAUUCAAAAUUUAAAAUAAAAAUUCUAGUUCUCAAAAUGUAAAAAGUCGUUGGACUCGCGUGCAUAUGCAAGGGGUCUCCUACAAGAUGUGUGUGUGUGGACAUAUUGGGCUUUAAGGGGUUUUCGGCCUAAGCCAUCCAAAUUCCCUUUUAAAUGGGCUUGGACCCCCUAGGCAGGCAAAAUCCUUUCUUGUCUCUCUACAAGCUCAUGAGACUAAGGAAGGUGGGCUAGUAUAAAUAACUACUAAAAGUGCUCAUCACUUUCCAAUGUGGGACUUUUUUUUUCACUUUAAAACACUUACACACACAAACACUCUACCAACAAUCCCCCACAAAGUGUAUGUGUGAAGAAGAAGAUGAUUGGAGGAAAACUAGAAUCCAAUGCAUCAAAACUAGUACCAACAGGCUAUGAACCAGCCUUAGGAUAAAUAAGUAUUAAAUUAUAGAAACUUGGUGAAAAUAAAUUUUUAUGAACCUGUAUUUCUUUAUGUAAUUCAAGGAGCCUACAAUCCACAUUGGUUUUUCAACUACGAGUUGUACAAAACAAGUCGAUGAAAAUAGGUCAUACGCCUUACUUAGAUAUUCAUAAGAGCUCUAGAGAACCUAUCUAAGUUCUCAAAGGAAGCAACCCCGCCUUCAUUGUCAGAUAGGUGAAUCCAUCAAGUGUUUUCUACAACUAAACACACUAUCCAUAAGGAAUAUGGUAUUCAUUAACUGUAAAUAUACUUAUCAUUAGACAUUGAUCUAUCUAGCUACAUUAUAGGGAUGGACUUUCAGAUAAAACUAAUAGAACAUCUCAGUCACAAAUGAUUUGUUAUUACCCAUAUGAACCUACUUCAUAGGGUCUCCAAUCUAAUCGGUUGGGUUUCCAUAACUCUUGACUUUUGUAUUAAGCAUAAGCCCUAAUCUCCUCGAAGUUUCCUCCAUGUUUCAAGCAACUACAACACAAUAUUGUGCCUUAGGCCUAUAUGCAUGUUCUUCCCAUUAAAUAUCUUACUCUUAGUCUUAGAUAUUGUAGCUUAGCUAUCACAACGCAUUGACAUAGAGGAUGUUGGUCUCAUCUAUAAAGAGAUAUUUGCAAAGAGGUUUAUGAGCCACUCAAUCUCAUAACUUGCCUUUUCUAAGGUAAUAAACUCAACCUUUAUGGUAGACCGAGUGAUGCAUGUUUGCUUGGCAAACUUCCAAGAAACUGUACCUCCUUCAAGGGUAAAGACAUACCCAUUAGUGGAUUUCAUCUCACUUGAAUCAAAGAUCUAAUUUGCAUCAUUAAAUCCUUCAAGGACACUUGGAAAUCCACUAUAGCACAUGUUAUAGUUAAUGGUUCCUCUUAAAUACUUAAGUUCUCUACGAACAAUAGUCUACUGGUCCUAAUUAGGACAUUGGGUGUACCGACUCAAUCUACUAACUGCAUAAGUGAUGUCAGAUUUGGUACAAUUCGUUAAGUAUAUUAGGUUCUCUAUGAUCUAAGCAUACUUAGUUUGGGCAAUACUAUGUUCUUUGUUCUUCUUUAGUUGUGAGCCGGAAUCAUAAGGGGUUAACAUUGGUUUAUAGUCAAAGUGUUCAAACAUCCUUAAGAUAUUAUCAACAUAAUGUUCUUAAGAUAGUUUAAGCCCAUUAGGUGUUCUAGUUAUGUUGAUUCCUAGAACCACCUUUGCCUUUCCUAGCUAGGUCUUUCAUGUCAAACUUGAACCUUAGGAAUUUCUUAGUCUCACAAACGACCUUUAGGCUAGUUCCAAAGAUCAACAUGUCAUCAACAUAUAGAUGAUGACACAUAUGUUAUCCUCAAAUUUGUUGUAAAUACAUUUAUCAGCAUCAUUAAUGGAAAAUCCAUUAGUUAAUAACAUAUGAUCAAACUUGUUGUGCCACUGUUUGAGUGCUUGUUUUAACCCAUGCUGUGAUUUCACUAGCCUACACACUUUUUCCUCCUUCCUUAGAACCAUGCAACCCUUGAGUUGGUCCCUAUAAAUUUCCUCUUCCAAUUCCCCAUUUAAGAACAUAGUCUUGACAUCCAUUCUAUGUAUCACUAGGUUAUGAAUGGAGACUAGAGCAAUUGACGCUCUAAUUAAGAAAAUUCUAGUCACGUGGACAAAAGUGUCAAAGUAAUCAAUAUAUCUCCUUUGUUUAAAGCCUUUGGCUACUAAACAUGGCUUAUACUUCUCUAUGGACCCAUCUUGUUUUAACUUUCUUUUAAAGAUUCACUUACAACCGAUAGUCUUUACACUAGGAGGUAAAUAUACUAGUUAUCAUGUACGGUUAUACAUAAUUGAUUCGAUCUCACUAUUAAUGGCCUUUUCCAGAAUGGUUCAUCAGUAGAAGUUAUAGCUUCUUUGUAGGAUCUAGGCUCCUCAUCUAUUAAGAAGGUGUAGAAACCAUCUCCAAAGUUUGUUUAUUUCCUUAUCUAUUUUACUCAUUCUAGGUUCAAUUUAGAAAACUUAUUAAACUCUACUCUAAGUGUUCUCUAGAUUUGUUCCCUACCACUAGGUUUCAUAGGAAAGAUGUUUUCAAAGAAAUCAACAUUCUUUGUUUCCAUUAUUGUGUUCACUUCUGCUAGGUUGUUUUCUGAUUUGAUAACCAGAAAUUUAUAUGUUGCACUAUUCUCAGCAUACCUUAUAAACAUUGUAUCAAAAGUUUUAGGACCUAGUUUUAGUUUAUUGGGUUUAAGAAAAAGAACUUUAGCCAAGCACCCCUAUACUUUCAAGUAUACAAUGUUAGGUGCAUAACCCUUCCAUAACUCAUAAGGUGUUUUACUGGUUUUCUUAUAAGGUAUCAUAUUUUGAAUAUGACACACAAAAAGGAUAGCUUCCCCUCAUAAAUUCAAGGGUGUUCCUGAGCUAACUAACAUUAAGUUCAUAAUUUCUUUUAGGGUUUUGUUUUUUUCUUUCUACUACUUCAUUUGACUUAGGGGAAUAAGCUAGAGUAAUUUCAUUAAUGAUCUUAUGAUCUUCAUAAAAAAAGUUAACGAGGUUGGACUCAUACUGUCUUCCCCUGUCACUUCUAAGCCUUUUAAUUUUCUUACUUUAUUUUCUACUUCAUUUUUGUACUUGAUGAAAGCAUUUCUUGCUUUAUCUUUGUUUCUCAAAAGAUAUACCUUUGUAUACCUUGAGUAGUCAUCUAUGAAAGUUAUGUAAAAAUGUUUACCACCUCUAGUCAUUGUACUUUUCAAAUCUCCUAAGUCAUUGUGACUUAAAUUUAAAAGUUCAAAUUCUCUUUUUAUAGAUUUGCAAAACUUCUUUGUGGUUUUAGAUUCUACACAUGCUUCACAUUUUCCAGGGUUUUUUAAGGACAAUUUAGAAAUUAAACCAUUUUCUUUAUAUACAAAAUGUUCACAUAUCCUAAUCUACCAUGCCAAAUAUCACAAGAAUCAACUAUGUAAACAGAAGAAGAAGAUGCAUUGUCAUUGAUAAUAUUGGAAACAUUCAACAUAAAUAAAUUAUGGUUAUAAUAGCCUUUCCCCACAAAAACAUCAUUCUUUAUUCAGACGAGUUUAUCAUAGUCAAACAUGAUCCUCACUCCUGUCUUCCCAUGCAAAAAUACUAAUCCUAAGUUCCAAUGAAUAUCUGGCACAUGAAGGACAUCACUAGAGGUGAGCACUUUGCCCAAGGUUAGCUUAAGGAGAAUCUUCCCUUUCCCAAUCAUCGAGGACAUUCAAGAAUCGCCUAUGAACACUUGUUGCUCUCCUUCUUUUACAAUGGUAUAAGAAGUUAAUGUACUUUUAUUUCCACAUAUGUGCUUGGUAGCCCUAGAGUCUACCACCUAGUCCUUCACACUGGUGACCAUGCUCACCUCAGAGGAGAUUGCAACAAUGAUUACCUCUAUCUUUAUCAGAUUUGCUUUAGGGUUGAAUUUAUCAGUUUUCUUCCUAUGGCGACAUUAAGCUACAUGAUGGCCAGGUUUGCCAUAGACAAAGCAGUUACCUUUUUUUUUUUUAUUGUUGGGUUAUGGACCUUGUUUUUUAAAUUAGGCUUGGUCUUUCAAUUUUGCUUUCUGGACCUAUUGUUUUUGGGUUUAGGUUUAUCUUCUACCACAUUAGCCUUGGAAGAUAGUUCUUUGGCUUUUUCAGCUUUAUCCCUGUUUUUGUUAUGUUUCUCAAUCCUAAUAUGGAUUAUGACAUUUUCAAAGGACAUUUUUUUUUUGUGCUUCAUAUUACUUUUAUAGUUUUUAAAAAAAUCUAGAAGAGUCUCAAUCAAGUAUCUAGCCACAGAAAGGUUUAGGCAAUUUAAGGUCUUUAUUAGCAAGGUCAUUUAUAAGUAAGUGGUAGCCAUGGAUUUGAGAUGAAACAUCUUUAUCCUUCGUCAUUUGGAAUUUUUCUAAAAUUCCUUACAACAUAUUUUGGGUGUGAACUAGGGAGGUCUCCAUUCUUUUUAAAAAACAGUUUACUUUAAGAUUGUUGGUAAAAAUUAGGUCUCAAAAAUGGGAUAAGGAAGUUGACCAAGCCUAAAACAAACAAAUAGAGAUAGGAAAAGUGAGAGAGGACACUUAUUCGAUUAGGCUGAGGCAUGAUAACCACUGUCCUUAGAGUAGAUCUGCCCUUCUUGGGUAUCAAAACAUAGUGCAAAAGGGAACCGACAACAUACCUCUAGGAUUCAACAACCAAAAAACCUUACUUUCAGUGCACACCUUUAGUAAGGAGUAGUACAACUUGAAUGGAUAUUCCUCCAGAUGAAAGGAUGAAGAAAAUGUUUGUUUUAUUUUUUAUUUUUUAUUUUAAUAAAACCAAUAGUGUUUGGGUAAGGUGCCUUUGUUAAGAAAACUACACCGAGAAACUGAGGCUACAAUGGAAAACUGAAAGAGAUAGGAGCAGUGGUUUAAUGAGAGAGCAAUCAGGAGAGAGAUGUAGUGGCAAAUAGGUGCAUAACACUAAGGACACUGCAUGCAGUCUCUCCAAGAGAACAGUUAAGGGCCUUAAAGGCUAAACGACUAUAAGCCUUAAAGAGAAAAACGACUAUAAGCCUUAAAGGCUAAACGACUCCAAAACUAAAACCCAAAUAAAAACCCAUUUAAACUAGAUAAUAAACUAUGAAUGGAAGGGAAUUAAGGGUCAUUUGACUUUAUUUGAAAACCAAAAUUGAGGGAAUUAAACCUGCGCAUGAUGCAUGUGCUGGCACAUCGUGCAUUUAGGGUUUUUUACUUGAGCCACUUUUGAAUGGGCUUGGACCCCCUAGGCACGCAAGGCCCCCUUUUGCCUUUCCACAAGCUAUGAGGCUAAGGGAUGUGGGUCAGUAUAAAUAUCCACUAAACGUGCUCAUCACUUUCCAAUGUGGGACUUCUUUUUUCACUUUAAAACACUCACACACAAACACUCUACCAACACGAAGGUAGUUUGUAAAAGUAUGAAUGAUGAUGCAAGAAUUAUUACGUUAUAUAGUAGUUGUGAAAUAUAAAUAGAAUGUUAUCCAAUGUGAAGGGUAGUUGUUGCUUUUUGGCAUCGAGCAAAAAAGCAAAUUCUAAAUGGAUGAAGAAACUUAAUAAAGAGGCAUCAUUUCUAUAUAAAAUCAAUAAUACAUGCUAACAAGGGAAUUAGAAUUAACUACUUCAAGAUAACAACACAUUAAUUUCUCACUCAUCAAAAUAAGAAACAAAACAAAAACUUUGAAGGUCAAAUCAAUAAUUAUAAUUAAGAUUCUUCAUGGGAAUCUCACUCCACAUAAAACUUAAUCUAAGACUGGUGUUGUUUUCUUAUUUUCAAAGAACUAACUAUCUUCUUCCUUUAAUAUAAGAUGUACUAGUGCUUGUGCCUCCAUGUUAUUUCUUCCUUGUUACGUACUUGGGACUAAAAACUCACUCCCUCGCUACAAUAAAUAUGAGAUUUUGCCACAAAUUAUUUUGUGAUUAAAAGAGAGUAUUUUGUGGUAGAAGAUUUUUUUCCACAAAAAAUUAUUUGUUGUGAGUUUGUUGCUAUAAGUCCGAGAGCAAUUAUUUUUAACCAUAAAAAUUAAUGGUAUAGCAAAAAUAAAUAAUUUUUUCACAAAAUAAAAUUUGUGACAACAUGUUAUUUUAACCACAAAAUAAAAUGUGGCAACAUAUCAAUUUUGUUUUUGCUAUAAAACAAGUUAUACCAAUAUGUCAUUUUUUUACAUGAAAAUAAUCAUGGUAAAAGAUCACUUUUUGUCAUAAAAUAAAAAAUUCCGGUGAAAGAUCACCUUUUCACCAUGAAAGAAAAUUUAUGGUGAAAUAUGUUUUAUAAGCUUUCAAAUGCAUAAUGAGAUUAAAUAUAAAAAAAAUUGUAAAAAAAAAAAAUACAACUUCAAAUCCAAUACAACUUUAUAAGCUUCCGAUGGCCAUUUCUGAAAUUUAAAUCUUUCCAAAGUUAGAAUUCCUAGAUCUUCAUCCACAAGCAUGGCCUAAACAAGAACAUCAGAGGGGUAGUCUUGUGGGUGCCUCCUGAUGGUUUCUCUAAUCUGCCGUUCUUGCUUGAAGAGGAUUGAUAGUGGAACAUCAUAAACAUCAGUGAGCAAGUCUGCAAGUUAUUUGAUCUUUGGAGAACUUCAAAAAUGACCACUACCUAUCAUGUGUCUCCAAGUCAUGAUCAGAAGCGUUUUUGCUGGGUUUUUCACUUGGAGGAUCAGAGACUCAGCCCAGUCCAAGACAAGCAGCUGCAAAGGAAACAAAGCUACUACUGUAAAUUUCCAAGAACUCCUGAUAAAGCACACAGAUUUAUUUGUGAAAUGAUCCUGAGAAUUCUUUGACUGGUAAGGCAGAGAUAUUAAUUCACAACCUACUAGUUCAUGUCGUAGAAACAUAAGAGGAAGAAAAAGGUUAAGAAACUUGAAUUUAAUGAAUGUUAUUUAUCAAAUUUGUUUCACCCUUCUGCAAAUAUUGUCCUGCUGGUGGAAUUGGCUAGCAAGGCCACCAGAUGAGGUAUGAAAUAAAAUACAGAUUGCAGAGGACGUUGGGAUACAACAAAUUUCAGUAGAUUUUAAGCUCUCAGCUUGACAUGGUUAUGAGCAGGGUGGGGGAUUAGUGGAGAUGAGGCUUGUUGAAAACCACCCAAGCUACCAACUUCUGAAAGUACAUAUUAGGAAAAAUCUUCCUUUUUCCAUAAAAACUUAUUCGUGUCUAAAUUUUCAGACAUGAGCUGAAUCAACCAAUCAAGAAAAAAGGGGAUGAUUGAAAGAGAAAAAAAUGUAGUACCUUUUCAGACUUGGGGAUUAGCUUCAUCUCUUUUUAGACUUGGGGAUUAGCUCACCGAGAGUAGCAAGUAGUGAGUUGAUUCUGUCCCUACGCCACUUCUCUGCCUGGCUGUGGUUAAAUAUAAACAACACAACUAAAUUUUACUUUAGAUUUGUGCCCAUAUGUGCAGAGUUUUCAUCAAAUAUGCCUUCAUCCCAAUGACCAAACACCUGUAUCUUUGACUAGUGCCUGAAAAGAGAAAUAAAAAACGAUGAAAAUGUUAAUUAGGAUGAUUGAGGUUAACCACUAAUUGUUUCUUCAAAGUUUGGUCAUGCUUACUGGUGUUUUCAUGGAAGGGAAGAUAUUCCUAAACUGCAAUGUCUCAUCCCCUGCUCCAAUCACCAUUGCCUGCAAAAGAAAUUUUCACUUUUUCCAAGUUUUUCUUAUAGAGAGCAUUAUGUGCAUAUGCAAUUGUAAGUUAUGCCUGGGAACUCACUUAUAGAAUUCACUUAUGCAUCUGUAAAUAGGUAUAUAUGGUUAUAAACUAUAGUAGAAUGCUCCAACUAUGGAGGAGAUAGCACUGUACCUGACCAUCCGAUGACAUGGCAAGAUAGAGUACUCGCAAACUAUGACCAGUUAGAUUUGCAACCCCACAAAAGUUGAAAACACACCUGGCUUCCUAUGUCAAAAUGGUUUAAUUCCCAUUUGUAGUGCUCCAGAAGCGGAUAUACAGAUUGGCAGUCCCACCUCCAAAUGCGAGGAGGCCGCUCUGGUGAGGUGACCAAGCUAUGGCCUUCACAGCAGCUGUGUGCUCUGUCAACUUCUAUACUGGUUGCUAAGAAUGCUGGUUCCACAACAAUACACUCUCAUUUAGUACUUCACUAAAGUUGGAUUGCAAAAAUGAAGUGGGAAAAGUACUGGUGGGAUGGAUACCUGAUUAUCAUUACCACUUGAUACAAGUUCUCUAUCAUUAUGGGACCAUUUCAGCCCACACACCAGAGGAUUUAAAAUCAAGGAUUAAGAUUGGUUGUCAUCUAGUCAUCAAAAGAAGAUGCAUCCAAGGUUCUCUUGAGUUCUAACGAACUUACUUCAGAUUAGUCCUUCAUACUAGUGACCAUGCUCAUCUCAUAUGAGACUACAACAAUGAUUACCUCUGUCUCUGCUAGAUUCGCUUUAGGGUUGGAUUUAUCAGUUUUCUUCCAACAUUGGGUUACAUGACGGCCAAGUUUGCCAUAGACAAAAUAGUUACCCCUCUUUUUUAUUGUCGGGUUAUGGACCUUGUUUGUUGAAUUGGGCUUGGUCCUUGAGUUUUGCUUUCUGCACUUAUUGUUUUUGGGUUUAGGUUUAUCUUUUACCACAUUAGCCUUGGAAGACAGUUCUUUGGCUUUUUCAACUUUGUCCCUAUUUCUGUUAUGUUCCUCAAUCCUAAUAUAGAUUAUGACAUCUUCAAGGGACAUUUGUUUUCUUUUGUGUUUGAUAUUAUUUUUAUAGUCUUUCUAGGAAUUUGGAAAAGUCUUAAUCAAGUAUCUAGCCACAAAAGGUUCAAGCAAUUUAAGGUCUUCAUUAGCAAGGUCAUUUAUAAGCAAGUGGUAGUCAUGGAUUUGAGAUGAAACAUCUUUAUCCUUGGUCAUUUGGAAUUUUUCUAAAAUUCCUUAUAACAUAUUUUUAGGUUCCAAAAUGUGAUUAUUUUUCAUGGCAUCCCAAAUAUCUUUAGCUACUUUAUAACAAUAGUAGACAUCAAAAAGUUGAUUAAAGAGUGCAUUAUGAAUGGACACAUCUAACUUGCUUAUUUCCAAUUUCCUAGGUAGGCAAAUUUUUAGACCUAUCUUUGGGUUUUGGGUUAGUCAAAAUAUGUCUCAAAUUCACUACGUCAAUAGCAUAAAAGACCCUUUCCUACCAUCUCUUAAAGAAUGUUCCAUUAAAUGGAUCAAUCUUAGAGGUAUCAGGAUGGGUGUGAACUAGGAAGGUCUUCAUUCUUUUUAAAAAAUCGUAUACUUUAAGAUUGUUGGUAAAAAAAUUAGGUCUCAAAGAAAGGGAUAAGAAAGUUGACUAAGCCCAAAACAAACAAAUAGAAAUAGGAAAAGUGAGAAAGGACACUUAUUAGAUUAAGUUGAGGUGUGAUAAUCAUUGUCCUUAAAGUAGAUUUGCCCUCUUUGGGUAUCAAAACGAGGUGCAAAGGGAUCCAACAACCUCCCUCCAAGAUUCAACAACCAAAAAACCUUGCUUUCAGUGCACACCUUUAGCAAGGAGUAAUACAACUCGAACUGAUAUUCCUCUAAACGAAAGGCUGAAAAGAAUGUUUGUUUUAUUUUUUAUUUAUUUUUAAUAAAACCAGUAGUGUUCGGAUAGCGUGUCUUUAUUAAGAAAACUGCAUCGAGAAAUUGAGGCUACAAUGGUAGAAUGAGAGAGAGAGAGAGAGAGAGAAGCAGUGGUUGAAUGCGAGAGCAGUCAAGAGAGAGAUGUAGUGGCAUAUAGGUGUGUAACACUGAAGAGGACACUCUAGGCAGUCUCUCUAAGUGAAUAGUCAAGGGCCUUAAAGGCCAAACAGUUAUAAGCUUUAAAGAGUAAAACGAUUAUAAGCCAUAAAGGCCAAACGACUCCAGAAUUAAAACCCAAAUAAAAACCUAUUUACACCAGAUAAUAAACUCAUAAUGGAAGAGAAUUAAAGGUCAUUUGACUUGAUUUGAAAACCAAAAUUGAGGGAAUUAAACCCUUGUAUGAUGCGUGUGCAGACACAUCGUGCAUCCCGUAAGCACAUGAGGCCCUCUUUGGCCUCUCCACGAGCUCAUGAAGCUAAAAGAGGUGGGUUAAUAUAAAUACCCACUAAAAGUGCUCAUCACUUUCCAAUGCGGGAUUUCUUUUUUCACUUUAAAACACUCACACGUACAAGCACUCUACUAACACAAGGUAGUGUGUAAAAGUAUGAAUGAGGAUGAAAGAAUUAUUACAUUACAUAGUAGUUGUGAAAUAUAAAUAGAAUGUUAUCCAAUGUGAAGGGUAAUUGUUGCUUUUUGGCAUCUAGCCAAAAAGCAAAUUCUAGAUGGAUGAAAAAACUUAAUAAAGAGGCAUCAUUUCUAUAUAAAAUCAAUAAUACAAGCUAACAAGAGAAUUCAAAUUAACUACUUCAAGAUAACAACACAUUAAUUUCUCAAACAUCAAAAUAAGAAACAAAACAAAUACUCUGAAGGUCAAAUCAAUAAUUACAAUUAAUAUUAUUCAUGGGAAUCUCACUCCACAAAAAAACUUAAUCCAAGAUUGGUGCUAUUUUCUUAUUUUCAAAGAAACAACUAUCUUCUUCCUUUAAUAUAAGAUCCACAAGUGGCUCCGUGUUAUUUCUUCCUUGUCACAUUCUUGGGACUAAAAAGCUCACUCUCUCACUACAACAAAUAUGAGACUUUGCCACAAAUUAAUUUGUGAUUAAAGGAAUGUAGUUUGUGGUAGAAGAAAUUUUUUCACAAAAAAAUUAUUUGUAGUGAUUUUGUUGCUAUAAGCCCAUGGGCAAUUAUUUUUAAUCAUAAAAUUUAAUUUUAUAGCAAAAAUAAAUAAUUUUUCAACAAAAUAACAUUUGUGGCAACUUGUUAUUUUGAAUCAUAAAAUAAAAUUUGUAGCAACAUAUCAUUUUUUUUUUUUUGCCAUAAAAUAAGUUUAUACCAAUAUGUUGGUUUUUUUAAAAUGAAAAUAAUCAUGAUAAAGGGUCACUUUUUUGUCAUAAAAAAAAUAAAAUAAAAUAAUAUUAUGGUGAAAGAUCACCUUUUCACCAUGAAAUAAAAUUUCUGAUAAAAUAUGUUUUAUAAGCUUUCAAAUGCAUAAUAAGGUUAAAUAGCAAAAAAAAAAUUGUAAAAAAAGCAAUACAACUUUAAAUCCAAUACAACUUUAUAAGCUUCCCAUGAACAUUUCUGAAAUUUAAAUCUUUCCAAAGUUAGAAUUCCUAGAUUUUCAUCCACAAGCCUGGCCUAAAUAGGAACAUCAGAGGGGUAGUCUUGUGGGUAUCUCCUGAUGGUUUCUCUAUGCUGCUGUUCUUGCUCGAAGAGUAUUGAAAGUGGAACAUUAUAAACUUCAGUGAACUAGUCUACAAGUUAUUUGAUCUUUGGAGAACUUCAAAAAUGGCCACUACCUACCAUGUGUCUCCAAGGCAUGAUCAGAAGCGUUUCUGCUGGGCUUUUCACUUGGAAGAUCAGAGACUCAGCAGAGUCCAGGACAAGCAUCUGUAAAGAAAACAAAGCUACUUCUGUAAAUUUCCAAAAACUCCUUCUGGUAAAGCACAUAGACUUAUUUGUGAAAUGAUCCUGACAAUUCUUUGACUAGUAAGGCAGAGAUCUUAAUUCCUACUAGUUUGUGUCAUAGAAAUAUAAGAGGAAAAAAAUGUUAAAAAACUCGAAUUUAAUGAAUGUUAUUUAUCAAAUGUGUUUCACCCUUCAGCAAAUAUUGUCCUGCUGGUGGAAUUGGCCAGCAAGGCCACCAGAUGAGGUAUGAAAUAAAAUGCGGAUUGCAGAAGACGUUGGGCUACAACAAAUUUCAGUGGAUUAAUUUUAAGCUCUUAGCUUGACAUGUUUAUGAGCAGGGUAGGGGAUUAGUCGAGAUGCGGCUUGUUGAAAACCACCUAAGCUGCCAACAAUGAUAUAUACCUCAAAUUCUUUCUCAGAAUCCUGGCCUCUACCAUCUACCUUCUUCACAGCCAAAUGGAAGUUAUCAUCCAACCCCAAUGAUAAUAGCUACAAAAGUGUUUUGUAAGCCUCUCUGCAUCUCCUUCCCAAUGGCGUUCGUUCUUGGCUUCAGGCCUAUCCAAGUGAACCUGAAAAAUACUCAGUUGGGUCGUUGAAUCAGAUUGGAUUUCUGGACAGAAAAAAUUUCAAUUCAAUGUUCUUUUUUUUUUUUUUUCAUAUUUACCAGAAUCAUCGUGAGAAAGUCUCUUGACUUUUAUCUGAUUCAGAAGAAGACUACAAUAUGAGAAAUUUCUACAACUUUGGUCAUCGUAGUUGAAUGAGAAAUUUCUGCAGCAGUGGUGACACAGAGAUUUAGUGAACUCAAAAAACACUCCUCCUGCAAUGACUCAUAUAUAUGCAUAGCAUGAAUUUCAAAACCACAAAGAGCUGAAACCUUCGGUUUGGCUUUCCAGAACACCAUGGAAAACAAAAGAAAAUAAAAUUUUAAACCUCGUAUGUCUUUACUUUAUUUGGGUUACCAAAAAUUGAAAACACACCACAAUUAACCCAUAUAGUACUUUAUUUGGAAAAAUCUUUCUUUUUCCAUAAAAAUUUAUUUGUGCCUAAAUUUUCAAAAAUUGAGCUGAAUCAAGUAAUGGAGAAGAAAAGGGAUGAUUGAAAGAGAAAAAGAUGUAGUACCUUUUCAGACUUGGGAAUUAGCUUCAUCUCUUUUUAGACUUAGGCAUUAGCUUACUGAGAGUACCAAGCUGCAAGUUGAUGCUGUCCCUAUGCCACUUCUCUGCCCAUAUGUGCCAUCAAAUAUGCCUUCGUCCCAAUGAUCAAACAACAGUAUCUUUGACUGGUGCCUGAAAAGAGAAAUAAAAAAAAGGGUGGGGGGGGGGGGUUGAAAAUGUUGAUUUGGAUGAUGGAAGUUAACCACUAAUUGUUUUUUCAAAGUUUCGUCAUGCUUACUGGUGUUUUCUAAACUGCAAUGUCUCAUCCCCUGCUGCACUCACUAUUGUCUGCAAAAGCAGUUUUCACUUUUUCUAAGUUUUUCUUAUAGAGAGCAUUAUGUGCAUAUGCAAUAGUAAGUUAUGCCUGGGAACUCACUUAUGGAAUUCACUUAUGCAUCUGUAAAUAGGUAGAGUGCCCGCAAACUAUCACCAAUUAGAGUUACAACCUAUUCAAAAAUCAUAGGAAAGUUGGAUUUAGUUCAUUUGUAAUGGAAAAUAAUGCCAGAAUUUUCAAGCAAUUCACUAAUUAAUACCAUUGUCAUUGAUGGGUGUUUCCAGACCAUAAUCUGAUUUUGGGAAGAGCCAUGAGUGCUGACUACCUCGUUCACAUCUUACUCCAUGCCAGAUUAUAUACCUGAAGGUGAAACCAUUGAAAUUUGAUUCAGUAUAGUAUAUUUGGGUGUCCUCAGUUAGUGCACUAAAACUCUAUGCCAUGCCCCACAAAAGUUGAAAACACACCUCGCUUCCUAUGUCAACAUGGCUUAAUUGAUUCCCACUUGUGGUACUCCAGAAGCAGAUAUACUGAUCCGCAGUCCCACCUCCAAAUGCAAGGAGGCCACUCUGGUGAGGUGACCAAGCUGUGUCUUUCACAGCAGGUGUGUGCUCUGUCAACUUCAAAACUGGUUGCUAAGAAUGCUGGUUCCACAACAAUACACUCUCAUUUAGUACUUCACUAAAGUUGAAUUGCAAAAAUGAAGUGGGAAAAGUACUGGUGGGAUGGAUACCUGAUUAUCAUUACCACUUGAUGCAAGUUCUCUAUCAUUACGGGACCAUUUCAGCCCACACACCAGAGGAUUUAAAAGCAAGGAUUAAGAUAGGUUGUCAUUUAGUCAUCAAAGGAAAAUGCAUCCAAGGUUCUGUUGAGUUCUAAUGAACUUACUUCAGAUUUGUGCCCUACAAGCUGGCUACCUCAAACCUAAAAUGAAAAAUGGUGAAGCAGAUAAGCAUCCCAUGCUUACAGAAAACUGGACAAGAAUCGAAACAUACCAUGUGUCAAGAACAGAUUGGAAGAAGUAUCACACAUAGACAUGGCAAGAACAUCAAUCUGGUAAACAAUGAGAAAAAACAACUACAAAUUUAUCACUACAAUUCAAAUUGGUGCAGUGUAUAGUAUUUUUUUUAUUUUUACAGAGCCUAGAAUUGUUCAUUCUAUUGCAGUCACCAUCACAUUUAUGCAGUUCUUUGGCAAGCUUUCUCCUAUAUGUAUAUUUUGUUAUCAUAUUAUUUGACACAAAUAUAUGAUGUGGCUAAAUAUCAUAUUUUAUUACGAAUAGAAGCUUCAUCUUUAAAAGAAAUCCUUUUUGUCAUAAAAAUAAAAUUUGUUACAAAAAUCUUCUUUUUUCCAUAAAAAUUUGUUUAUGCCUAAAAUUAUGGUAGCAAAAUGUGAAAUUUAUUGUAGUGCCUUAAGAAGCAUUCCUGAAAAGAGUUCAAGUCUUCAAAUCUCACUUGCAACUAAAGACCCGUCUAUUGCAUGGGCAGGCAAUGGCAAAUCUUCCUCCUGGGACUGCUCCAAAAGAUCCAAAAUGGUAAUCAGCACAAUUUAAUAGUUAAACCAUUCAACUUUAAAUAUUUGUACUUGUUAAAAUUUAUGCAUGGAGAGUGGUGGUAUGAGUUGAUCCAAUUAAUUCACAAUUCCUCAAGGCAAAGCCGAUAUGAAAAAAUAGUCAGUGUAUGAUUUGAGGCUGUCAUGAUGAUAGAAGGUAUUGCUGAAGAAGUUGAUGCAAGUAUAUCAAGUUUGGAAAAUAUAGGCCUUUUGGAACAAUAGUGUUCCAAGGAGAAUUCUAUACUAACAUGUUUUCAGUUGUUGCAAGGAAACUUUGUUUCUUCUAAGAAGUUCUCCGAGCUGCUCCUGUUUUGAAAAAGAAACAGAGGUUUAUUUAAUAUUGAAGGAAGCAAAAUCACAACAUAAUGCAGAGUGUUAAGUUUUGAUAAGACCCAUUAAUAAAUGUUGAGAGGUCUUGAGAGGUAGGUUCAAUUUUUUAUUUACUUGAAUUAAAUUUAGUGCAUGCGAAAAUAGAAACACCCACUCCGUCACUCUACAAGAAGAAACAAGAAUAAAAAUGACAUACCCAUUGCUUUUUGGAAAAAAUAAGACAUUGUUGCAGGUAUCUGUUCCCAAAUAACCUGCAAACCAAUGCAUAUAUGAUUAAAAUAAUUGCAAUUUGAGGGUUAAAAAGUUAAGGCCUUGUUUGAUAACUAUUUUUGAAAGUUGUUAUUCAUCAAAACAACAAAACAAAAAUAUAUGUUCAAUAACUGGAAAACAAUUAUUUUCUUUUAAAAACAGAAAAUGUUGUAUUUUUAAUUGUUUUUUACCAGAGGGAGCACAAAGUCAAGAAAGGUUUUACGUGAUGGAAAAUGUUAAUAAUGUACCAAGUAAUAUCAAGAAGACAAGUCUCUUAUUAUACCUGGAGAGCUACUUCGAGUCUUUCAGAGAGUGUCGAUGCCCAUAUUAACCUUAGAAAUUUAAAAAUAAAUAAAUAAAUAUCAAAAUUUUUGCAGCACAGAUUUGUCUACUCAAUGAAUUGGAAGAAAAUUAUUUUGAGCAUACAACAUGUACCUGAUCUUUAAGAUGAUUUUAAAUCAGAUUAUCAAGAUCUCGGGAGUCUAAUUAGCCACACUUCAGAAUUGAUCCCUUCAUCUGCACAUUACCAAAAAUGCGAUUUCCAGACACAGUCUCUACUCUUGGAACUGACAACAAAAGAUAUUCCUAUUGCUUAUCAGAAAAACCAGUAUUAAAAGCCUGCUGCUAUGAUAUUUUAGUAGACCAAGAAAUCAUACACAUAGAGCUGCUUGGUGCACCAGCUUCAGGAAACAUGUACAAAGCCUGAAAGAAAACAAAAUUGGGUAUUUAAGCUCAACUUCCCUUUUUUUUUCCAAAAAAAAAUUAUUUAUAGGACAGAAUAAGUACCUUCAUUACAAAAGUUGGUUAUCGAUCAAAAUGUGUGGAAUGUGAGCUAUAUGGUGCCACUCUUCACCUGUCCCAAACUUGCACCGAUCUUUCAGCAAUGGACAGUUUUCAAUUGUUAGAAAAGAGAGGGAGGUGGGCAGCCCCUCUUCUGUCAAGGAUUGGAGCUUCGGGCAGUAACUGAUUUUUAAUUUUUGAAGAGUGGUGAGCAGUUGAAGCCCCUUACUGUCCAGAGACCUGAGAUUUGGAAGAUCUGAGAUUUCGAGAGAGGUAAGGGUGGAGGGCAGCAGGCAUUCCUUUGGAAAUAGCUCCAAGUCUUCACAUUUACUUGAAAUGCUGAAACGUCUAAGAGACGUCAGACCUUGUAGACCCAACUCCAUCUGGGAUCUGAAUUUUUCACAGUUUGUAAUUGAAAGUGAAGUUAGGUUGGAGGGAAGACCCUGCACUGGGAAUAUCAAUUCAGGACAACCAUUCAAUGUUAAUGACUGAAAGCAUGCAGCGUUGUGCAACAGCGACUUGAGAUUCUUGCAAUUGUAGAUGGAAAAUCCUGAGAAGUUGAGCGCUGGCAAUUCAAUAGACACAAGAUUAGGGCACCCACUGAUGAACAAGAUAUCAAAAGAUGUAGGAUCCCCCUCUGAAAUUGAAAAGGAGAGGGAUUCAAGGCCUCUCACUUCGUAGAUCUGAAGAAAAGUCAACCUUGGGAAGAUGCUGAGCGGGAAGCACGAGAGAGAAUUGCAAGUACUAUAGUAGAUGUUCAAACGUUCUAGUAAAGAGAAGUGACAUUUGAAGAACUCAGGUAGGAGCAACUCUAGGUUCUUCGAUUCAUAGAUACGCAAUGAUUUCAAUGUAAUGGGCAAACAAACUCUGCACAAGGUUCUGGAAAAAGAACAUUUUGUGAAUGUCAAAUCUUGAAGACAAGUAUUGCUUUGCAAUAUUUCCUCCUCCAGUAGGGACUCCAAACAGUCGGCAUUUUCAAUCGAGAGCUUCUGCAGUACUGGUGGCAGUUCCGUCCACUUUGAGAUGUCUGAAGUAAUCAAACUCUCAAGACGCAUGAAAUCACUAGCUGGGCUCCUAAAAAACACACCACUACUAUUCCUCGUCGUUAAUUCGCGGAUGGCUGGAACCCUUGGAAGUGGAGCCACAAGCUGCUCACAUUCUUCAAUAUUUAGUUUUGUCAACAAUGGCAGAUGGUCUGGUAAGUCCCCAGUUAGCUUGGGACAAUCCUGUAUAUAAAGCUCCUUGAGACGAGGGAAUUCUCCACCCUGGCUUCCCAAACACAACCAUUCCUUCCAUUUUGGCAUAAACGAAAAUGACAGAGCUUUUAGGGAUACAAAGGAGGGCUUAGUUGACGAAGAAUCAGUCCCAUAAAACUCAGCACCCACCCUUUCCACUUCCUCCGCCCCACUGAUAUAUAAAUGUUUAAGAGAGGGUAGUUGUCCAAGCGGUGGGAAGGCUGACACAUUCUUACAACGCCAGAGACGUAGGGACACCAUAUUGAUCAUCAGCAUUGCGGGACCUCCCAACCAAUCUGGAAAUCUUAAACCACCAUAUCCUUGAAUCGUGAGUCUCUUUAAGUUUGAAUGAGGUAGUAAGUUGUGGAGAACUAUGUCUGCUCCAUUUUGAUCAACACCAUCAUCGUCAUUCCACUCCAACCGCAAAUCAUUCAGGUACUGCUUGCCUACCAAAUUAGCCUCCGAGGCAUCCCUACCAUCGACCACAUUCUGCAACUCUUUAAUGCGAAGAAUGCCACCAAUGUGGGAAAGCUCCCUCAACUCUCCAACCCUUGGCCCACUCUCCUUGCCCACUCUAUAAUUAGUCAAUUUUUGUAAACUUUUUAAUUGACCCAAUUGACUUGGCAUCUCUUUCACUUUGCUAUGCCUAAUAUCAAGAUGGCGCAACCUAAUCAAUUUGCUCAUCAUUACAGGCAAUUCAACAAGACAACAACAAAAAGAUAAUAUCAAUGUUUGUAAAUUAUACAAGCUACAAAUUGAAUCCGGUAACCUUUCGAUGGAUGUGUAGGAAAGGUCCAAAUAGCGCAAGUGUUUCAAAUUUCCAAUUGUAUCAGGCAAAUCAAUUAUCCAAUAGUAAGACAAUGACAACACUCGUAAAUAUUGAAUUUUCGAUAAUAGAUCAUUUGGAACUCUAUUACUCAAUUGAAACCCUGAUAAAUAAUCAUAACCGCCUGGUCCCCUAUUCUUUGAAACCUUAUCCAUCAAGUGAUACCUAGGCAAAUAGCCUAGGUUCAAGGGUAAGAAGGUCCGAAGGCCAUUCACGUUAGUAAGGGUCUCGAAUCUCUCAAAGAGAUCAUAUUCACUUAUAAAGUAUGAUAAGUGGCGAAACUUUUCAGGAAUUUCAUUCAUCUUACCAUCCUUCAACUGAACACAAAAUUUUCCCGAAACAAGUUGAGCCAAGUCGUUGAUGAGAUCAUGCAUUACAAAAUAUGAUUUGUGGCUACUGGACUUCUGAAAAAAUGACCUUGAUACUAGGUCAUAAAAGUACCCAUCACCCACCUUUUCCAUUGUUUUCUUGCUUGCAGAUUGGUCCAAAAAACCUUCUGCCAUCCACACUAGAAUUAAGUUUUCCUUUUCAAAUUCGUAGUCCUUAGGAAAAAUUGAGCAAUACGCAAAACACUGCUUUAAAUGGGAAGGAAGAAAAGAAUAGCUUAACCUUAAGGCAGGGAGAAUUUCAUCAUUUGGUAAAUCCCAGGUUUCACUAUUCAAUACAUUUUCCCAUUCUUCUACUCGUGAUUCUGAGUAUAAGGCACCCCCGAGGGUCUUUGCAGCCAAAGGCAGUCCUUUACACUUUUUUACAAUCUCUUUGCCAAUUUCUUCUAGCUUUGGAUGCCGACUAGAAUCUCCAUUUUUAAAUGCCUGUUUUGCAAAUAGCGACCAGCAGUCCUCAAAGGAUAACUGUCCCAAAUGAUGAAUACGGUCUGAAUGCAUGACUGUUGCAACGUUAUUACUUCGUGUAGUUACAAUAAUCUUACUUCCAGGUAGGCCAACAGUGAACGGAGUUUGUAGCCUAUCCCAAUUAUUAUAGUUUUCAUUCCAAACAUCAUCAAGGACAAGACAGAAUUUCUUCCUGCUAAGUCUCUCCUUCAGUUUAAGUUGAAGCAGAUUCAAAUCAUUCUCAUCAGACGAAUUUUCAGAAGUCCCGGAAUCGAUUGCCUUAACAAUUGUUUUCGUUAUCCUGACAAGAUCAAAUUCGUCUGAAACACAAACCCAUGCUCUAAGGUCAAAAUAUCUGUCCACUCUCCUGUCAUUAUAGACCAGCUGAGUAAGUGUGGUCUUUCCAAUACCGCCCAUACCCACCAGGGCGAUCACACCUAUCCCAUUCCCACUUGCGUUAUGGGACAACAAAAAAUUAACUAUCUCCUCUUUAUUAUCACCCCUACCGUACACCCCAGACUCUUCUACCAAGGAAGUUGUCGGCCAUCUUUUUGACAAUUUUUCUCCAACGCCUUCUUUCAAUCCUAGAACAUCUUUUUCUUGUGCAAGCAAUUCUAGUUUGUCAGUGAUCCCCUCUACCCUGGACUCGAUCCCCUCACCAAACGGAUUAAGCGAGGCAGAGAUGAUGUUCGGUACCUGAGUUGCAGUGGUUUGAGAAUCAGACUCCAUCUUGCAUCGUAAAGCUUCAGUGGUGAUCUCAUCCACUAGGUCCUCUGCAUCAUACAUAACAUCUUUCAGCUCAUCCACCCAAUCUUUGACAUCUGAAUUCGUGAUUUGCUUGGCCUCGGCGUCAUUCAGCACUGCCUUAAGUGCCAGAAAUUUCAUCUUCAACUUCCUUAGGAGCGUAGCACUGAGUUUCUGUUCCCGGAGGAAGGUGAGGACGUCGCGAGAAGCCAUCCGGUCAAAUAGAACUUGGAAAGAAGCUGAGAGAAGUGCUCCUCCUACUACGGCCCCGGCCAUGUCUGUUGAUUUGCAAGGGAAGUGAACAGUGGAUCAGAGAAAAAUGAAAGAAAGCAGAUGCAAAGCAACGAGGAAGAGCCUGGGCCUUAGAAGAAAGAGGUAGAUGAGAACGGUGGCCUAUCAACUAAUGCCAAAUGUACAGAUGAAUUCAUAUGGGUUGCAAUUUGGUCCCUGCCUUAUAAGUAAAUAAGAAAACAUUCAUCAACCUUUCACAUAUUUAAUUUCCAGGACCCAUAAUCUAGGUGCAGGUCUACAUGGUAAACCCAACAGCAGGCUUUUGGAGCAAUAAUAAAAUUAUUGAUUUUAGGCUUUCUGGAUGCUUCAAAUGUUGGAAAGGUCUUCCAUUCAAUAGUGUAUGGCAUUAAGGGACUUUUGACAAAAUCACCCAUCUCAGUUGUGAAAUGUUGAAAAGAGCCCACCACAAAAAGAUAAAGAUAGAAAGGAGUGUUGACUGUUGACCACCUUUGAAGGAACAAAAUGAUGUUGAACAUGGGCUGUCGCUUUAUACAUCCAAGUUGCAAGAAUUAGUGGAAGACUCAUUGGGCGGUCUGCAAUUUUCCUGAUGAGGUUGGCCUAACCACCUUGGGAAAAGAGAAGUUUCCCAUUUCCCAUUUCCUAAAAGAGAGAAGGAAAAAAGUCAAAAAACAAAGGGAAAAGUGUGAAUUUCCACACUUGUCCUACCAUACUAGGCCUAAAUUUUUUUUAAAAAUUACUAUCAAUCCUAAAUUAUAUAAUGAUUUAUUAAGAUUUUUUAAUAAAAAAUUAGAUAAAUAAAAAAAUCUUGCUAAAGCAUUAGAUAGAUUAAAUUUUAUCCAACUCUAGCUAUAACAUAAAAACUUCUGCCAAUGUAUAUAUGCUUGUCAUAUAUAUAUCUUUAUCUAAAUUUUUUUUUUAUAGAAAAUCUUACUUAAAGAGGCUAGUUAUUUGAUAUUUGAGCCUUAAUCUUAGGUUGACAAUGCUUUAGAAAAAACUUGGUUGUUAUAUUGAGACUCAAAUGUUAUAAUUUACUUCAUUUUUUUCCUUUUUACUAAAAAAAGUAAAACAUAAAAGCAAAAGUAAAAAAGAAAAGGGAGAGGAAUAUAUUUUUUUCCAUUAUUUACAUAUUUUUAAAACUGAAUUAGUUGAAACUUAAGUCCCACAUCACAACUUGUUUUAAAUCAUAAAGAUACAAUUUUAAUACAUUAUUUUGAAGUUGUGACUUGAAGACACAUUUCAAAAUAUUAUCAUGAAAUUGGGAGUUUAAGAAUUUUUUAUCUAUUUUUUCUAAUAUAUUUUUUUAUAUAAAUUAACUUGUUUCUUUUUCACGUUUUUUUUUAUAAUAGCCCGAAUUAAUUUCCAAGGAUUAGUAAAUUAUGAACAUAAAAUUAAUUAAAUAAAUUUAAUAAAGGUAUAAAGAUCCUUUCACAUUAAAAGUCUUAUGUAUAAAUUAGAUUUGUAAUAUCUUUUCUAUUGCAAAACCGUUUUACACAGAAAUCAAAGAACGAGCAACAUAGAGUUAAAAUUUUUGGAGGUUUAGGAUAUAAAUAUCAAUCUUCUAAAUAAGAUUUUAACUCUUAAAUUAAUAUUUUAUUUUCGUUAAUUAGUUUUGAAUAAUUUAAAAAUUAUUUAGAAGAUCUCAAUCUACAUUAAGAUUUGUUUAUUUAAUUUUUUAGAUCAAAAAGAUUAAAAUUUUAAGAACAUGAGUUGAUUUAUUGAUAGAGAUAGGAAAUUCGGAAUAUUCAUUGAGUACAUGCAAACAAAAUAAGUCUUAAAUCUUGAACAUAAAAUAAGAAAUAAAAACAAAAAACAAAAAACUAUUGUUGUUGGUGGGCUUAGGGCAUUGAAAAGAAGAAAAAGAAAGAAAAGGAUUUGUGACCAUGUGAUGACAUGAAAGAAAGAAAAAAAAAAACAAGAUUUUGUGGUUGUGCAUGGAAUUUAGGUGUUAAAAAAAACAAAAAUUUUACUUUUGGUGCCUUGAAGAGAGUAUACGAUAUGAUUUUUGGAAGUGUAGGUCAGAAGAAAAAGGAAGAGAAGGGAGAUAGAUGUGUGUGCAUGUGUUGUGUGAAGGAAAAAAAAGAAUAGAAAUAAAAUAAGAAAGAAGUAUGGGAAUCAGCCUUGUCGAUACGAGAGAAAGAGGAAAAUAUAUAAUAUUAAAAAAGUGUUAAGAAUUGGGUGAAGUACAAGAUUAGUUGAUGGUAUAAUAUCCUUUCUAAGCAUUCAGGUUUUGCAUCACUUGUAUAGUACAUGACUUAGGGGUGAAUUAGGAGUUGCACAAAAUAUUCAAGUCAUGCAUACCUUGCAAGUUGAUAACUCAUUUACAACUAGUUCAUGGAUUUAGGCAAUGCCUUUAAGGUUGUGGUGCACUACCACUUAAUUAGAGAAAUGAUUGUUCUUGGUCAUGGGAAUGUGGUUCCUAUGGUGAGUGUGUUAUGAUAGAGCCCUUAAAAGUAAAACAUAAUGUAACAAAGUUAGACUUGAGUUUCCAUUCUUCUAUGCAUUGUUUGUAUUCAUAUUGAUUUGAGUAUCUAAGUCUACAUCCCUUACAUUAUACAUGACUUCGGUGCAUUAGGAGUUACAUGAAAGAUCCAACUCAUAGGUUCCUUGCAAGAUUGAUGAGUAGUUCACGGUUAGUUCGUGGAUUUAGGCAAUUCAUAUAAGGUUAUAGUGUACUAUAUUCUAAUUAGAGGGAUGAAUUGUUUUAGUCAUCAAGAUGGGUAGGAUGAUUGCACUAGUAUAUAUGACACAUUGGAUAAGACCUACAAUUGGUUAUCGAGUAGUCAUGAUUCACUAAUUAAGCUAUUUUAUUGCAUAGAUUUUCAACCUUGAGAGAAUAUGAAGCCUAUGUUGAAGCCAUCAAGAGGCUUUGAACAAUGGGUAAGACCUUAAAGCAAUCAUAUAUUCCCUACAGAUUGGGUCACUAUUGAUGGAAGUUAGUAUAUAUGACACAUUAGAUAAGACCUACAAUUGGUUAUCAGGUAGUCAUGAUUUACUAAUUAAGCUAUCAUACUGCAUGGAUUUUCAACCUCGAGAGAGUAUGGAGUCUAUGUUGAAGUCAUCAAGAGGCUUUGAACAAUGAGUAAGACCUUAAGGUGGUCAUAUAUUCCCUACAGAUUGGGUCACUAUUGAUGGAAGCUAGUGACAAUAAGUAUUCUCAAUAAAUAUACCAUGGUAUCUCAUGAAAUUGAGAUAGUGUUUUCCUCAUUGAUGAUCCUAAGGACUUCUAAUCAUGAAAUCUGUGGCAUCGUAAUAAUUCCUUAUGUAAAAUUUGACAUAUGCUCUAAUGAGUUAGAGUAUAUUAGUUGAUCACAUAAUCCAUAACUCAAGGAUUAGAGAAGUAAUCUUGAAAGGUUGAUGGCAUAUACCUCGUUAGAUUAUGGGCACCAACUCAUCAAGAGUCUACAUGUAGUGGAUAGUAGGUAAUGGACCUAAGUCCUAUCUCAAUCUAAUAUCAUAGUAUAUUGGGGUACAAUUAACUCUCUGUAGUAGGAUGUUAAGUCUACUUUAGAAUUAGAUUUAAAAAUUGGAGGCAUAGUAUUUAAGGGUUAUGUUAUUUAUUCACAUGUGUACAUAAGGAAAUUUUAGUAAAAAAGUAAGGUUGAAAAAGAGUUUGUGAAUGUUAUCUUUAGACUAAACUAAUUGAUUAAUUGGAGCCUAAUAAAGUUAAUUAAUCAAUUAAAACCUAAGUGGGCUGGAUUAAAUGACCCUAGCCUAAGAUUGACUUAAGUCACUAAAGUCUAUAAGGAAACCUAUAUAAACCCCCUUGGAGGUUAGGAGUUUAGUAAUCUUCUUUUGUUUUUCAGAAUCUAGGGAGAGUAACCCUAGUCUUUAUCUCUCUGAGAGGAUUCCACCAACCUCAAGUGCCUAGAUCCAAGAAAAAUAGUCAUCAGGUGGAAAAUCUCUUGGUUUUUAAGAUCCCCAUUAGCUUCUUUACCAAUUGCAAUUCAUCUAGAAACAUUCAAAUCAUAAGUAUGUUUUUUGAGCACAUAGAUCUACAGUUUUAUUUGAUUCAAUGUUUUGAAUACUUAUGUUGCAUAGAUUUAGAGAUCCUUAAGAUAGUUUGACUUUCACCUCAACAAUCUAAGGCUUGGAAUGAAGCAAUCUAGAGAUUCCAACAACUAGUAUCAAAGCCCUGGAUUAGGAUUUUGCAUGUUAGAACUAUUCUAAGGUAUGCUAACUUAGUUUUAUAGGGUUAUCUUACUCAUUUCAUGGCCUUAAGGAUGAAUGUAUGAGAUGUUUCAAUUUAUUCAAUUAAGUAUGGUUGGACGUGGUGUUUGUCUUUUGAUCUAAUAGAUGGGUUGAAAACUCCAAAAGGAGUAUAGGUUUUUUAUUUCCUUUGUAUAUUUUUUCCCUUUCAAUAGAUGGGUUGUAAGCUCCAUUAUAAGAACAUCUAAAUUUUUAUUAUUAUAAAAUUAUCAUUUUUUUUAAUCCAUUUAUGGUGACCCAUGAAUAAAAUAUGAGUCUUGGAAGUUUUUUUUUUUUUUUUUUUUUUUAAUCUUUGGCAACACAUUAACUCUCACUUUGACUCAAAAUUGGAGUAAUCUCCCAUGAGUUUCAUGAGGCAAGACACAUAUACUUGAAUCCAAGGCUCACACCAUUCACAAAUCAAAAUUGAAGCAAGGGAGAUAUGACCAAUUGAAGUAAGGCUGCACAAAGUUAAAUAUUGCUUCGGAAUUGAGUUUGGAUCAAGUAUUUUUUGGUGGUUUAGGCUCGGUUUUGGCAUCUUCUUGGGCUCAAAUUUUGGCAACAAGCUUCUAUGUUUUUUUUUUACAUGUUUUGGAUAUUUAAUUCCAAAAAGGAAACUACCAAAAUAAUUCACCAUUGAACCCUUAGUCAUGGGACUCAUUUCUAUUUUAAUUUCCAUGUUUAUGUUUUAUUCUUUAUAUAUAAUUUUUAUAUAUAGUAUGUGUGGCAUAAAAUGGGAAUAUUUAGUAAUCUUAAUGAAAAACAAAUUUUCUUGAAAAUUGGAUUAAAAAAGAUAAUAUUUUAUAUAUUUUAGAAUUGCGUAUAUUAAGGAAAUAAAACUUGGAAAAUAAAAUCAUGAGAGCUAAAUUUAUUUCUAAAAUUAUUUUAAAGGAUUUCUAAAAUAUUUUCUUUAAAUUUAUUCUAAUAAGAAUCUUUAUAGAAUAAAAGGUUUUCCUUUUUGGAUAAAAUGUUCUUUAGAUUUUUAUUUUUCAAUUUUUUGAAAAUUUCUUAUUACAAUAAUGCCUAAUUUGGAGAAUAAAUAAAUUUUUUUUAAAAAAUUUCAAGAUAGACAAUUUAUCAUUAAGGUAAUUACUAAAAUUUUGUAUUUUGGUCAUUUUUAAUGAAAUAAAUCACUAUGAAAAUGAGAUUUCAUAUUUAAUAAUAUUUAUUAAAUUGGAAAAUCUAGAAAUAAGUAAAGUAAAUGUUCUAAUGAAUUUUGAAUAUGAGAGCUAAAAUUUCUUUCUAAAUUUAUUCUAAAGGAUUUAAAACAUUUUUCUUAAAAGUAUUUUCUAAGAAUCAUAGAAGAAUUAAAUCUUUUCUUAAUUGAAUAAGGUACUUGUGGACCCCGCAUUUCGGCUCAUGCGUUUCCCACUCAAUGGCGGGCUCGAUUUUUAUUGGAAAAAUUGAUUUUCUAUUGUUUAAGAAAAUGACUUGGAGUCGCCACUUAUUUUUGUUUUAUUUUUAAAAGGGUAAACAAAAUAAGAAAGAAAAACCCUAAGUGUGACUCCUUACUUUGGAAAAGGUGGUCUGUGAAAAACCGGAUCAGGUCCGGGGGUCAGGUUACUUAUUAGGAAGGUACGGUAUGAACCGUAGCACCCCUCUAAGUCCCUAAAUGGGUCUCUACUAAUAAAAUGAAGCAAUCAUGACAAUUGAUGAGGAAAAACAAUGAAUACCCGGAACUAUCAUGCACAUAGGAGAAUCAAAACAUGUAUAUGGAAAUAUCGGAAUGGGGAUAGAUACGUACCUGGGUGACGAGCCACAAUGCACUUAUCAAAAAGUGAGGUUAGUGCACAAUUAAAGGAUAAUUUCGGGCAUGCCAUAGAGCAGAAUAAAAUCAAACACGCAUGGCAAUUGAAUCAAUCAAACAAUCAAUCAAUCAUGAGGAAAGCACGUAUGUUGGGCCCCCACCAAAGCCCAUUCAUUUUUGCAGGAAUUAAUAUCACAAAUCCCAUUAUUCUGGAAUUAUGAAAAUAACAUUCAUGUUUAUAUAAAAUCAAGAGAAAUCAAAGGUUAUUUGAAACCCGAAGAGAAUUAAAACUGUUAGAGAGAAAAUUGAAUUUUUGAAAUUUAUUUGGAAAUUGGAGUCUCGAAAAUUAUUUGAAGAUUGGAGUCUUGAGAAUUAAAUUUAAGAGUUGGAAUUUUGGGAUGUCAAACUUGAAGGAAAUUAGAAUUUUAGAAAUCGGAAAUUAAGUUCGAAAAUUGGGAUUCAAAAAAAUGUUUAAAAAUGGAAUUUUGAAGUAAAUAAAUGGACUAAUAAUAAUAAGGACGAAAAUAAUGAUUAAAUAAAUGAAUGGAAUGCUGGAAUUUUUGAAAUUGGAAAUUAGAUUUAGAAGUCAGAAAGUUUAAAGAAUUGUUUAAAAUAGAAUUUUAAGAUAAAUAAACAAACUAUUAGUGAUUAAAUUAGUGUAAAUAUGGGAAUUUUCAAGAUUAGGAAUUUAAUUUGUAACUCUGAAGUUUUAAAGAGUUGAUUUAAAAUGGAGAUAAAAUACUAAUGAUUAAAUAAAUUAAUGAGAACAUGAGAAUUUUCGGAAUUAGGAGUUUAAUUCUGAAAUCAGAAGUUUUAGAGAAUUUGAUUUAAAAUGGAGUUUUGAAAUAAAUAAAUAAAUAAAAUAUCAAUGAUCAAAUAAUUUAGUGGGAACAUGAGAAUUUUUGGGAUUAGGAAUUUAAUUCGGGAAUCAGAAGUUUUAGAGAAUUUGAUUUGAAAUGGGGUUUUGAAAUAAAUAAUCAAAAUAACAAUAAUUAAAUAGAUUAAAGUGAGUAUGAGAAUUUUCGGAAAUCGAAAUUGAGUUUUAAAGAUCGGAAUUUUGGAGUAUCAUUUGAAGGUUGAAUUUUUAUAAAUUGGGCUUGGAAGUUGGAAGUUAAAAAGUUUGAAUUAAUAAUAAUAAUAAGUUUUUGAAAGUUUUAAUCAAUGAUAAUAAUAAAAAUAAGAUUUUGAAAGUUGAGGUAAUAAUAACAAUAAUGAUGAGAUUUUUGAAAGCUUGGAUUAAUGAUGAUAAUAAUAAUAAAUAAAUUUUGAAAGUUUGAAUUAAUAAUAAUGAUAAUGAUGAGAUUUUGGAGGUUGGGUUUAAUGAUAAGGAUAACAAUAAUAAAUAGAUUUUGAAAUUUGGAUUAAUGAUAAUAAUAAGUAAUAAUAAAUAAAUAGAUUUUGAAAUUUGGGUUAGUAAUAAUAAUUAUAGGGUUUUGAAAGUUUGGAUUAAUGAUAGUGAUAAUAAUAAUAUUUUAAAUGUUGAAUUAAUAAUAAUAAUGAUAAUAAUAUUUUAAAUGUUGAAUAGAAAUAAUAAUAAUGAUAAACGUAAUAAUAAUAAUAGUAAUAAUAAGAUUUUUAAAAGUUUGAUUAAUAACAAUGAUAAUAAUAGUAUUUUAAAUGUUGAAUUAAUAAUAAUAAUAAUAAAUAAUAAGGUUUUGAAAGUUGAAUUAAUUAUAAUAAUAAUAAUAGUAUUUUAAAUAUGGAAUUAAUAAUAAUAAUAGAGCCCAAACCCAGUCCAUCAGCAACCCUAAUAAAGCCCAAACCUAGUCAAGCCCAAAUCCACCAAUAAGCCCCAUCCUCAUCAAGCCCAAUCCAUAUGAUAUUAAUGGACAAGCCCAAGGCAAUUAAAGCCUUCAUAAACCUGGGCUUCUCUUCAUAGGCUUGGGCCUGGGUUCCCAGUUCAAACCCAAGCCCAAAACCAUCAUGGGCAAAGCUUCUCUUCACCAAUUGCCUCUCCACCCGCGAAGACUCCACCGGCGGCACGAUGAAGAGGAGAGCCAUGGCGGCGCGGGGAAAAGAGGAGCAGCGGCGGUGCGGGGAAGAGGGGAGCCGUGGCGGCGGUCUGGUGACGUUCAGAAGGUGCCGCCGCCAUGGCUGCUGGUGCAGGCGCGCGCGUUGCCGGAGCAGGUGGCAGCGGCCUGGCGACGUCCAGAAGGCGCUGCCGCCAUUAGUGGCUGGUGCAGGCGCGCACAUGGCCGGUGCAGGAAGACGCGGGGAGGGGCGGCAUGCAUGGCUCCCAUGCAGGUAGGCGAACGGCUUUGGGGGUUCCUAUGGAGAUGAGCUAAGCACGGGUAUGGUUAGGUGAUAUGGAUGAACGAGAGAAAUGGUGAGGGAAUGAGGGUAAGGAUGGGUUUGGUAUGCAUGGGUGUAUGGAUAUUCGCGGGUUUAGAGAGAGAAGUAGAUGCAGGGAAGGAUUGAUGAAGAAGGAGAGAGGAAUAACAUGGUUAAUGAAAGGUUGGGCAAAUAAAUAUAUAUAGAAGCUAUAUAUCAAACAAAUCCAUGCGACUCAGUAUACAAUCAUAUGACAAUGCUCAGGUAUCCAGAUCAGAGAUAAUUAAAACCAAUGACUGUGAGGAAGCAUGUAUGAGAAAGGCUCCAAGGACUCAUACCUGUGAUGCCCUUCAAGACGUCCCUCUCAAGCUUCCUCUCUCCCGUUUUUCUUUCUCCCUUCCCAUUUCUCUGCUACUACUCACAAUGCUCUCUUUGUUCUCUCCAGACUUCCCCUCCCAGAAUCCUUCUCUCUCUCUGCCAGUCCGGCUUGCUUUUUUUUCAGCAAUGCCCCCCCACAAAUAUCUCUCCGACCAGCGUCAAAAGCCUCUUCUCCACAGCAGAGAAAGCACACCCUCUCUAACAGCAAUGGAACCCUCCGAAAAAAUAUCUCCCUAUCCCCUGUUUUCCCCCUCUCUCUGUGGUUCCUCAGCAAGUCUCCCUACCUGCUUUCCCGUCCCAUCUCCAUCCCAUCUGGCCGCCCCAUGCAGCCCACUUGAGUGUGGUCAGAGGAACAGCAAAAAAAUAAUAAUAAUUCCCCCCCCUGAAAGCUCCUCUCCUCGGGUGGGGGUCUACAGUACUCUUAAUUUUUCAAAAUCUCAUUGAUCGAAAGUUUCCUUAUUACACUAGAGUUUCCAAUUUGGAAAAUAAAUAGUAUAAAAAAAUUUUAAGAGGUAAUUUAUUAUUAAAGGAUAUUACCAAAAAGAUUUAAAGAAACUUAGGGUCUAUUUGGCAAUUAUUUUUUAAAACAAUUUUAUGUUCUCCAGAACAAAAAAAAAACAACUAGAAAAAUUGUUUGGCUAUCAAAAACUAAUUUUUGUUUUUUAUAAGAACAUAAAACACGGUGUUUUCAAAUAACAUCCUUUAGUUGUUUUUUAUUGUUUUUGCUUUUCUUUUUUAAGGAAUGUUUUAAAAAAUAAUUAUGCAAACAUUAAGAAUGAUUAAAAAUAAAAUUAUUUUUAAAACAUAUUUAAAAAUAUUAAAAAAAAAAAGUUAAAAACAUUUUAGGUUUCCAAACAGACUUUUGUUCUACAAAACAUUAGAGAACAAUUUUCAAAAACUGUUUUUCAGAACUGUUUUUGAAAACAAGUACCAAGUAUGCCCUUAGUAAUUUGAUGAAAAUAAAUUUAUUUGAAAAUAUUUCAAAGAUAAAAUAGGUUUAAAUUUUGAGAGUAGAGAUUGUAUCAAAUUUUAUUUUUGGAUAAAAUACUCUCAUAGAAAUUUUAAAUUUUUUGAAGAUUAUAUUCUCCUAUUGCCUAGAUUUCCAAUUAUGAAAGAAAUAUUUUUUGAAAAUUUUCAUAGAAGAUAAUAUAUUCAUCAAGGUAAUAACUAAUGUUAAAAAAUUUUAAAAUUUUUUUUUAAAAAUAUCUUAAUUAACUCAAAAGUAGUGUAAGAGAGCAAUAGGCAAACCCAUAACCUCCAAGAUCAAGCCCAUCUUGAUUUAGGCCAUAACAACCCUAAAGAUGGGUUGGGCCAAGGUAUCAAGGCAUAUAGAUUUUCUUAAGUACAAAACUACAUAUGUAUGUAGUGGAAACAACAUCCCCAACAAUGGGAUUCUAUACUUGAUGUCAAGGAUCUUAGUUAUACAGUAACUUAGAAUAUGAUAGUGGCAUGCUAACAUAGGGGCUUUCAUGAACUAAGGCCUAAACUAAAAGGUGUGUUGAUCUUGCCUAAGGAAAAUUUUCAAAUUUAAGGCAGGGAGAUCAAUCUACGAGGAUCUUUACCUAGUAAUAAGAUCAUGAACAACCCAACGUAGAUUUGAUACUUAUGACGCUAAGAUACCUAGCAAACGAUAUGUAGUCAUAAGAGCACUGCAUUUGUUAAACUUUUGUUUGCCUUGAAUACUCAAUAAUGAAUGCAUGCUCAUAUUCUUUGUUAUAGAUAUCAUGUUUACCUAUUAUUAUCACUCUCAUUAUCACAAUCAGUUAAUAUACCAAACCCCAAUAAUCUUUUUUACUAAAAAAAUAAUCUACAUAUAGUAACUAAUGGUAGAGAAGCUAAUUAAGGUGGAGCUAGCUAUCCCUUGUGAAAAAACCUAACCAAAAAAAAAAAAGUGGUAUAUCAAAUUCGGUAUAAGACAGAUCAAAAAACCAAGUGUCUCAUAGUUAGAUCAUUGGAUAAUGUGUUGCAACAACAACACGUCUAUUAUCAUGGGUUUUUAUAAUCUCUUUAGUUUGCAAAGGAUAUUUGGUGAUGAGGGUGUGUUAGCUAGACAAGCUACCCUUAGAACUAUUAUGAAUACCAAGCCUUGUAUGACCUUAGAGACCUUACCAGAUGCCUUUAAGAUGAUUAUGGGGAUUCUCAAAGAUCAUAGGGAUGUCCAUAUGAGAGUCAAGGGUUCUUCAUGAUCUUCUAUCAAUGAGAAAAAGAACAACACCAAAUAACGAAAGUUCAAGAAAGAUAAUAAGAAAGCAAGCUCAGGGGUAAACAAUUCCUUUGUAGCCUUUUGGGACAUUGGAAAAGGAAUGCCCGAAUUACCUAAGAAAAAAAAAAAAACACAUCAUAUUCUCAUUGUUGAAUAUGCAAUGGUGGAUACAUUCCACGCCCACAAUUUAUAAUUCUUUACAGAGUAUUUAAUAAGUGAGAAGGUUACAUGAUAGGUAUGUACUUACCUUAACUUCAGUUCCAAAGUUAGUUGUGUCGGCUAGUGGGAGAUACUACUUCUUGCUCCAUUACAACUUUUACUAAGUAAUGAAAAUAGUCAUAUCUCACCAAAAGAAAACAACCUAGUACUAAUCAAAUAUUUGGAUUCUAAAGUCUAGGUCAUAAUAAUCUAAACAAGAUCUAAAAAUUGGUUAAGUUUAGACACUUUGAUUCUAGAGGAUCUUCCAAUUUAUAAAUCCUGUAAAGGUGGUAAAAUGAUCAAGAGGCCCUUUAUUGCUAAAGGACAUUGAAACCAAGCAAUGUUUAAAGUUAGUGCAUACUGACAUGUGUGGACUUUUUAGUAUUCAUGCAUGGGGAGGACAAAGGUACUUCAUCACUUUUAUUGAUGAAUGCUCUAACUUUGGAUAUGCGUACCUAGUACAUAGAAAAUUUCAUGCCUUAGACAAAUUUGUUGAAUUUAAGAUAGAAUUAAAUAACCUAUUGGGUAAACAUAUCAAGGCACUUCAAUUAGAUUGGAGUGGUGAGUUUGUGUCAAAUAUGUACGAAAUAUUCUUUUUAGGUUUGUUUUUACUGGUUGAGGAUGAUUUAUAUAGGGAUGAUGUUUGAACUCAUAUACAUUCGAUUUUCUUUUGCCCUUGAUACAUGUUCUUUUAUAUGUAACAACAUAAUGAUAUGAUAAAAGUAUUUUCUUAAUUUACAUUUGUGUUUGAGUUUUAUAUUUCUUUUUUUUCUUCCCAUUUCCAAUUUUCUCCCUUUUGUGUCUUUUUAUAAGAGCGAUUUGGGGCAAGCAUGAGUUAUUAUAUAUAUACCAUACAUUUCUUGCUCUUUAUUUUAAAAUAAAAACCUUCAAUAUAAAAAUAGAACAUCUUAUACAAAAAAAAAAUGUAUAUCUAUACUUAAAAAUUACUUUGAAAAUUUUUUAAAUUUGAGAUGGUAAACAUUUAUAAAUAUCUCAAUUUUUUAAAUAGUUUUUAAAACUACUACUUGUUCAAUAUAAGUUUGUAAGAGUUCUUAUAUCUCAUAUAAAAGUUAUUAUUAUUUUAUUAUUUUAAAAAUAUAAAAUAAGAAAUGUAUUCAAACAUACUAAAAAUGAAUUUAAACUAUGUUUGGUUCCUAAAUAAAUUGAGGGAAAAUGCCAGGAAAAGUGAAAGAAAAUAAAUAAAUAAAUAUAUAUAUAUAAGUGAAAUGAGUUGAAAGUAAUAUAUAAAAACAACAUAUUAACUAUAUAUAUAUAUAUAUAUAUAUAUUGUUUUUAUAUGUUACUUUCAACUCAUUUCACUUAUUUUAACUUUUUGAUAUAAAGAUUAAAUAAUUUGAAAAUUAAUGAAUUCUCAAUGAAUUUUAAUUAUAUUUGUUUUUUUUUUUUUUUUUUGUAUCUUUUAAAGGACAACCAAAUGUUUAAAAAAAAAUCAGUUUUCUUUAACAUUUUUUCUUUCUUUACUACUUCCUGAAAACCAAAUGUAAUUUUAAUAAAUCAACUUAUUGACUUAAUAUGAUUUAAUGACUUAACUUAAGUUAUUAUACAUAUAAAAUAACUUAAUAUUACAACUAAAGAUAAAAAUAAUUUUAAUAUAUCAACUUUAUAACUUGAUAUGAUUUAAUAACUUAACUAUAAUUUAAUUUAAAGCCAUUGAAAGCCCCUAAGCAUUAAGUUUUAUAGAACAUUCUUUAAAUUUCUCUAAGAAAAUGCUUCCUACUAUUAUAAAAUACUUAUAAUCCUCUCAAAUUCACUUCUAAACAAGCUUUUAGUGUAAUGGGGUUGAUUCAUCAUGGAUGUGAAAAAGCCCUGACUGAUGUUAAGCAGAGCUUGCCGAGUUGAAAUGGGAAAAUUGUAGAUAGAAAGAGCAGUGUAGGAAGUGAAGUGCAAUGGGAAGGAGUGCCACAGAAGAAUAAUGCUUACAACUUUAAGGCGGAUAUGCUUAGAUCCUUCUGGUUGGUUGGUUAAAGUUAGUAUGGAUCCGACACCCUUUUCAAUAAUUAGUAGAAAACGAUCUAUUCAGCUAUGUUUUGUUCCACAAAAUGCUUAGAAAAUUUAUAAAAAAAAAAUGAAAUUUUUUUUUUUCCAUGUCUGAUUCUACCAAAAGAAUUAGAAGGAAAAUCAAAAUUUCUAGGAAAGAAACCAAACAUUCGGUUUUUGGCAACUUCUUAACACACACAUAUGGUGGCAAUUAACAAUUAGUAAGACUUUUAAGACUAUGUUUGAUUCCUGUAAAUUUUGACAAAAAAUAAAGAAGAAAUGUAGAGGAAAAAAAAAAUGAAAGAAAUAUAAAAAAUAGAUUUAAAGUUAAUAAAUAAUUUUUAUAUAUUACUUCAAACUCUUUUCACUUAUUUUAACUAUUCGACAUAAGAGAUUAAAUAAUUUAAAAAUAUACAAGUUUUCAACUAAGUUUAAUUAUAUUUGAUUUUUUUUCUUAUUUUUUCAUCAUAUAACGAAAUAUAAAAAAUUAUUUUUCUUAACAUUUUUUUUCUUUCAUGAAACCAAACACAACCUUAAUAACCAGGUCCUCAACUUUAACUGGCAACAGCUUUUAAGACCUAACAAUAAAUAACCACAGAAACACUCUUAAAUGCUAACACCAAUAAAUUCCAAAAUCAGAAAUUAUUAUAAAGAUAAGAUAAUUAGAAAGAGAGAGAGAGAGAAGAAGAAGAAGAAGAAGAAGAAGAAGGGCAGGAUAACAGACCAAAACGGCCAAUGCAAAAACAAUGGUGGAACUGACUUGUAGUCCUUGAAAUGCUUGCAGGUUCAUCUGGUUUCAGUUCAUACAGCAGCACGUAUUUGAGAUUCUACUGCCUUCAGCACUUGUUCACCCAUCUCCUUGCAUCCUACCAGCUUCUGUAGAAGCAAGAGCAAGCCAUUAGUGAUCAAUUAAACAAUUAUAUUCAUCAGAAGAAUUUUUAAGUGAAUGUUGACCAUAAAGAUCCCUUCUGUCUAAAGAGUUUUAACAAACUAAUUUUUAUAACCCAUAUGGAACAAGGAUAAUGGUGAACACAAACUAGAAAAGGCUCUAUGUUAUGUUUGGUUCCUGGAAAUUUUAAGGGAAAGAAAAUAAAGAGGAAAAGUGUAAGGAAAGAAAAAGCAAAGGAAAACCAAAAAAUUAAUUCAAAGUCAAUCAAUCACUUUUAUAUGUUUCUUCAAACUCAUUUCAUGAUUAAAUAAUAUUAAAAUACAUAAAUUUCUAAUUAUAUUUUAUUUUCUUUUGUAUUUUUCAUAGUAAAACCAAAUAUGAGAAAACCAUUUUUCUUAGCAUUUUUUCUUUUCAUCCUUUUGUUAUCAGCCUCUGUAGUUAUCCCUCACCAUAACCAUAUGCUUAAAUCAAUUCUGCAAUCAGAGGGAAUAUUUCAAACUAAUUUGGGAACAAAUCCAUCAGUAAGACCCCUACAAGGACCAUGCAGAAUAAAAUGAUGACAGAUGAGAUAUGGCUAUGAAAGAAUUCCAUUCUGCCAUGUCAGUUGGAUAUUAUAGAUUGAUGGCCCAAGCAAAGGCUAGGCAAAGAAUGUGACAUUGUUGGAAAAACAGUUCUAUAAAACUUGGAUGCCAAACAAGAAAUUUUCGAUUUCAAGAGAUUAAUGUCUCAUCUUCCCUCUUACUUUAUUUUGAACUCUUCUCUCUUUUAAAACAAAAUUGAAGUAGAUUAUUCUCUAACGUCCAAUUGGUUACCAAGGAGAAGAGGGAAAGUUGAAUUCCUUCAACUACUUAAUUAUAAACCCAACCCCCCCUCCCCCCUCCUUCUAUGCCCCUCGGAGCAACCAACUAGAAAAGUUUAAGUAAUUUGACGGUCAGUAAUGUCUCCUACCAAGGAAAUGGCAGAAACAAGCAAAAAAGGUAGAAGGAUUAAAAAUAAUAUAAAGAAAAUACAGCAACAACAAUAACAAUAAGAACAAGUAGUUUAGUAAACUAAAAUUAUACAUACAGUUCCAGCUUCGUAUAUGUCUCUGGUCCGAAAGCCCCUAUCUAGGGUAUCCAACACUGCUGUCUCAAUUCUCUUAGCAGCAUUUCCUUCACCUAGACCAUACCGCAGAAGCAUCGCAGCACUCAGCACAGUUGCUAAUGGGUUUGCUUUAUCCUGCAUAUUAGAACAAAGUAUUCAGGAUAAAAAGACGUGUUCACAUAAAGUUAAAAUAAAUAACAGCUUUUAUCUCUAUGCAGAAGAUAAAAUAGAAGCACAGCAACUCUAACCUGUCCAGCAAUAUCAGGAGCAGAACCAUGUAUUGGUUCAAAAAGUCCAGGCCCCUACAGAUAAAAAAGAAUUAAAAUGAACAUCAAACGAAAAAGAACAUAAAACUUCAAUUGGGACUAAAAGUGGAAUGCACUACAAGGAAUUCCUUCUGAACCACUCAAAGAUUCCAUCAUUUAGAGAAUCAGAUGAUUUGGCAAUACCGAUUCACCAACACUAGCUGACGGAAGCAUCCCAAUACUCCCAGUGAUCAUUGAAGCCUCAUCGGAUAAAAUAUCGCCAAAUAUGUUGUUUGUUACAAUAGUAUCAAACUGCAAUAUUUCAGAUUUGGAACUGAAACAGUUAGAAUUCUCAUCAAUGCUCUGAAACUUUAUUUUCCUGAUUCUUAACUGGAAUUAGAUGAGGAAUAACAUGGAAGAGGAAAAUCAUGAAAAUUUGUUUCAAAGAUGAAGGUAAACCUGUUUGGGAUUACGAACAAGCUGCAUUGCAGCAUUGUCAACAUACAUGUGUGAGAGUUCGACAUCAGGGUACUCUGAAGCCAUUGCUGUGACUCUUUUCCUCCAAAGCAUUGAUGCCUGGACAAUUUCUUAAAAUAUUAAGAUUAUAGUCUUUACCAUCAAUACAGUAUGAUAUCUUGCAUUUCAACCUUAAGCAUUAACACUAUAAAAUACUAUAUAUGGUCCUAAAAAGCAGCCAAUAAGACUCCAUGAUUCAAUAUAUAAAAUUAAAGUUAUUUAAACAUUCACCACACACACACACACACACAUAUAUAUAUAUGGGUGUGUAUAUGUGUGUAUGUAUAUCAACCUCAUGCAAUUUGUUUACUGGUUUAUGCUAUUAUUGUUAUCUUUGUCAGCGGUGCCUAGAACCAAUUAUGACUGUUUAUACAUGCUUUUAGCACUACCAUUUUGUAGCAAUGAUAUCAUGCAAUUAAAUGAUAUAAUUGCAUCAAUAUAAAAUGUAAGAAGGGAACUAAAAUAAUGUAUCUACAAGAACAACAAAUUUCUCUCAAGGUAUAAGAUGCAAGAGAAAUACGAAAAAGGAAAAAACAGGUGCAUAUGGCAAUUUUUGUCACCAAGUCCAACAAUCACUAGUUAGAUUGAUGGUAACACAAAUUCAGCAUGCAAGAAGUAGCUGAUGAUCCAAUAACACUAUUCAGUGCAAUGGACUAGUUUCCCAAUACUACAAACAAUUCAUCAGUUUGUUUGGAUCAAUUGAUCAAAUAGUCAUAGAAGACAUAUAGGCAUCUCAACAAAGAGGCUCAAAGGAUAUUGUUGGGAAUUGUCCCAAAUUCCUAAUUAGUAAAAAUUCCUUUUUGUAAAGAAUAUUGUAUAGAAUAUUUCCUCAAUUAAUAUAUUAUUUUAAUAUUAGAUUUCCUUAUGGAAUAAGGAAAGUUGGAAAUAUCCCUAUAAAUAUUCUGGGUCAUGAGGGGAAAAAGUUAUGAGAUGAAGAUGGGUCUAUAGAGACUAUACGAGGUAGAUAGAGAUGUGUGGAAGAACGGGAGGUACCUUGUGGAGCAAGAGGGCUUAUGGUAGGGUAUGGAUACAAAAAAUGGGGAAACAUGGGAUAUUUUGGGAACCUAAUAGUUAUAUCUGGUUCUAUCCUCUGUAAUAUUCUCCAUUGUAUAGUGGAAUGAUUCUCUCUCAUCUGUGGACGUAGGCAUGAUUAAUCGAACCAUGUUAAAACCUCGUGUACCAUAUGUACGAUUGUUUUAUCUUUGUGUUCUUGAAUUAACCUUGUUUGUAUGAAAGCUUCCGCCAUCACAACAAACUGGUAUCAAAGCUUGGGUUGAAGAUUUCUAGAAGAGCAAAAGAUUACAUAGCACAUAAGACAAAGACAAAAGGAAUUUUAGUUGAAGGUGGAGUCAAUUGCUCUCUCGUGGUGAUAUAAUACAAAAAGUCUGUGCCAUGGAGAGAUUGAAGAUUGGCUUCAUGGAAUUGGUCUAAGGUGGAGAUCGUUGGGAAUUGUCCUAAAUUCCUAAUGACUAAAGAUUUUUUUUUGGUAAAGAAUAUUGUAUAGAAUAUUUCCUAAGUUAAUAUAUUAUUGUAAUAUUAGAUUUCCUUAUAGAAUAAGGAAAGUUGUUUGAAAUAUCUCUAUAAAUAUUCUAUGUUAUGAGGGAAAAAAGUUAUGAGAUGGAGAUGGACCUGUAGAGACUAUACGAGGUGGAUAGAGAUGUGAAGAAUAAUGGGAGGUACCCGGUGGAGCAAGAGGGCUUGUGGUAGGGUAUGGAUACAAAGAGUAGGAAAACAUGGGAUGUUUCAAAAACACAAUAGUUUUAUCUAGUUCUAUCCUCUGCAAUAUUCUCUAUUGUAUAGUGAAAUGAUUCUCUCUCAUCCGUGGAUGUAGGCAUGGUUGGCCGAACCACAUUAAAACCCCAUAUACCAUAUAUGUGAUUGUUUUGUCUUUGUAUUCUUGAAUUAACCUUGUUUGCAUGAAAGCUUCCGUUGUCACAACAAACUGGUAUCAAAGCUUGGGUUGAAGAUUUCUAGAAGAGCAAAAGAUUACAAAGCACACAAGAUGAAGACAAAAGAAAUUUUAGUUGAAGGUGGAGUUGAUUGCUCUCUCAUGGUGAUAUGAUACAAAAAGUCUGUGUCAUGGAAAGAUUAAAGAUUGGUUUCAUGGAAUUGGUCCAAGGUGGAGAUUGUUGGGAAUUGUCCCAAAUUCUUAAUUCCUAAAAAUUCUUUUUUGUAAAGAAUAUUGUAUAGAAUAUUUCCUAAGUUAAUAUAUUAUUAUAAUAUUAGAUUUCCUUAUAGAAUAAAGAAAGUUAUUUGAAAUAUCUCUAUAAAUAUUUUAGGUCAUGAGAGGAAAAAGUUAUGAGAUGGGUCUAUAUACGAGGUGGAUAGAGAUGUAAGGAAAAACGGGAGGUACCUGAUGGAGCAAGAGGGCUUGUGGUAGGGUCCGAAUACAAAAAGUUGGGAAAUAUGGGAUGUUUCAGGAUCCCAAUAGUUGUAUCUGGUUAUAUCCUCCGUAAUAUUCUCUAUUGUAUAGCAGAAUGAUUCUCUCUCAUCUGUGGAUGUAGGCAUGGUUGGCCGAACCACAUUAAAACCCCGUGUACCAUAUAUGUGAUUGUUUUAUCUUUGUGUUCUUGAAUUAACCUUGUUUGCAUGAAAGCUUCCGUUGUCACAACAAAUUGGUAUCAAAGUUUGGGUUGAAGAUUUCUAGAAGAGUAAAAGAUUACAGAGCACACAAGACGAAGACAAAAGAAAUUUUAGUUGAAGGUGGAGUCAAUUGCUCUCUCGUGGUGAUAUGAUACAAAAAGUCUAUGUCAUGGAGAGAUUGAAGAUUGGCUUCAUGGAAUUUGGUCCAAGGUGGAGAUUGUUGGGAAUUGUCCCAAAUUCCUAAUUAGUAUAGAUUCCUUUUUGUAAAAAAUAUUGCAUAGAAUAUUUCCUAAGUUAAUAUAUUAUUGUAAUAUUAUAUUUGCUUAUAGAAUAAGGAAAGUUGUUGGAAAUCUCUCUAAAUAUUCUAGAUCAUGAAGGGAAAAAGUUAUGAGAUGGAGAUGGGCCUAUAGAGACCAUACGAGGUGGAUAGAGAUGUGAGGAAGAAUGGGAGGCACCCAGUGGAGCGAGAAGACUCUUGGUAAGGUAUGGAUACAAAGAGUGGGGAAACAUAGGAUGUUUCAAAAACCCAAUAAUUGCAUUUGGUUCUAUCCUGUGAUAUUCUAUAUUGUAUAGUGGAAUGAUUCUCUCUCAUCCCUGAGCGUAGGCAUGGUUAACCGAACCACAUUAAAACAUCGGAUACCAUAUGUGUGAUUGUUUUGUCUUUGUGUUCUUGAAUUAACCUUGUUUGCAUGAAAGCUUCCGUCGUCACAACAAAUAUCCUAUUUUUCGGCCUAACCAUGAAUUGGAAAUUAAUCAUAUCCAACCUUGUCCAUAGUCCAUGUUAAAAUGCUUUAGGACACCAUAAACUAAUUCUAUUUGGCUGAACUCACUAGUCAACGAUUCACCUCGUGAAAACUAGAUCAAGAAGCAAUUGGAACUCUUAGGCCCCGCCGCCCCUGUAAGAGAUACCUUUUUCAAUUGGGAGGUAACUUGGGCUAAGAUAUUGACUCAGGAUCAGCUCAGAAGGAGGGAAUGGAGGAUGCCAAACAGAUGCUACAUGUGCAAAGCAGAAGGGGAAAUAGGAGAUAAUAUUUUUUUGCACUGUCUGAAAGCAACCAUAUUGUGGCAGCUAAUUUUUGCUCUAUUUCAUGUACAAUGGGUGAUGCAUUCUUCUGUGAGAGGGGUGCUCUUAAGUUGGAGUGGCUUCUUGGUUGGCAAAAAAAGGAAAGAGGCUUGGAAAGUUGCUCCUCUACAAUUUUUUGGUCCAUUUGGAGGGAAAGAAAUUGGAGAGCUUUUAAGGAUAGGAAAAGCUUAAACCAAACAAUUAAAAGUUCUUUUCUGUAUCUCUUUUCAGAUUGGGUUAGAGUGUAGAUGGGGGACAAUGUUACUUCUUUGAUAGAUUUUGUGGAUUGGUUAAUCUGCCCAUAGGUGCGGUUGCUUUUUGUGUGUAUUCGCCCCUAUUGGUUUUUGUAUAUAUAUACAUCGUGUAUACCUUUAUUUAAUACAAUAUCCUUGUACCUAUCAAAAAAAAAAAAGGAAGUUAUUUCUUUUGGCUUUUCCAGAUUUACAGCAAGAGGACUUCACAAAAUUGGGGUCUAAAGAAGGCUAAAUAUGUUAAGUUUAGAAGAUGACUUAGAAAUAUGAUUAAGUGGGUUAGAGGGAUUUCAGAACCUUGGUCUUCACAUUUUCAUAAAGCCAUCCAACCCCAAGCCCUGGAAUGGAGUAUCUAUUUAACUCCCAAACCAAUAGAUUCAGAAGCAACAUCCUACCCAGAUUGACCUUGGAGUAUUUCAGUUGGACAUGUACUCCUAGCCAGGCUUUCGGGGACUUAUUACUAUAAGAUGGCUCUUUUUCGUUUUAGUCUUGGUAUGUACAUCUUUGAACUUGUAACAAUUCUUCUAACUUGAAAAUUGAGACUGGUAGAAGCAUCCACUUUAGGAGAAUUGCAAUCACCAAGUCUGCUAUUUUCUUUCUCACAAUUUUUUUUUUUUGAAGAAAAAAAUGUAUAUCUAGUUUUUGUUCUAAAAGAAAUUAUAUUUAGAAUGCCCAUGAAGAAUCCAAGUUCCAAUGUGCUAAAAUAUAGUAAUCGCAUAAUCUGACAUUUAGGCACUGUAAACUCAUGGUCAGAUCCAAUGACAUGCUCCAUCCCAUGUAACAUAGAAUCCAGCCAAGUGGCUUCUUGUACGCACUCAUUAGUUCAUGGAGUAAAUUAGUGCCGCCUCAUCUAAAAGGAGAGCUAUAAUAGGUUAAUCCUUCAAGUUAUUCAUAUAGAAUGGCCUGUGCUAUAGUGCCACCAUAUGAUGGAAACUGUAGGUAAUUGACCUUAGACUGAAGCAUGAAAUGACUGCAAAAACCAAAUGCGGGCCUCUAAAAAUUGUCAUGAAUAAAUGGAGGCCGAAAAGUUUGUCAUUGACACACAAAACUUAUGCUUAUUUGCUUGUUCAUUGGAUUGGAAUGUGUGAUAAAAGUUGAAAUGGUCAUCUUCCUACCAGGGUAAUACAGUUAAGUUCUUGCUCAUCAUAGAUGCACACACAUGCUAGCCUAGGACAUAAGCCCAUGCGCCCAACUCCUCUUCUGAAUUCAAACACACAAAGAAGUGCAAACCCAACCACAAACAUUGGAAAUUCAACAGAGAUGAAAACUCCUGACAAGGUCUUCCUGAAGGAUUAUCACAUUCUCCAUAUGAAACAGAAAAGACAAUAUAAAUAGAUAAGGAUAAAGUUUCUAUGAGUUUUGGGCAUUGCUACCUGUGUCGAAGUUGAUUUUUCUAUCAAAUUUUCCAUGUCACAAGCAGGGCACUCACAGCAUCAUCAAAGAAUAUAAUAAACUACCUAAAGAGAAGGUAAAACCAGCAGCCUGAUGACAAAAGAAAACAAAAGAUAUUUUCUGCAGUGUAAACCAAAACUUCUUCCUUCUGAAAAGGGAGGUGUUGUUGGGGAGGGUAGGAUGGGGCAAACAACAUUUUUAUUCAUAUCAUGAGAAGCUGAAUGAUAUAAAAGAACUUCUACCUCCAAGACAUUUGCUUUGUCAACAGAACAAAGUUUUCCUCGUCGCUUUUGAGCAGUCUCAAAAGCAAUGCGAGCAAUGCGAUCAAUCUGGAAUAGAAAUGUUACAUCUUUAGUAACCACUAAUGCACUAAUAUAGUAAAGCAAUUACAAAAGGACAAAAUUGAAGAAAGAUGUCUGGAAAAAAUAAAACUAGGAUUCUUAAGAGGUUCAGAACAUGCUAUUCUGCAAGUUCAAAAGUUCAAAAAAUAAAAAUAAAUCAAAAUUAAAAAUAGAACUAUAGAAGAAGAAGAAGAAUUCUCCUUGCAUAUCUUAAAUACAUACAUUUUAAUACUUGACCAUCAGUCUGGCAGAGGAAAUACUCUCUGUAACUGCUAUAGACUUGCAUUUACAAAACACCCACUAUGUUUUAAGGUCCCAUAAAAAAUUCCCCACAUGAUUAAAGAUAAAUCUACUAUUUGAAUCACUUUUUUCUUCUUCACAGACAUAUAAUUGCAGUAGUAGAUAAUUCCUCUAAUUUUGCCCAUAAGAACUUGUAUAUUCCUUAGGACAAACAUUAGGUCCAUAUCAAGCAUUUCAUAUGAAAGUCUGCUAGCAAGAGAACUUGUAUCAGAAAACUACCUCAUAAGUAGCAUAUACUUCAGUAUUAAAACCGAUCUCCUCGCCAUUUUCAUUUUUGCUAAAACCCCUUGGCUUUCCAAAAUAAAUACCUGUUCCCAACAAAGACAAUAUUAGAAUGGUAACUCACAUAAGUAAAAACCAAUGUUUAAAAAACCGGACCGGAGCAGCCGGUCCAACCGGUUCAACCGGUCACAAUUCCGGUCUGAUUUGCCCUUUGAACUGUUUAAGAAUUAAACCGGCCACGAACUGCCUAAACCGGCGGUCGGACCAGUGACCCGGUGGAACCGGACGGUUCUAAUCGAACCGAACAAUUCUAGUUGGACCACCAUUUUAAAGGCUCCCUUGUAUAAAAAGAUUUGGCAAAAGCCCAUGCUAGGCCUUGUCUCGUAAUGACAAAGCCCAUACCCCACUCAACCAUAUUUUGGGCUAAGUCUUGGCCCACCAGAUGAGGAAAUGCAUUGGCCCUCAAUAUGGAUAGCUUUUAUAGGCAUCCAUUACAUCCUCAUUUCUCUUACAAUCCGAUGUGGGAUUGCUAACCAAUCUAAUCAAUAAAAAAAAAAUAACAAGUCCCACCCAAGAAGAUUUGAACCUUGGACCCCAGAUUCUAUAGCCAUCCAAGGACACCACUCAGCUACAUAGUUUUUGUUAUCUAAUAUGCCAAACAAAAUAAUAUAUAUUAGAUUUUAAAAUUUUUUGUAAUAUUAAAUUAAAAUAAUAUAAUAUUUUUAAAAAUUAUAAAAUUAGUUUAAAUUUUCAUUUUUAAUAUAUUCACAUUUAAAUAUUUUACAUAUUUCAUUUAAUAAAAUUAAAAAUAUUAAUAUGAUUUAAUUUGAUAAUAUUAUUGAUUUUUAAUCUAUUCAUACAUAUUUUAAAUUUUUUAUAAUUAUUUUUAAUUUUAAUAAUAUAUAAAUUAUAUAUUUAUUACGUCACCGGUUCGACCGCGGUUGGACCGCCGGUCCGACCAGUAAACCGUGAACCAGUAACUUUUCCGAUUCGAUCACCUGUCUGAUUCUGAAAACAUUGGUAAAAACAAAAAAUAUAUAAAUAAAUGACUUUUAGAAGUGCUAUGACUCCGAGUGAUAUCAAUGAACACUGACCUCCCGUAAGCUCCCGUACAACCAUUAAGUCAACACCUUCAGCAACCUCUUUCUUUAAAGUUGAAGCGUCCACUAACUUAAAAUGUGAAAACAAAGAAUUACUCAUUUUUCAUAGAGACGUUUAAAUCUAAAAAGAACAAUACAUCUGUUUAUAGAUAUAUAAAAUAGUUCCAAGAGUUUCCCCAUCACAAGCCUAUUACACCUCAACACAUGUAGCAAGUUCCAUCCAUAAAUUGUUCUACAGUCUUACAAUGUUGACUAGCAGUCCCACAACUUAGUACCUUUCUCACAUUACUCUUCUAUCGAUCAUACAUGAGAAGUGUAACUUCAGCAAAUGUGGACUGUAAAGAAUGAAGUCAAAUCUUCAAUAAAAAGAGUAUCAUGUGAUUGUCAUUUCCAAUUCCAUUACUAUUUCCUCUCUCUCUCUCUCUCUCUCUCUCUCCCUCCCUCCCUCCCUCUCUCCCUCCAAUUCUAUUACUAUUUCCUGCACAUAACAAAUCCCAAAUUGAUGAAUGUUAUCAGAUCCAGGUAUCAGAUAUAAGAAAUGGCUCACUGAAAAUUAGGUCCCUAAUCAGGCACCUCUCUCUUUCUCCCCCACCAAAUAGUGAACCCCAAAUUGAUGGAUGUUAUCAGGUCUAGGUAUCAGAUAUAAGAUAUGGCUCACUGAAAAUGAGGUCCCCUAAUCAGGCACCUCUCUCUCCCCCCCAACCACAGAGUGAAACCCAAAUUGAUGGAUGUUAUCAGGUCCAGGUAUCAGAUAUAAGGAAUGGCUCACUAAAAAUUAGGUCUCUAAUCAGGCACCAAUAUCAUACAAUCUAUAAAGAGUGAAACUAAAACUUGAAAAACUAUAAACAAAAAUUGGGUUGCCAAUGAGGAACCUAAAUAUCAAACAAUUCACAAAGAAUAGCACUAGAACAUAAAAAUUCAUACUAAAUAAGCAAAAAUAAUAAAAGCAGCAUCCCUACAAUCUCCAAAAAAUGAAUAUCAUGUAUCCUAUGAUUUCCCCACAUUUUCAGAUAGCAAUAUACAGAGAAAUCCUCUAUAUUGGACCUACAAAAACUUUUCAGAAAACUUAAUAUGAAAAUAUAUGGAGUGAGCUGGGUAAAGUUCUAUUGCUGCAAGUCCUAAUAUCAAAUAAAAAAAGUAUACAAACUGAACCUAUUUGAUUGUCCAAACAUUCAGGUCACACCCUCCAAUUAGUUUAGAUGAGAUAGGUAAUCAAAUAUACAUCAAAUUUUGAGUGUCUGAAUUUUUUUGAGUUCAAAUAUGGUGAAUCUAGUGAUAAAUUGGUAGCAUGCCAUUUUAAGGCACAAGGCACAACUUCAUUCAUUAUUAGAGAGGCCUUGGUGGGAAAUGGUCUGCCAAUAUUGACUGAUGGAUACAGAAGCCAAGUCAAUCUAGCGAAGCAUGUGCAACAAGCUCAAUGUGGAUUUUGAUGAAUGGGCUGAAAGAGAAUAUUAGUAUAUAAGGUGCCAGCACUUUAAAACAACACAAAGAUUGCCUUUUACUAUAUAUUAGUUACAGAUUCAGUCAACCCCAAUGACAAUCAUGUGAAAACAUGCAGUCAAAAACUUGGAUACCAAGUCUCUACAGCCACUCAGAGACUUUCAUUCAUUGAAUACAAUUUGAUAGUAGAUAUGUUUUUUGGAAGAAAAAAAAUCCUGGGGACAGUUCUUUAAAUAAAUUUUUCAACUAACGAUUCAGAAGUUUUAUUCAUUUAUUUGUAUAAAAAUGAAACAAAGAAACAAAUGUAUAUGCAAGCCUCAAGACAAAUGGAAUUAGGGAUAUGAUUCCAGGUUUCUUGAAAAAAUAAAAGAAAUUCUGGAAACCCACCAAAUCAAAUUCCAUUCUGGAUAGAUGUGUGUGUGGAGGUGAGAGAUGGUUUUGUGUUGUUUGAAAUGCUUCAUAGGUGAAGUCUUUAUAGGUGCCCCUUAAACUAGGCAGAAAAACUUCCAGCACCACCAAGCUUAAGCUGAACAAUGAAUGCAAAAGUUGUACACCACGUGAUACCAACAUCACAUCCAGCCCAAUUGCCAUCUUGAUAGAAUAAGGCUCAACACCUGGAUUUACACACCACAAGUUAAAAAGAGCCCAAUCACAAGAGAAGAAUCAAAUGGAAAUGGCAUCCACAAUGUUUGCAACCACUACCCACGUUCAUGUAACCACAUCUUGUGUACUAGUAUAAAUACAGAAGAAUCAAAUAGACAUGGCAUCUUUUGACUGCAAUUGGUCACCUUUAUAAUUCUCAAGGCUUUGAAGCUCCUACAUCUUUGGCUCUGUCUAUGGGAUGCAAGAUGUCACAGGCGAUAGGAGCCACAGUGGAAGAAACUAGUGGAGGAGAAGACCCUUUAAGGCAUCUAGAAGACUGCUUGCAUCAAAAACAGGUCUAGUUUGAGCAAAAAAAACUGUUCAUUGAUGCAACACAACAAGCCAUUGGCCCCAAAUAAUGAAGAGUUGUGUCCUCAAUUGCAUUUGCAUUGGUCUCUCUCCCCCAUAACCACACCCUCAAUGGUAAUGAGAUCCCUUCAGGGGGAGUCUUCCUUCUAUAUCGAGGAGGAUAAAUCAAUGAACAGAACAUUUAAUUCACAAAACAGGGUUUCUUGAAAUGAGAUUGGAAGAGCUAAAGGCAUAGGUGGAUUCCCAUAAUGGAAAGACUUCCCAGCAAUUAGCAAGUUGAGUGGUUCAAGGGCUGAUCAAUCCAUUUAACUCUCAUACUUUAGAAAUAGAAGUCUGACAUUGGUUAAUCUUCCCAAAAUUCCGAGUUUAUGAUGGCAUGGGAGACCAAGUACAUCACAUAAGGCAUUUAUUCAAAUCAACCUUUGACUUUAGUGCAUGGCAAUGAUGCACUGAUAUGCAAAGCAUUUCUGUCCAAUCUGCAGGGGGCAGAACUAGCAUGAUUUCACGACUUGACGAAAUCCUCAAUCCAUUCAUUAUCAGAGAUUUUUUUUUUUUUUUUUUUGAUGGGUAAACACAGAAGAUAAUAUAUUAAUUAGAAAAAAGAAGCCAAGAGGACAAUCCAAGGCAUUCAGGAAGUAUACAGUAGACGCCAUAAGGCUAAGAAGAGCAAAAAGGAGGGAAUACAAAAAACCUCACCUGCCCUCACCUAAAGCCCAACCAAUUAAAAAAGUCAAUUAAAGAUAAAGGACCAGCAUCUAAAUACAACUUUGUCCAAGACCAUAAACUACACACAAAAGAAUUCUUCAACCUAUGUACUGAAAACUCUUCAUUGCAGAAUGUUAUCCUAUUUCUUUCCUUCCACACCACCCAAAAAAGGCAUAAAGGAGUCAACUUCCAAGCUUUUUUAUACUUCUUGCUAACAAAGGACCCAAACCAACCAAGGAGAGUCUCCCUUACCGAGCAAGGGAGAACCCAAGUCACCCCAAAGAAAGUGAAUAAUGACUCCCACAAGUGAUUAGUAGACUCUUCUUUGGCUAGACAAAAGAAACAUCUAUUAGCAAGGAUCCAGCCCCUACUUUUGAGUUGAUCCUAAAUUAAAACUUUCUCCCACAAGGCUUCCCAAGCAAAAAUAAAUAAAAAAACACUUUGGGAGGAACAUAAGGACUCCAAAUUAUUUUCCUUGGAAACUGGAUUGUACUUCCCGGCUCCACAACACCGUAAAGAGACUUAACUGUGAAAAACCCACUUUUUGUCUUUUUCCAAACCACCCUAAUCCUCCACUUUUGCACUAACUCUCUUUCCUUGAAUUGUCAUGAGCAACCGCUCCACCAAAACUACCUCCCAAUCAUUCAAAGCCCUAGACAAACAAGGACUCCAACUCCCCCCCUCAACCGAAGGGUCCCAAACCUCCGCCACCCACUCCUCUUUUGAAACCGUCAAAGCAAACAAAGAGGGGAAAGAGUUGCAUAAAGCCUCAUCAUCACACCAAGAAUCCAUCCAAAAUCUUAUUCUUUUACCAUUACCCACAGAAAACACAAUGUAGUUGCUCAAUUGAGAACCUUCCUUCCUAAUCUGCUUCCACAACCCCACGCCAAAUCCCUCUCUACCUUCCCGAGUAUACCACCCCCCUUAUUCCACUCCAUACUUCCUACUAAUGACUUGUUUCCAAAGAGCUUCCCUUUCUACCAUAAAGUGUCAACUCCAUUUACCCAAAAGAGCUCUAAUAAGUGUAGAGAGGCAUUUUACGCCCAAUCCCCCCUUACUUUUAUCUGAGCAUACAACCGCCCACUUAACAAGAUGAGUCUUCCUCUCCAAAGUCCCCCCACCCCAAAGGAAAUCUCUUUGGAUUUGCUCAAGUCCAAUAUAACUAAUCUAGGAAUACGCAAAAUUGACAUGUAGUAAAUAGGCAUGUUGGACAAAGUGCUUUGAAUGAGAGUGAGUCCCCCUCCUUUUGAUAUAUAUUGCCUCUUCCACAAAGCUAGUCUCCUCCAAAACCUCUCCUCCCCCCGUCCCAAACCGCCACUGAUUUGUGAGGUGCACCCAAAGGAAGCCCUAAAUAUGAGGAAGAGAGCAUCCCUACCUUACACCUAAGCUCAAGGGCCAACUCCUCUAGAUUAUCCACCCUCCCCACUGGUAGGAUCUCACUUUUGUCCAAAUUAAUUCUUAAACCAGAUAUGGCUUCAAACCACAUUAACACCCAGCUUAGGUGAGUUAGUUGGUCCUUAAAGGCUUCACAGAAAAUCGGUGUGUCAUUAGCAUACAGCAGAUGGGUGAGUUGAACUCCCUCACCACCUUCCCUUUCACCCUGCAGCCUGUUAAAUAGCCCCCACUAACUGCUCUCUUAAUCAAACAACUUAAGGCUUCCAUACCUGUUACAAAAAGAUAAGGUGAAAGGGGGUCCCCUUGUCUCAACCCUUGGGAGCUGUUAAAGAAUCCUGUCGAUGUGCCAUUAACCAAAACUGAGAAAGAUGUAGAAAUACACCACUUAACCCAUCCUACCCAUUUGUCUCCAAACCCUAUUUUUUGCAACACCUAGAGCAGGAAAUCCCAUUUUAAAUGGUCGUAUGCCUUCUCUAUAUCAAGUUUACACAUCACCUCGCACUCAUUGCUUUUCAGUAGAGAAUCUAUAGCCUCAUUAGCUAUUAACACUGCGUCCAGAAUUUGUCUCCCCUCAACAAAGACAUUUUGAGACGAGGAUACCACCUUACCCACCACUUUCUUCAACCUAUUAGCUAACACCUUUGCUAACAACUUGUACAGCCCUCCCACCAAACUGAUACAUCUGAAAUCUCUCAAGUCUUCAACACCUCCUUUUUUUGGUACCAACACCAAGAAAAUAGAGUUUAGACUUCUAAAAAACAUCCCAUGCUCGUGAAAUUCUCGGAAAAAACUCAUCUCCUCCUUCACCAAAUCCCAAUUGGACUACUAGAAAGCUAAGGAAUAACCAUCUGGCCUCGGAGCUUUGUCCCCGCUUAGAUCAAAAAGAGCAGAGACUACCUCUUCAACAAAGAAAGUUUCCUCUAACCUAGCUGCCUCUUCCCCUGCUAAUCUAUCAAAAACUAGGCCAUCCCAACUUGGACACCAAUCACCAGGAUCCAACAACAGGUGUUGGAAAGCACUAACAAAACCCCCCUGAAUCUCCCUCUCCUCAACUAUCCAAGUUCCAUUAAUUUUAAUCUUAGUCAAAUUACUCUUUGUAUGACAAUUCACCAUCCUGUGAAAAAAACUCGUAUUCCUGUCACCUUUCUUCAGCCACACUUCUCUAGAUUUUUGCCUCCAAGAGAUUUCCUCCAUGAGGACCCAUUUCUUAUAUUCCUCCCUUGCCUCCUUUCAGGGCUCCACCUCCUCCACCGAUAAGGCUCUAGACCUCUCCUGAAUAUCCCAGAAAUUGACCUGUUGUAAUGCCAAACUCUUGUUAACCUCCACCUUCCCAAACACCUCCUUAUUCCAAAUUUUCAAAAUACCCUUGAGAGCCUUCAACUUUGCUGUCGAAAUGAAACUGCUAGAACCCCUGAAGUUGAACCCUUGUCUCCAGUCUUUUAACAAGUCCUUAAACCCUUCCUCCUUCAACCACAUAUCUCAAAAUAAAAAGGCAUAGGACCUCUCCUCGCCCCUCCCCCAUCUAAUAGAAUAGGGUAGUGAUUAGACACCGAUCUAGAAAGAGUGCUUUGCACCACCCCACUGAACCGACUUUCCCAAUCCUCAGACACUAAGAAACGAUCCAAUCUUGACAUAGUUUGCCCAUUUAGCCCACCAUUCCAAGUAAACGGACCCCCAUGCAAUGGAAGGUCUCUCAAAGUCAAUUCAUCAUCCACCUCCAAAAAUCUUCUCAUUGCAGCAGCCAACCUCCCACCUCUACUAUGCUCGCUAGGGAACCUUGUCACAUUAAAGUCCCCUCCAAUGCACCAAGGGUCAUCCCAUAGCCCAGAUAGCCCCCAGCUCCUCCCAGAAAAGUUCUCUGCAUCUCUUCAAAAUGGGACCAUAAACCCCCGUAAAGACCCACACAAAGCCAUCCUCGUAGUUUCUAGAACAACAAGAAAUCGAGAACUAGCCCACCUCCAUGCCAGUCAACCCUAACACUCUAUUAUCCCAAAAAGCCACCACCCCUUCGAUUGUUCCCCUUGCAUUAACUGCACGCCACUCCAAAAACCUUGCCACUCCAAGACUUCACACCACUCCAAUGGACAUCUCCUGGAUCUUAGUCUCCUGAAGACAAACAAGGUCUGCCUUCUAAGCCCUAAUUAAAGCUUUAAUUACCUUCCUCUUAUAGUUGUCAUUCAGCCCUCUUAUCAGAGAUAUGUACAGCUUUUAUUUUCCAAUAUGUGCUCAUCAUGCAAGAGAAGAGAUACAAGUUCUCUUUUUAAUGUUAGGAUACUAGAAAGUGAAAGCCUGGUUCAGAUGGAAGUGUAUGACAAUAAAACUACUUCGAUAGCUUUCAAGCUAGGACUUCUAGCUACUACACUUUUUCAAGAGCCUACAUGCCAGUCUGGAGGAGGACAUUGCAGCAUCUCAACUAAAAGGUACUGGUUACCACUAACACCACGAAUAAAAAGCAGCACUCAAUGAAAUCAGAUGAGUCAACAAGCAGAAGUAAAAUGUAUAGGAUAAAUGCACAUGUCUUUCAAGAGUUAGGCAAACUUACAGAUUUCCAUUGGCCACCUCAACCAUAAGGAAAUUUGUAAAAAAGACAUACAAGUAAAUUUUAUUUUUUUUUUAAAAGUAAAAGUAUUGUAUAAAAACCACCAAAGCAAUGGAAAAAGAAAAACAAGAAAGAACACACACCCCACUCUCUAGCUGAAAGCCAAGGUCAACACACAACCUUAACGGGUUCCCACCCAACCAACAAAAUCAGCUAAGGUCGAGGGACCAUCUUUUAUAGACAAUUUCGUCUCUGACCAAAGAAAAUUUACAAACGAAUACUUAAGCCUUUGAAUGGACAGCGCUUCUUCCUCGAAGGCAAUUUUGUUCCUUGCCUUCCAAACCAUCCAAAAAAGACACAAAGGACUUGCUCUCCAAACACCCUUCCUCUUUUUUCCCACAAAAGACCCAUUCCACCCCAAAAGCAUCUCCUUAACAGUGGCUGGCAGCACCCAUUGCACCCCAAACAUAGAGAAAAGCAACGCCCAAAGAGUCAUUGUCUUUACACAGUGGAGAAGAAUGUGAUUUAUUGAUUCUUCGUGCCUUUGACAUAGGUAACAUUUGUUCGCUAAAGCCCAUCCUCUCUUUUGAAGUUGAUCCAAGAUAAGAGCCUUCCCCCAAGUUGCUUCCCACCCAAAAAAAACUCACUCUAGGCUGCAAAUAGACUUUCCAAAUGGCUGACGAAGGGAAUGGCUGACGAAGGGAAAGAGGCUAGAGGGCCUAAUACUAAUGAUUUGUAAAGAGACUUAACUGAAAACUUCCCACAUUUAGUCUCUCUCCAAAUCACCCUAUCAUCCACUGCUUGUUGAACUCUCUUCCGGUAUAAGGCCAGAAAAAAUCUACAAACCUCAUCCAACUCCCAGUCAUUAAACGGUACCAACUCCCCCCACCCUCAUUGCUACACCACACAUCUUUAACCCAAGCAUACUUGAAAACAGCCAAAGCAAAUAAGGAGGGAAAAGAAACACAAAGAGGUUUGUUCCCACACCAAAAAUCUUUCCAAAAUUUUACCCUUUGCCCAUUCCCCACAACAAAAAAUAGUCUACUUCUUACAACAUCCCAAUCCUUCCUAAGAGAUUUCCACAACACCCCCCUUGCUUCCUUAGAACACCAUCCCCCUUGUUCCUCCCCAUACUUUCCCCUAAUCACUUGAUUCCAAAAAGCCUCUCUCUCAAUAGCAAAUCUCCAACUCCACUUACACAAGAGAGCCUUAUUGAGGAUAGAAAGGCACUUUACCCCCAACCCCCAUUACUCUUAUCAAGGCAAACCAAGCUCCACCGAACAAGAUGAGGCUUCUUUUCAAGGGCCCCACCUCCCCACAAAAAAUCCCUCUAAAUCUGCUCUAACCUCAAUCUGACUUUUCUGGGCAUAAAGACCAUAGACAUAUAGUAAAUGGGCAUACUCGCCAACGUCCUCCGAAUCAACGUGAUCUUACCUCCUUUGGAAAUGUAUUGGCUCUUGCAUCUAAGUAAAUGGACAUAUAAGUAAAUAUUGCACAUAUCACUGGACUCAUGGGCAUGGUAUAGAGGACUGCACAAGUCUCAAGCACAUGGUUGAAAUCUAUUAAGAAAGGAGGCAGCUUCAGCAGUUUUGAUUCAAAGGUCAAGGUUGACUUCAAGAAUCCCACCGGCCUCAAAAGUCUCCUAACCAAUUUGUCGACAAGGAGCAGAGGAGGGUAAUUGCAAUUACACAUGGCGAUGACCCAAGAAGCAAAGUUACCAAGAUCAAACAAGUUAAUUAAGUUCGCAUGAAAGUUUGUCUUGUGGGAAUCCAUCAACCAUGUUCUAACAAAUUGAUUUUUUAGGAAGCACCCUUUGCAAUGUCAACUUUCCACACAACAAUACAUUGGUGGUCACAUUGCCAAUGGCCAACUGCAAAGUUCAAAAAAAUCCUAAUUAAUGCCUGAAGUUCAAUUAAUAUUUUGUUUAUGUCGACAUAUCAAAGGAUGGGAAUUACAGUGGAGCAGUUGAAAUCUAGCAAUAGUUUGCUUGUAGAUUUUAAUGGGGAGUCAGUGAUGGCAAGAGGGGAAGCGAUUUUUCUUGUGAUAGUUGGCCCAACAACUUUGAUGGUCAAAAUUUUGGGCGUAGAUAUCACUUUUGACCUUAUAGUGUAAUCCUGCAUGAAGUUAUAUAGAUAGCAGUGGCAGAGACAAAUAUUUCGGUUAGAGGGGCAUAUUUCAGGGCAGAGAUAAAUAUUUUCAUUAGAGAGGGCAUGUUUCAAGGCAAGGUUCAAAUAUGCAAGACAAAUAUUUUGGUUAGAGGGGGCAUAUUUCAGGGCAUGGUUGAAAUAAGCACAAUAAGGGGGCAUAUUUCAGGGUGGAGACAAAUAUUUUGGUUAGAGGGGGUAUAUUUCAAGGAAAGGUUGAAAUAUGCACAACAACAACAACAACAACAACAAUAAUAAUAAUAUGUAAGUGUUGGCAAAAGCAAAAGGCAAUAGGACUCCUUUUAGUCUAAAGCAAAAGGUGAUAUCAUAAGAAACAUUAUAUUGUUUAGAGAAAUUCAUCUUUUCUAAAUACAUAUUCUAAUUUUCCAAACAUCUAAAAAUCAAAAUAAAAAAAGAUAAACAUCCUAGAGAAGCUUUAGGCAUCAUAAACAUAGUCAUCAUUGAAAUUAAAAUUGUCAUCACUUUCAUCAAGACUAGAUUGAUAGCCCUCCAUCUCAUCAUCACUAUGAUUGAUAGUAUGAUGUUUCCUCUCAUACAAUAUUUUAAUCUAAUCUUAGAUUGAAUCAAAUUACAGUCUAAUUAUGUUUAAUGCUAACUCAUGGAUAUAAGAGGUCAUCUUGUGUACUAGUUUAUACAUAGAAGUAUCAAAUGGAAAGGGCAUCUUUCAAUUGUAAUUGGCUACUGGUUAAUACUCAAGGCUUUAAAGCUCCUACAGUCUUAAUUCUCUAAUCAUUGCUAUUGAUCAUGGUAUUUUCCAUAUGCAGCUUACCUAAGAUUGAUUUUUAAGAAAUUAAAAGAGUACGCCCCAAGUCCUCCAAACCCAUUUGGAGUUGACUGGAUCCAAUCCCACAACCAUAUUAAGUAUUGAUAUUCUCAGUUCAUACCAUAAGCCUUACAACUUGGCAUCAAUGUAUAAUAAAAACCUCGAAUUAAUGUUAUGCAUUUUUACAAACAAUUUACAGUAAAAUACAUAUCAUUUACACAUGAAGCGAAACAUCAGAGAUUGUAUUCUACUGCAUUAUAACAAACAUUACCUGUGGUAGUACAGAUGCUGGCCUCAAAUUUGCAAAGACCUUAAGACCAGAUCGUAGCUGAAGCAAUCCAGUCUCUGGCUUCAAAUGCUUUUCAUUACUGUCCCAUUUGUACCUUGACCCACCAAACAAAUACACAAAUAAGGAAUAGUCACACAUUAAAAUUUUCUGAAAAUAAAUACUAACUGAAUAGAACAAGGUUGAUGAAAAAUUCUUACCCCCCAAUGGCUCCAAGAAGAACUGCAUCAGAUUGCUUAGCCACCAAAAGGGUCUCCUCCGGUAGUGGAACUCCAGUCAAAUCCAAGGCACAUCCACCCACAGGCAUCUCUUGGAACCCAAAUUCGAUACCUAAUAUUGUUUUUUAAUUUAAAAGAAAAAUAAAUCAUCAGUAUUAAUUUUUUUCCUAGGAUUUCGAGAGAACAAAAAUGGCAGUAGCAAUAACAAAAAUAGUAAGUAAAAAUAAAAAUUCACAAGGCUACCUUCUUUUCGUUCUUUUAUUUUCUUUUGUUUUAUAUUGCUCCAUUAAAGAAAAAAAUCAAACAGAGGAAAAGUGAAUAUAAAGAUGUGUUAAAAAACAAAAGGAAAAAUCACUCAAUUCAGCGAAGCACAAACUUUUCUUUUCAUUUCCUCCAUUUUUCUCAUCAAUCAUAAGGGAGUGAAAAGAAAAUGAAGUUGGGAUUUUUUAAAAACAUUCCAUCCGAGUAAAACGAUCUCCUUUGUAUUUUCUUCCGUUUUCUCGGCAACCUACCGAAGGACAACAACAGCAGAGACGAAAAUCGAACUAAAUUAGUAUAUGGUACACAUUCCCAUUCAAUUGAUCGUAAUGCGACCUUUUGUCUUAUUUUCCAUCGUUUUCCCGGAAACCAAAUAGAGAAAAAAAAUGUGGUAAAAGAAAAGGCCAAUAAAAUCAAAUGUGUGGUAUUGAGAAAAAGGCAUGAGAUACCUUCAAGAGAGCCAGCGAGCUUGAGAACGUUCUUAGCAACAGAGAUGACUUCAGGGCCGAUGCCAUCGCCGGGAAGGAGAGUGAUGGAGUAUCGCUUUGGGGGUGUUGCGGCGGAGCAGCGGAUAGUAGCCAAUCUGAUAGAAGAGGGUUUGGAGAGUGAUUUUGAUUGAAAGUGAGGUUUGAAUGGCCUCGCGCUCAGUUGCAGAGAAGCCGCCAUUGGCGUAGUCUGUACCUUCUUCUGCCCUACACUCAACAAAAACGUUACAAGCCAGCAACUAAAAGGAGAAGUCUAUGGUACCCACGCGGCAGUACCGAACUUUGAUUUAUUACCGUUGGAUUUGUAGAUUUAAUCAUGACCAUCCAUUCAUUUGAAUUUGAAAAUGAAAAAGGAAAGAACUUGCUUACGGCGGAACCGGUUUCUCAUCAGGGUUCCUUCAGCAACAACACUGGAGGGAUUGUCAACCAUGACUCCGACGGAUUAUACCUCCUUAAUUUCGCCGAAGAAAUCAUCACCGGUUAGAAAAUCUUCGUCAUCAAGCCUGACCAGCGGGCACUCCCUAAACCAUUCUUUUUUUUUCUUUUUUCUUUUUUACAUGAUAAAAAUUUUAAUUUAAAAGAAGCUAAAUUUUCCGAUAAAAUUAUUUAAUAAUAAAAAUAUUUAUUUAUAAAAUGGAUAAAUAUGAAAUCAAAAGGUUACAUGACUUUUAAAAGAAAUUUAUUAAAUUUGAAGGUCGUAAAUCAAUUAAAAUAAAUAUUUUAUAAUUUUGAUUUUGUUGUAUUAAAUAUUUAAUAAUAAAAUGUUUUAAUUUAAAAGCACUUUUAACAAUACAAUAUUCAUAUUUUGGACUCAUCGCUACUACCAUCAUGGGAAAAUGACCACUUACGAACUACAUUUGUGAAAAAGUUUUAUUACUUUUAAGUACUAUCAAUUCUUCACAUGUCUUAUUUUACUAAAAAAUAUAAUGAUACGAAUUAAGUUGAGACGUUGUAGGCCCUUUCAAAGACCAAUGGUUUUCUAUUUUGGUUUGGGACCACCUGAGAGAGUUUUUUUUCCCAUUUUUUGAAGUGAAGAGGGGGACCCCUUUUCUGCUAGGAAGAAGCUGCAUUGGACGUGUAGCGGCAAAGGGGGAUGGCCGGCCAUGAGGGUGGUUGAAGAUGCCAUGCUUGUUGAUGGAGGAAUAGUAGAGCUAGUAAUGGCUUGUUGCGGAAGAUAGAAACAGGGGAGGAGCUAGAUAUCUGUUGGAAGUUUGCUGGUGAAGACGGAGAGCAGGGGUUUCAGGAAGACAGGAAGGAGUUUUGAACUGAGGGAAAAAGGGUCUUUACAGAGGAAACGAAGAGCAAAAGAAGGUGGGGUCCCAGAUCAUCAGGUAAGGCCACCUUGAGCUUGAAUGGUUUCACUUUCUGGAUGCACUGUUUCAUUUCUCUGUUGAUUUCUGAGCAUCGUUUGUUGUUGGUUUUGGUUGAACAUAUUUGUUUGCAUGUAAUGCUCUGUUUUUGUCUUCCUGGAUACUCUUUGUUUUUCCCCUGUAAAUGGUUGGUUCUUUUUUGAGUUGAUGGUGGAUGCAUUUGAGAGGGUUGUGUACUGUAGUCCAGAUGAUUACCUUGAUGCGAAUGGAGCUGCUGAUCUUUGUGUGGACCUAAGCAGCAGGGAAGCCAUAGCAUCCGUGUAUGGUUAUUAGAUGAAAAAAGGAAGCGGAAACGUGGAUCACUAGUUAAGGUUCUCCAAGGACAUCACCCAAGGAAAGCUCAACUGAUUCCAAAACUUGUUCUGCGUAAGAGAAGAUCAUUCAGCGGACGGGCAAGCAAAUUUGGAAGAGGCAGCCAACUUCAUUGCCCAGGUUGUCAUCAUGUGCUGCCUGGGUCAGAUCGGAAAUGGCCAGGUUCACGUUCUUGGCUGCUAUUCCUUACCCCACCUUUCCUAAUCCCCAUACCCGUUUCCUGCUUGCAUGCACAGGAGCCAUGCGUGCAUGGCCGCCCCCCACUCCCUUCACAUCUUUCUCCAUCAUUCCCAUUUCUCAUUCGCAUGCUUUCUCUUUCUACACCACAUGCCAUCUUCAACCCGUUUUCUUCACUCACUAAACCCAUAAGAUCUUGCCACUCUUCAUCUCUCAUUCCAUUUAUGCCAAUCUAUGUUUUUCAUUUCUCGAUACCUAUUCCACUAACUUCCCAACAUCCAUGCCAUUCAUGAAUAACACCACUGAACCCAUGUUUCUCUCACUAACCCGUUUGCCAUAUCCAUUAACCCACCCAUUUCAUACCCUCUUACCUACACCGUUCUCACUUCCAUUCCCUACUCAUCUCAAUACCCAUUAACCCAUUCCACCAAUGGAAACUCCAUGCGCAUGCUACCACGUGAGAAUGGUGGAUAGGUAAGAAGGUGGCUGCGUUGUGGAGUGGAGUUUUUUUUUUUUUUUUUUCAUGAAGAAAAAUAUGUUUGUGGUGCUCUCGGGAAGUGCAUGGUGGGUUUGUUUGAGACUUGCAUGAAAAGUGGGUUUUGGGUGGCAUUAUUGUAAUAUGGGGGAUAGUAGUCUUGUGGCAUUCUUUAGUAUAUUGGCAAGAUAGGGAAUGGGUUGAUUUCCACUUUGGACACGUGGAGAAGUCUUGCAAAUGAAGAUCAUCACAAGCCUUUUCUUUCGCUAUUUCUUUAUAUUUUGAUAUUAGGACAAUUUUCUAACAUUUCAAUUUCCGAAAUUUAGUUUUUUUUUUUUUCGAAAUGCCAUUCUCAAAAUGAUUUUCCAAGACCCCGAUUUUUGAAAUUUAAUCUUCUGAAAUUCUUUUCUCAAAAUUCACAUUUAAAAAAAAAUAAAUAAAUAAAAUAAUUUCUCAAAAUCCUAAUUUUCCAAUAUUUUUAUUUUUAUUUAUUUAUUUAUUUUAUUAUUAUUAUUAUGAUAUUUAUUUAUUCAUUCAUUUAUUUUUAAAUUCCAUUCUCAGAAUAAUUUUUCAAAAUUUCUUUUUUUUAAUUAAUUUAAUUUUUCAAAAUACCGUUCUCAAAUAAUCUUUCAAGAUUCUAUCUUCCAAAUUUAAUUUUCAAUCUCAAAAAUUCCACUAUUCACAUUCAUUUAUUUAAAUAUUAUUCUCGUCAUUAUUAUUAUUAUUUCAUAUUUAUUUAUUUAUUUCUUUUAAAAAUUCUAAAUUAUUAAAGUUCAAUUCUUCAAAAAAAUCUGACUUCCAAAUUUAAUUUUCAAUCAAAAUUUUUUUUUCACUAUUCACAUUCAUUCGUUUAAAUAUUAUUUUCGUUAUUAUUAUUAUUAUUCCAUAUUUAUUUAUUUAUUUCUCUUAAAAAUUCCAAAUCAUUAAAUUUCAAUUCUUCAAAAAAAUCUAACUUCCAAAUUUAAUUUUCAAUCUAAAUUUUUUUUCACUAUUCACGCUCAUUCGUUUAAAUAUUAUUUUUGUUAUUAUUAUUAUUAUUCCAUAUUUAUUUAUUUAUUUCUCUUAAAAAUUCCAAAUAAUUAAAGUUCAAUUUUUCAAAAAAGAAUAUGACUUUCAAAUUUAAUUUUCAAUCUAAAUUUUUUUUCAUUAUUCACGUUCAUUCGUUUAAAUAUUAUUUUCGGUAUUAUUAUUAUUAUUAUUCCAUAUUUGUUUAUUUAUUUCUCUUAAAAAUUCCAAAUCAUUAAAGUUCAAUUUUUCAAAAUUCCGUCUUCUAAAUUUAAUUUUCAAUCUAAAUUUUUUUUUCAUUAUUCACGUUCAUUCGUUUAAAUAUUAUUUUCGUUAUUAUUAUUAUUAUUCCAUAUUUGUUUAUUUAUUUCUCUUAAAAAUUCCAAUCAUUAAAGUUCAAUUUUUCAAAAUUCCGUUUUCCAAAUUUAAUUUUCAAUCUAAAAUUUUUUACUAUUCACGUUCAUUCGCUUAAGUAUUAUUUCCGUUAUUAUUAUUAUUAUUUCAUUCAUUUAUUUAUUUACUUAUUCAUUUAUUUAAAAUUUCGUCUUUAAAUAAUUCUUCAAAAUUCCGAUUUCCAAAUUUAAUUAUCUGAAAUUCCAAUUUUCUUAUCUCCGAACUUAAUUUUCAAUUUCCAAUAUUCCAAUUCUCACAUUUAUUAAGUUACUCAUUUAUUAUUAUCAUUUCUAAAAAUUCCGCCUUCGAACGAUUUCCAAGAUUUCCAAUUUUUAUAAUUCAACUUUCAUAGUUCUAAACUUUUAAAUAAUUUUCAAAAUCCCAAUUUCUUUCAAACUUAAUUUCUAAAAUUCUCAUUCUUACAUUUAAUUCCUAAAAAUCCAAUUUUCAAAUAAUCUCUAAGACUCCGAUUUUCAAACGAAUUUCAAAAAUCCAGUUUUCCUUUGAACAAUCUUAAUUUUUGUUUGGUGAUGCAUGUGAUAUGUUUCGUGCUCUAUAUUGUGCACUAACUCCAUUUUUAUGAUAGCGCAUUGCUCGUUCGUGGCCCAGGUAUGCAUCCACUCCUAUUCUGGUCAUUCUCUAUGCAUGUUUUGAUUCUCAUAUGUGCAUAAUCAAUUUGAGUAUCCAUUGAUUUUCCUAUUGAUUGCCACGUCAGCUUCAUUUUAUUAGUAGAGACCCGAUUUUUAGGGACUUAAAGGGGUGCCACAGCCUUUUGCCGUACCUUCCCGAUGAGAAACCUGACCCCCAAGCCCGAUCCGGUUUUUCAUAAACCACCUUUUCCAAAAUAAGGAGUCGCACUUAGGGUUUUCUUUCUUAUUUUGUUUACCCUUUUAAAAAUAAAACAAAAAUAAGUGGCGACUCCAAGUCAUUUUCUAAUAAAUAAAAUCAUUUUCAAAAUAAAAAUCGAGCUUGCCAUUAAGUGGAAAGCGCAUGAGCCGAAAUGCAGGGUCCACAGACGUAUACAUUUUUUAAAUUUCAAUAUACAUGACAAGGAUUUAUCAAGUUUUCCGGUUGAAAGACCUACUUGGGCACAUCUACAAGACACUAAGUAAACAAGCAUAGCUAUUUUAAUCAAAUAUAAUGUGUUUAAGACAACAUUUCUAUUUAUUAAGUGAAAAUUUUCUUGUUUUCUAUGUUAGAUGGGGUUGUAGAAUACAUUUUGUCAAUCACAUGCAAAGAUCAAAGUAUAUGGAGUCAAAUUCAAUCUUCAUUCAUGAGGAGUCUACACUCACAAGGUACAAGUUGGUAAUUGAAUUAGUGUUUGAUAAUGAAAAUAGUGAGAAAGUCAUAAUAUUAAAUAAAAUUCAUAUUCAUGCAAAAACAAAAAAAACAAAAGAAAAAAAGUAUAGAAUACAAUCAAGAGUUUAUUUUUUAUCUAUAUGAUGAGCAAAUGCAGUCAUUGAUUUUAUAUAUCAUAGUACUACCCAUUGGUUCUCAUAUGAAGAACUUGAUCCUAAAAAUCCAGAUGUAAAGUGGUUCAUGUUAACCUAUAUUGAAAAUAUUUAUAGUUAUACAUAAUAUUUUGAAAGGAAAAUCAUAAGACUAAGUACUAAAUACUUAGAAACUUUACUCAAUAUAUGGAUAAAUGACAUAUGGCAUAGGCAAGUUAUGCUAUGACUCUUACUUGGUUUAUAAAGUAAUUUGGUGAAUGUAACCCGAGCCAUCCAUAAUAUAAGCUUAUUUCUAGACCAUUAUAGAAUGUAUCAAUCAUUUCUAAUAAUAUGAUUUAUUUUUUGAAUUACUCUCAUAAAUAAUAUUUUACAUGUCUUAAUAAAACUUAUAAAAAAAUUACAUUUUGAGAAAACUCAUUUAUCUCAUGUCUUGUUCAACUUCUAUGUUGUGAUUUAGUAAUGAAGACAUGUCCUUUAUAUUAACAUCAUAAAAUUCAAAAUAUUUUCAAUCAACUUAUCAAUUGAAAAUAAUUGUAAAGUGAAUAAUGAAUGAAUUCAAUGAGGAGUUUGACCAUACAUUUUCCUCAUUGGAAUCUUCAAUGUGGAUCUUUGCAUUGUGAGUGUUAUUGAACUCUGGACAUUUUUGAAUAGUGAGUCCUACUUUCUUACAUUUUCCACAGUGCCUUGGUUUCUAAAAUUUGUCUUUUAAGAUACCUUGAUUACCAUUGGUCUUCACAAUGUUAGGAUCUCUUAAACAUGGUAACUUGUAGCUUUUUAAUUUUCCCAUGCAACUUAUUUGACUAAAUUUUUACAAAGUUCUUUUAUUUGACAAGUGAACCUUUAAAUUUCACAUCUAACGUCUUUAAAAACUUUUUUUGAUUGAGAUGCAAAAUAAGAUAUAUGUGAGCACAUAAAUCUAUGUGCACCAUAUCAUAUAAUAUUAGCCACAUCACCCUGACUUUCAUUGCCAUGUUCAACUUGGACCAUUUCCUUUGCUAACUUAGACCACCUUUUCAUAAUAUAACUUCAAUUAUUUCUUUAAGGUGUUCUAUCUUCAUUACAACAAUCAUGUGGGGACAUGAAAAACCAACUAACACAAACAACAUAUAAGUACAUUUCUUAGACCAAUCACCAUUACCAUAGCAUACUUUUCAAAACUUGUCCAAGACUUCUAAAUUUGGUCAAUGCAUGGACAUGAUAAUCUUCAUGAUUUUCUAUACUAAGAGGGAAAAAAAACUUCAUCUCACCCCUAAAUUUGAGAAAAAAAAUUGUCAUGUGAAAACAAUCCUCGCAUGUUUCUUAAUUGCAUAAAGUUUGGUUUUUAUAACAUAUGAAGAAUGUUGUGUCUCAAACUUUGCAUUAUCCUGAUUAAUUAUGAUGAAUACAUGAGAGUACUCUAUUAAAAUGCUUCAUAAACUCAAACAGCUUCAAAUGAGUUUUAUAGAAAUGAUUCAAGUAUGCAUUCAUGCUUUCACACCUUUGUGUUCUUCUCAUACCUGCAAAAAAUGUCUCCUUAAAUAAGCCUUUAACCAUCUGGAAUACUUAGCAUAUAUGUUUGUCACCCACUUAUGUCUAUGAAGAUUCUACAUUUCCACUAUGUUACUCCAUGCACAUUCAAAUUCUUCAACGAUGCAUUCCAUAAACAUGCACCUAGAAAGCUUAUUAGUUAAGUCUUUGACAUAGACAUUAGUGAAUGCAUUACAUUGAAUAUUUCAAGCACAUAAUUGAUGACAAGACUCUAGAAAUAUUCUCUUAAUAGCUUAAGGCAUUCCUUUGUCCUCAUUGGUAAUAAUGAAAAAAUGCUUCUUGUUAUUCAUUACAUUUAGAUGUCUCCGAAACUCAUGUAUAAGUGUUAACACUCUCAUCUACCAAUAAUGCACAUCCAAUCACUAGAGUUUGAUGGUGAUGGUUAAUGCCAACUAGUAUAACCAACAAUUUUCUAUAAGCAUUAGUUUGAUAAGAGUUAAACCAUUUUCCAUAUUCCAUUUUCCAUACAUCUUCAAGUGUUAAACCAUUUAAAAUCUUCUAUGAAACUAGCAUGGACUCUUCGUCAAACUCAAUAUUCGCAUUGCCAUUAUAUUGGUAAUCAAAAUCUUCAUUGUUCAAAUCGAUAAUGAAUUCCUUUACUUUGCCUUUGCCCAUCAUAUCCAUGAAGGAAUUCAAAUAUAAAAGAAAGAGUAGUUAGAAUAUUACAUUAUUUAAUCAUACUAGUUAUCAAUUUGGUAUUUAAACAAUUCAAUAUUUUUAUAUCAUUUUUUUUUUAGUAUUUAAGAAUUAUAAAACAACAUUUAUUGCUUGUGAGAGAAGAAGAUACAACGAAAGUGAAGAAAGAUACAAAAAAAUAAGGGAAAUGAUGUUAAAAAUAUAAAAAAUGGUAUGAAUAAUGUGAAGAAAGAUUCAUCGUUCAUACCUUAUUUCACAUUCUUCGUACAUUUUCUCAUAUUUUUCAUACCUUGUCUCACAUUAUUUGUACAUUCUUUCGCAUUCUUCAUAUCAUGUCUCACAUUAUUUUCUCUUGAUUAAGUUUUUCCUAUUAUCUAUCUGCACUUGUCAAUAAUUAAAAAUUAUAAUUCAAGUUUAAUUAUCUUCCUUGAAUAUUUAAUUUAAACUUAAUUAUCUUUAGUUUUUUCAAAUACCAACUUAUUUUGGCCUUUUUAACCAAAUAACCCAUUUUAUUUUUACCUUACACUAUCAAAGAAACAUGUUUUUAACAAAAACGUUGAUUAAAAAAAAAGGGUAAGGAAGUACUUAGGUGUGAAACCCAAAUAUAUAUAUAUAUAUAUAUAUAUAUAUAUAUAUAUAUAUAUAUAUAUAUAUAUAUAAAACAAAACAAAACAAAACAAAACAUAAAAAAAGGGAAAAUGGAAGAAAGAAACAAAUAAAUAAAUAUCUAAUUAUUAUGAUUAUAAAUCAUUAAUAAUUGAAGAAAAAUAAUUGGUAACUCCAUGAUGUUUGUUUUUUAUUUAUUUAAUUCUAAAUAUAACUUAAAAUUGAAUAUUAUUUAAUAGUGUUAAAUAUUAAAUUUUUAUUUUUAUAAUAUUUUAUUUUAAUUAAUUAUUAAAAAGUACAUAAAAUCAACAUGUUACUUUUUUCAUUUAAAAAAAAAAGAGAAUUGUGUUUUGGGCCUAAAAAUUAACAUUUAGUCUAUAGAUGUUACAAAAUUAAUAGAAAGGCUAUGAGAUAUUAACUGACCAAUAUACCCUUCAAUAUUUCCAAGUCAGAUGGUUGUAAAUUAAAAUGGGUUUCACAGGUGUUAAACUUGAAAUGCCAUGUCACCUGACUAAAAAAUCUGAAAUAAAGGGCAAAAAGGGUCAUCACCCUCCUAACUCUUUCUCUCCUUUCGUAAACACCAUGCUCAAAGAUGAUGCCAAUUGUGAAUGUCCCCCAAUCGGUUUCUUUAGUAGUCGAGGAUUGUGAGUAACUCAGAAAAGCCUUUGCAUGUAUUUGAUCAUCAUCAUUCCCAAAUCGAAAUGACGGUGGGUGUGGAUUAUUUUUUCUCACAUUUUGAUUUGAUCAUGUGGGUUCAUUUGAUGAUGUGGUGGAUGUUUGUUUACUGGAUCAGUACAAGAUUUGAGGAAAGACAUUUGUUUUGAUGGGGUGUUCUUAAAAAAUUUUGAACUUAAUAAUAGAGUGUUUUUGGGUGCAGGGUGGGGUAUAAAUGAGACUUUGAUCAUAUCCAUCUUGGCUUAUCGGAAUGAAGCACAACCUAAGUAAAUUGAAGAAACUUAUAGUUAAUCUUUUGGAAAAAAAUCUCCUAAAAAAUGGCAUUUCACCUGUUUGAAAAUUCUUCACUUUAUAAUUUGGUUGUUGGGUUUAUAGUCUAGAGAAUAAAUGGGUAUGGUGCAGACGGUGAGUUGUGGGGAUUAGUUAGUGCAUUUAUGAUGAAUAGGAAACUAAAUUGAGUUUCAUUUUCCCCCUUUUCACUAAGCCAUGACAUUGGGAAGUGGUUAACCCGCCCAUAUGCACUCAUUAAGUUGUAGCUAGGUCGAAUUCCUACAACUGUACAAGGCAUUUACACCAAGUGUACAAGGCCAAUGUACCAAAUGUACAAGGGAGUAUAUCUUAAGGGUUUUCAAGUGAUUUUGAAGAACUUACUCAUUUACUUUUUCUGAUCAUGGGGGACAUUCCUCACAUAUAUUGCUUGACAACACACUCAUUGCAUGCAUUUUAUUUGAUGUCUACCAUGUUAAUUCAUUCUAUUAGCUCUCCUACUAAUGAUGUAUGUGAACCGAAACGAGGGUUAACUUUUUCCUCAUUUUCCCUUAUCCAUGAGAAUAGAACCAUUGUUUACCCACCCAUAUGCACUUGUUAGGUUGUCCCUAUGUUGGAUUUCGUUACUGUACAAAGCAUUUAUAGUAAGUGUAUAAUGCAAAUGUGCUAACUGUACAAGUGUGUACAAGGCUACCUAUCUUGAAGGAUUUCAAUUUUUUUUUUCAAAAAAUUGCUUGCUCAUUUUUUUUUCAUAGGAGGACAUUCCUCAUGGUCAUUCCUCAUUUCCCUUCGUACACAUUCAUUGGAAUGUGCUAGCACACUUAUGAUGAAUAGGAACUUAAAUUGGGUUUCAUUUUUCCCCUUUUCACUCAGUCAUUUCAUUGGAAUGUGGUUAACCCGCCCAUAUACACUCAUUCAGUUGUAUCUAUGUCAGAUUUCUCCAACUGUACAAGGUAUUUACACCAAGUGUACAAGGUCAAUGUACUAAAUGUACAAGGGUGUGUAUCUUAAGGUAUUUCAAGUGAUUUUAAAGAACUUAGUCAUUUACUUUUUCCAAUUGUGGGGGACAUUCCUCACACAUAUUGCUUGACAACAUACCAUUGCGGCAUCACCUAAUGGUAGAUGUAGCUUAUGUUCCUAAAAGUUAAAAGAGACAUCAUUUAUUGGAUCAUAAUUAGUAGAGCAACCUUACAAAAAUAUCUGUAUGACUGGAUCUUUUUGUCAUACAAUCUUUGGUGAUUUUGAGAUCUGUUAAGAGUGUGCAUACAGAUGGUUUAAAAUUUCCUUUUUUUUUUUUUAUAGGAGCAAAUAGUUUAAAACUCAUCCAACCAUAUUAGUUUUGGUGACAUGUGAUCAUUUGGGACGUACUGGUUAGUGUGUCUGAGUUAUUAGAAAGUUAUGUCAUAUGCUUAUUGGCAAUUCAAUAAUGGAGCAAUGAUGUCAUGUUUUACCAUGCCUCAUUGAGCGUUGAAUUUUACAUAGCCUCCAAAAUUAAGUUCUUGUAGUUGUAAAGUUUCCAAUAGUUUCUACAUAACCAUGCAUGCCUUCAUGAAGUUCCUAGAGUUUACACCUGCAAAGGCAAUGGUUUGUGUGUAACUUAGUGUGCUGUUGUUCAACUUGUGCCUAGAAUCAUAGAUUUUAAAAUAAGUUGUUUGUAGGUUUAGCAUAUCACCUUGAUGCUUUGGUUGGUUAUUUCUAGAUUGAUGGUUAGACCAAGCUUGGUUUACAAGCUAGACCAUAUUGUAGCAUCGCACCAUGCCCAAAUUGUCUUAAUUGAGCUUAUUUAAGGGUGGUAUAAAGUACUGAAAACUUCCAAAACAUUGUAAUGUACCUUUGAUUAAUUAAAACUAUAUUCUUUCAAACCUCCCUUCUUCCUAUGUUCAUCCUCCUUAGCUUCCAUGUUACGUAAUGUUGCCUAGCAUGACAAACUAAUUUUGAGUGAUUUGGUAACUUCAAAAUGCCUUGAUUUAUCUAAGUGCUAUAUGUGUGCUUAAAAAAGGCCAAGAAAACACCCAAGUUGUGACAGUAGGCCAUAUUAAUUUAUUAUGACUAAGUUAUUCCUACAGUUUCAAGGCACCUUGGAGGAUGUGAGACUGACAUUACCUUCUUUGUUUUGUUCCCUUUCAGAUUGAAAUUUUGCUUGGAAAGACGGAGAACUUUGAUGAGUUGAUGGCUACUGCAGCAGAGGAAAGGGAAAUUGGAGACUACAAGGAACAAAACUAAAUUAAGAUGUUCUGAUCAUACUUGUUUUAAGAGUUUUUAAUUAAAGAUUAAAAAAACAGUAUCAAUUGAUAUAAAAAAUUCAGAAUGUUUUUUUCAUUAUUACCAUAGCUUCAGUCUUCACAUUUGCAUUAUUAAUAAAGCUUCAGUCCCACAUAAUGGACAUGUUGAUCGAUUACUUGCUGUAUUUAGAAUCUUGAAAAUUUAUCUGAAUGCAUUCUAUAACCAUACUAUAACUGGAUAUAAUUGGAAGGACCCCUUCCAUAUACGAUUGUAUAAUUGAAGUAACUCGUAGCCACCGUGUGAGGGUAGUGAUAACUUUGGAAUGGUGCCUUGUAUUAACCCCUUCAUUGGCCCUGCGUUAGGCCCUUCUGACAUGGAUCCAAGGCCAAUCAUGUCCCAACCAUAGAACUGGUCUGAUCCUAGUACUGUGCAUACGCUGCUGCCCACAACCAAAAAAAUAAAUAGUCAUUUUUAGUUCUUAUUUCUACGUCAUCACAACCAUGGUAAAUCAAUCAUCACUUCAUGAGGCAAGACCACAUUCUAACAAUUUGUAACAAAAGCAUGUAAUAAAUUAUUUCAUAGCAUCUGUCUUACAUGGAAUGAUUAUAACUUAAAAAGCCAUCUCAUUUCAAUAGCCAUUGACCUUCAUCACAUUUUUCAAUUACUAGUUCAUUAUUUAACCCUAUAAAAUGCAAAACCAAAGGCAUAAAAUACUUACUCAAUCGGACAACGACCGAAACUCGACCGGCUGUCAACAGGGAAAUAGGGCACUCCAACCGAGAAGAGGAAGCUACUGGAUGAGAGAGGGGGUUUGUGGCACAUUCCUCGACCGAAACUCGACCGGUCAAGGGUAACCGGUCGAGCUGAUUGCUCAUAUUAUGUGUGACAUGGCAAGUAUAAUAUACUUAAAAUGCGUUGCAAUCAAUUUAAACCUAAUUACGGACUGCAACGUAAACACUCACUCAUUUGGCUGGCAUGGUACGUCUGGCAUGACAAAACAGAACAUCUUGAAGUCUACAUCCACCAUUUCUUUCUUGUAGGCAACAAGCCAUAGAACAACCUUCACCUUAAACAAUCAAACAAAGUACAUUCAAACUUCCCAUCUUAUGUACAAUGCAACAAAGAUUACGGAACUACAAGCUACUUUACCAAAUUUUGUUGUAUUCCACUCAUACAGCUCUUUUUCCUUCCAAGUUAAGAAUUCAAGAGUUGGAUUCUUUUGUUAUGCAAGUCAUACACAUAAAGCGUCCAAUGGUUUUUGACAAGAACUGGUAAGUAGACCUACAUGAUGCCACUUACAAUGGAUUACAAUAUAUAUUGGGUCAAUGAGAUUAGAAGUGUACAAACAUAAAACAAUGCAUUUCAGCUCACCUCAUUAACAUUCUGAUAUGAAACAUCUAAGGAAUACAAAUAUGGCUCAAAACGGGCAAUUACUGCGUCGUGUGUCAAAUGUUUAGCGUUGGAGCGCAUGACCAUUUCCUGCAUAUCAUAUGCAAAAAUUUAAAGCUUUAAAAGAUAUCUAAACUUGUGGAUAUGUUAUAACAACAAAUCAUUCAAAUGUAGUGUCCAUAAUCAUUACAGCUAUGUAUGGCGAAAGAAACAGUUUGGUCCUUGAUACAUCGUCGAAUUGCAACAUUCUACAAUAUGCAUCCACAACCUAAGACAAGAAAUGAUUAAUAUGUAAGCAAUAUUCAGAUUGACUAAUGACAAGAUGUUACAUGAAUAUUAAACUAAAAAUAAUGCAAACUAAUGGAGAAAUUGAUAUAUUAACAUCAUUGUCAAUCCAAUUGUCUCCUUGGAAAGAGGCGAGGUUGCCUCUGCUUAAACUCGUGUCAUGCAUUGAAACAAGUUCCUCGCUGUCAACAAAACCAUAUAUGUUAGGGUAAUACCAAUUUUUGCAGGUUCAUACAUUUGAAAAUGGAGUAUUAUAUGCUUUAACAUACCUCGGGUCUAAGUCCCCAUCAAAUACAAUUGCAGUUGCUUGUUUCAUGUCCAUCUUGAUGGCAGACUGUCGGGUUUGUGGCUACACUAUGAAUGAUGACAACAGAUUAGGAGCCAUCCGACGCACUCUUCGUCGCCUCCCACUCCUAUCAAAUGGGGCCACAAUCAUAGAACGCAAAGGAAAGUGGUCAUAGACGAGUACUUUUUCAUCAGCUGUUAGUUUGGAGUAACAAUAGAUUAGUUAAAUGAAUGGCAAUAUAAUAUGAGUUAUUAUGUACGCAUUGAUGCAGUAAUGAAUGUCUCCCAAAAUGUUACCAAUAACUGUUGGAUGCCGAAUUGGAGUGUCUGGUGCAUCUUCAGUGCCAUGGCAUGCCAUGUUAUCUCGGGCAUAGUGUGAAUGUUGUUCGAGCUGGGGAAAGUCAUCGGCUGCAUUGCCUGAGUGACCAACUAUAGGCAAAGGUACACUUCUUUCUCUUUGGGCUUCCAAUCUAUGCAUCAGACCACACAUGAUGCCAAGCUGCUAUUGAAUGCCCUUUUGAUAUGCAUUUAUUACGUGUUUUGCUGCAUAGUACUUCUCCAAUAUUUCCUGUGACAUGUUAACGAAUUUCCAGAAGAUAAAUUACUCUAAAACUAUUCAAGAAAAUAUUUUAUAACCAAUGAUUUACAAUAUUCCAAUAAGUAAACCUAAUUCUAAUGGCAUUCAGACGUAUUUAAUUCGUAAAGUAACAAACAGUAUGCGUACAUGACUACUUGUCAAGCCACUCUCAGCCUCCACAUGUGUACGGGGCGGUGAUGAAUCAUCAAACCCCUACAGUUGAGAACAUGACGCUUGUUAAGAACACAUAAACCUUGAAGGUAUUCAAUUUGCAUGUCAUCAAAUUACAUAACAAACUGCAUGUAGACUAAAUGACUACCUCGCCAUGCCCAAAACUACCAAAUUCACUGAUCUUAGCAGCUAAGCGCUCCUUUAUCAACUCAUCUGACCAUACGGAGAGGAGGGCACUGUCAUGGGAACAUGAAUGAAAAGAAUCUUGAAUUUAAUUACGUAAUGGAGCUGCACCAUGGAAAUAAACAUAUGUGCAUUCGUUACUUACUGCUAGUGAUGUUAACAAUUAAAAAGUGACCAAGUAAUGAAUGUAAAAAAAAAAGCAAUACCUGGAGAAAAAGGAUGCAACCAUGUACCCAGACACUGUUUCGUUGCUUAAAUCGUCUUAUACCCUCAACAAGCUGGUCAACAACAAAUUGGCCCCAAUUAACAUCGUUUUUGAAACCAUAUUCAUGGAUGGUAUGCCACAAAUUUCGGCAUCCAUCUAUCGUUGAGGUGGGCGCCAAUAUCGUCGCACAUGCGUAGUCAAGGAAGCAUCUACAUAACUCUUGCCCGACAGGUAAGUUGAGGAGUCUAUCCUCACAUGUGUUGAGUGUACCGAAUAGAUAAUCAGAUGGGGUUGAUGCAAUUUGUAGAAUCCAUCCGGUUGUCGGGAGGCCAAAGACAAGGCUCACAUUAGCAGCUGUCAGAUCAUAGCUUUUGUCGGAUGAUGUCUAUGGGUCUGAAGCCAACGUUAAAAUGGUCGAUCAGCCAUAGACAUAUAUUAUGUCGUAUCUCCUUGCAAUUUAAGUUUAAAAGAGCUCCAAGCUAAAGGUCUCGAACCACUUCCAAUUUCUCAAUUGGGAGCCUGUUGCAUAGUUUUAGGAAUUUUGAAGAUAAACAACGUGUGAACAAUCUGGUGGCCUGCAUUAAAAUUGUUGGAGAUCAUUAGUAUCUUACACAUGAAUUUUAGUAAUUAAAAAAAAAUAAAAAAACCAAUAUGAAUACAUAAACGUGGUAAAAAAAAAGCAAUACAAUUGAAUUAACUAACAAACAAAUUAAUGUGGAGGAAUAAUUUACUAGUGGAUGUUUAUGUAGAAUCUUUAACACCCAAAACAAGUAACUGCCUUAAGUAGGUUAAAAUAUCAAGUUCCCAAAAUAAGUGAUGAAAAUUAAAAAACAAGAAAGAAUGCAUUACCUCCGUAGUGGCCAUUGAAUAAUGAAAUUAUUGUUGUAAGCUUGAACCUUGGAAAAAUCGAUAACUUCAAAUGGGUGCUAUAGUAGUUAUCGCUCACCUGGAGAAACAAAUAAUAAAGGGAAAGGUAAUUUGACUAUUCGUACCAUUAAUCGGUUGGAUAAAUUUGGUAAUGGUAUACCAUAUUCAGAUUUAUAAGGUAAAAAUAAAUGAAAUAAAUAACAAUAUGGCAAUUUAGGAAAGCGCUUACAGUUUGGAAGCAAACAUGUGUAUGAACUACUAUCCUACCGACAACUGACCAUAUAAAUUACUAGAUAAUAACUGGAAUGGUUACAAAGUGCGUAACAAGUAUAUCUCAUUGAAAGACAAUUUUCAUUACGUGUUAGGAAUUCAUGACACAUUCAAAUAAGUGCAACCAGAACAUGAUGCGAUAAGAAGCAAAAACAAAAAAGUGGAAAUAACAAAGGGGAAGUUUCCCUUUAUUGAAAAAAAAACAAAAAUUGUGAACCCCAAUAAGUGAAUAUAUUAAUAAUAAACCGUCAUCCUCAUUUAGGCUCCAAACAAGAAAUGCUUGAUAAUGUAGACACACUGAUGAAAUUAAAUAACAAGUGAAAAGAAACCACAUUCAAAUUGCACUUUCAAUUAAUUUAGUUAAUCAAAGCAACUCUAAAUCAUGAAAAUAACAAAAUAGGGCAUCGUGCCUAUAACGAGGCCAAUACAUAAGAAUGAAAAUCAACAACCCCUUACCAUAUACCCAAUAAUAGAAUGUAUGGGAUGAUACAAAAUAUUGGAAUCGUACAAGCACAAAAAAGGCACAUGUCACGACAACGAAUUAUUACAUUUAAAGUGGUUGUGACCUAUGCCAUUGCAUCGAGAGCAAUGAAUUGCUCUCUUAUGACUAAACUGUGACUCAAUGCGUCUUUGUCGGGGUCUUCCUGGAGGACGUCUCACAUAAGGGGUUGGAGAGUAGGAAAGAAGUUGCCUGCGCAAUCUUGCAAAUUCCCAUCGUCACAAACUUUCAGCAUAUUGUGUGUUGGUAAUGGUUGAAACUGACCCGAGUAAAUCAAAUGUUGUGUGGAGACAUGAAAACAUGGGUCGAUAUACUCAUACACAUCGUGUCUCAGUGUGUGGAUGACAGCACAUACGUGUGAACAUGGCAAGCCAGACAUUUUCCAUGUCAUGCAAGUACACGUACAUUGAUUCAUAUCGACAACCAAAUAAACCUCCCCAGUAAACACCUUAAACGUCCCCCCCAAAUAGGGCAACACACUAAUCGGAUCAGACCUUAUGAUAUUUGACAUUAGUUUCUCUUCAGUUUUCGGUCCGACCACGCUCUUCCACUUUUGUGUACCAUGCAUAUGGGUGUCCGACAUGGCUACAAGUUUAUCCAUGUGCAUUAACAAUAACGUUUAAAUUGUUUGGUGACAUUCAUCUCUUAACCACGCAUUGAAGGACUCUGCAAUGUUAGUUGUCAUUUUAUCUCAUCGUUUUUGAAGAAACUUUGACAUUGCCCAAUGUUCAGGAUUGUUUUCCGCAACCCAUUUUGCUAGGUUGUCAUUGAAGUGCACAAGUUUUUCAAAUGCCUCCUCAUAGUUUAUAUCCAACCUAGCAUAUGCAAUGCUGUCUAAAAGUAACAAAGCAUCUUCUUUCCUUUUCUUUCCUCUAAUGUUUUGCUUAUUCAAGAAGUUAGAAAAGUUUUUCUUCACAUGUCGAUAACAAUAUGCAUGAUUUCCUGUCCCGAACAACUUGAAAACACUACGCAAGAUUCCCUAAAGACAUAUGAUAUAAUAACAACUUCUUUACCAUCUAAGACCCCCUUUAAUAUCUCCAAAAACCAAUACAAGUCCUCAUAAUUUUCUAAACUGACCACACCAAGGGCUAGAGGGAACAUUUCAUCAUCUGUAUCAUAUGCAAUGGCGGACAAAAGAGCUCCCUUAUAUGGACCACUUAGGUGGCAAGAAUCAAUAGCCAAUACCGGUCAACACCCCAUGAUGAACCCUUGAAUUGAAAAUGCAUGGGCAAUGAACAAUUGCAUGAAGUGACCUUCAUGGGAAGUGUACUAUGCAAUAGUGGCGGGGUUAAUUUCCCUUAACCUAUGGCAUAAACAAGGGACAAACGUGUAGGACUCACGUGGAGCUCCAUAUAUGCGCUCUUUUGCCUUCUCUUUAAGGUGUCAUGCUUGGUUAUAUGUCAAUUGAACUCCAUGAUCACGUUCAAAAUCCUUACAAAUUUGAAGGGGAAGAUAGUCUGGAGUGGUUCUUAACACAUCUUCAACAACAAUCGCACCUCUCUUUGAAGAAACCUUGACCUUAGAUGAACACUCAUCAUGAGCUAUAUGAUUAUGAUUCACUUGGUAAGUAUGAACUUCGCAAGAUGACAUUUCCCUCUACAGCGUGAGCUGUUAUCUUCCAAGGAUAACCCUUAACCGAACACUUUACAGACGUAUGUGUAGGGGAAUUUUUCUUGCACUUGUAUUCAAACCUUCCACCUAAUGACAUCUGGUAAAUUGCGUUGCGAAACUCCUCAACAUUUUUAAAUGUAUGUCCCAACCUUAAUAUUGCUUGACAAAAACGAAUCGAUUCCAAAGGGGUGUACUCAUUAUCUGCACAACGCGACACAAAACCUCUUGAUAGCAUCAUAGUAUUAGGAAUUGCAUCACAUGAUGCAUUAAAGGAAGGAAACGUGGCAGAAGAACCUCUACAUUUACAUACAUUAACAUAAUUAGACUACGUGAUGCGUAAAAUUGAUAUUCAUAAUAUUUUAAAUAGACAUUCAUGUUAAAGUCCAUUACCCAAAUGUCAACUCUGUAUUCAGUAUAUUUGCUUCAAUGGCUUCUACACAGGGUAAGUCUACUAGGUAUACAUUUGCAAAGUCAUCACUGUGGGAAACCACGUUAUCCAAGUCAUCUUCAUCUUCUAAAUCUUGGAUGACUCCGGGGUUGAACUUGAGGGUGUAGUGCAUCUUCAUCGCAUCAAAGGAGAUGUCGAAUUUCUCUAAGAUUUUUUUGGUGAAUUCUUCAAAUGACAUUCCUUUAUAUAUGUGAAUACCUUUGUUUCUUCCACCCACGUAUUCCCAUUGCCCAUCAUUUUUUUGGACAAGUUUGCCUCCCACGAAAAUGUAACAAUAUAUCCUAUUAGUUGCGUCCAUCAACCUAUACAAACACAGCACAAAUUUCAUAUUAUAGAACAAACAAUUAUGCAUAUUAUAGAAAAUGGGGUUAAUCUUUUCUCUCAUGUCGGCUUUUUCUUUGAAGUUGACAUUAUUAUUAGUCGCCAUGUCCAGUUUAUCAACCAUCAUUUAUACAUAUACUUUUCCUUUUGUUACUUCACUUAUUCUGUUUUUUAACAAGUUGGUUGACUCUUUCUCUGUUUUUGUAGAUUGCUAUGACCCUCUGGAUCCCAAUGGGAACAUCACACUUAUUUUUUACACUCAUAAAUGGACAGAUGAUGGCUAUGUGGUUAGUGUUUUGGCUCAUGCUCAAUAGUUAGCUUCAAAUUUCUUUGAAUUUCAUUCUGGUUGAAUUGUAUGCUGAAAAUAAUAUUGACUUGCAUGCGUUUGAUAUUUAACAUCAGUGAAUAGUAAACAUGGAAGGAGGUGUUUGGGCACUAGAAUGAUUGUUGGAAACCAUUUUGGAUUUCAAUGAGAAAUCCCUUAAUUGAUUUGUUAUGUAUUGAAUCCCUAAUUGUUGGUCUGAUUUAAUAGAAUUAAGGGUCAUUGAACUGGCUUUGAACUGAUUUGUUUCUUUAUUUGCUAUUUAUGUUCAUGUUAGGUACAGAUUUCAUGAAGUUGGAAAUGAUAAUCUAUCUACACAUACUAAGUAGCCCACAAUAUCUCAUACUAUAGGGUGACUAGAACUUGGGUUUUAUCGAAGAAAGUUAACAAACGAACUAUCGUACUGAACUAGACUACCACAGGAGGAAGUAAAUAUAAUGCUAAAAGAUUUGAUUUGAACCAAAGGAGGAAAAAUAUGUCUGCAAAAGGAAAAUCAAUUUGCAUUGACUAAUCAUAUAUUAGAAUCAGAUUGCACGUAUAAAACAAAAUUCUAAAAUGAAUAUGCAAUGCUAAAUCAAACAAACAUCAGUGAACCAAGUAAAAUGCAGGCAAAAUCAAAUAUAUUUUUAUGUCAUCUUCAUUAUCACCAUUAUUGUUCAUGCCAAUCGGGGGUUGUCAUAUUGAUGGAGAAACAAGUCAAUCAUGGUGACAUCACAGGUUAAUAAAAAGAAGUGGGUUUUGCAUGUCAAGGCUAUCAAUCAUGUAAAUUGAACACAAACAUAAUUAUCUAAACAAAAACUGUUGAUACCACGAGAUGUAGCUACAAUUAACCCAUGAAGAUCCUCACUAUUUCAAACUGUGAGCCAUGUCUUAGAAACACCAUAACCCACAAUGAAAGAUGGCUAUCAAGAGAUCAAGUCAUCCACACAAAAUAAAGAGUUGACAAUCAUAAUGCUAAAUAAAAAAAUACCCAUAAAAAAUAUAUAUGUUAAACCAAAAAACAUCAGUUAUUGGGUUUAAGCUUCAAAAAAAAAAAAAAAAUUUCUUUACCUGAUGGUAAGAAAAGCUCCCUCCUCAAUUCAGACAACAAGCAACCUCCAGAAAGUCCCACCUAACCUCAAAUAUCCAACAAUGCUCAGCACGGAGGGCACCGUCGGUGGGGAUCGAUGAAGGAACAAUAUAUGGCAAACUGAAAUCGCGAGAUAAAUUAGGGCAAUGUAUUUGGGUUGAAAUCAAAUGGUCCGGAUAGCCGAAAUGAAGCAUAAAAUGAAAUUGUUGAACCUACUAACCGCAACUAUCAACUACUUCACCACGAAGGCCAAAUCCAGUGGUGAUCAUCGACGGCAAUGGAUCGAUAAAGAUGAAAAACUCCACUGCCUACACCUAAAAUCAGAUGGCCGGGAAAGACGAGAUCGAGAGAUAACAAGAUUGACAUAGAGUAUUAGGACAUUCUUUGGGCGGAAGUGAGGGACAAAGUCGGGAAUGUGAAAACGCCUAAUGUAGACUCCAAUUUGGGGAAAACAAAUGGAGAAAUCCAACAUGGAUUUUAGUUUUUUUUUUUUUUUAAUACCCAACAAAGGGCAUUUUCGACAAAUUAUACAUUGUAUAUCCUUCUUAUUAAUUUUGAGACUUUAUUUGGGUGUUGGGCUUAAUUCUGUAACAUCUAUGGACCAAAUGUUAAUUUUUGGUCCAGUUGGGCCCAAAACACAAUUCUCUCUAAAAAAAAGUUAAAUAGUUUAACUUUUUCUAUUCAGUAAAAAAUUUAUAAUAAAUCAUAAAAAAUAAAAAAGAAAGCAUCAUAGAAUUUAAAAAUAAUUUGAGUUUAGUAAAUAGUUAAAAAAAACAAACACCCUCUACAAGACCAAUUGUUUUUUUAGCUUUUUACUCAAAACAAUUUGUUUUUAAAUCUUAGGUUGGUUGUGUUUUUACUUUUUCAUAACUUAUUAUAAACUUUUUGCUAGAUAAAAAUAAAGUCAAAAUAUUUGACUUUUUCUAAAUGAAAAAAAAUAACAUAUUGAUUUUUCUUUACUUUUUAAUAUUUAAAAGAAAGAAAUAUUUAAAAAACAAACAACCUAAUACUUAAUACUAUUAAGUUUUAAAGUUCUAUUUAGAAUUAAGUAAAAAACCAAACACCACCAUCCGUAACUAUCUUAAUCAGCUACUUUCUCCUUAGCUUAUUAACUUUUGAAUAGAAUUAUGAAAUAAACUUAUGAUAUUUCAGACACCAAGAAAUCAACCUUUUAACAAUGAUUUUCUACUGUCCUUCCGAAUGGGGGAAAAAAAGAAUAACUGGCUAACAUCACAAUCAUAUACAUCGGCCUACACCUCACUCAAAUCAUCAAUGUCCAAGAUUUUAACACUCUUCUUCACAAGAUUUCAUUAACCUUUGUCAAUAAGAGCUCACUGCAGCCCUUAUUCACAUAUACAAUAAACCAAAAUCGACGUAGUGAACGAUUACAUGGCCUCUUCACUUCAACAAUUUUUGGCUAAGCUCCAUGACUCUUUUGCAUGAAUCUCAUCAGCAAAGGGUACCUAAAAGUGAAUUCUCGGUUCUCAUUCCCUCUUGUCCUCUUCUUCCUCAUCCUCUAAAUUAUCUUGCUUAGCAAGACUGAUAUCGCCUUCCGGCUUUCCUCUAGUUAGAGAUUGAGUUUCUUCAUCAUCAAACUCUUCUCCCUUUUCAUCUGAGUAGGCAUACCUGCAAAUAAAUGAUAUUACAAGUCAGCUAGAUGAGAUGACGGGGCAUCACCAGAGAUGUUGGAUCUAAGUUUGGGAUUAAGGUCUGUCUGUGACUGUAAUGCGGAGAAGAAAACCUUUUUUUUUUUCUUGUAACAAGUAGCAGCCCUUUAUGAACAGUAACAUUAACCGUCGCCCAAAAUCAUUCCAGAAGCAGGGUGAGAAUUAAACCUAUGAUUCACAAACUGCCAACUACUUCAAAAUUUUCAAUUUUUGUUUUAAUAUAAAAGUUCAGAUGGCAAUAUAUAAAUAUAUGCAUACAGGUUUUGAAAUCUUGAGUUACCCAGGCUCAGUCCUUCAGAAAGGGGUGUCUUACCAUCCUACAGACAACAGAGUUUACUAUAAUGCAUUUUGGAUUUUCAGCACAGAAGGAAAUCCCCAAAUAAGAUUCUUGAGCUAAGAAGGGAAUUUGGUAAGAUGGUCAAUCUGAGAAAAAGAAUAUGUUCACUGAGCUUUUAUUGGACCAAAGUCUCAACCAACAUUGCCAUGGAUGUGUAAUAUGUGUUGGUCAGGUGUGUCCAACAAAGUAAGGAAAGAACAAAAUCCUAAUUCACUAUAAAUUCCACUAAAUAAUUUUCUGAACUGACUUCUUUCAUGCCAGUUAUAUUUCUAUAUGAAUAAAGGACCCAUGUUAACCAUGCUAAGCUACAGAUGUAAUUCACUUUGCCUUGAAAGAUAUAGAAAAAUCGAGUAUCUCAAUAAUUUGAUUGUAUCCAUGUGCUUGAUUUGCAAAAAUGACUAAUAUGACCCAAAACAUGGAUUUAUAUUUUAGUAGUUUACAGUUAAGAAGAACCUCCCUAUGACCAUAUGAAAUUUAUAGAAAUUUAACGCACCGUUGGGAGCUCUGAGAUGGAGCCCAGAGAUAGCAGAUGACACAGAGCAAUCCAAAAGCAAGAAUGUCCCAAAAAGCAGUAAUGAUCCAAGCACUCUGCCACCGCUCAUUGAAUGGAUCCGUUGCCUUAAAGUAGACCUGUAGGAAAGAGCUUAUUACAACAACAAUGAACAGUCUUCAAGAGUAAAGUGACAAAUAAAAUCAUGUCUUAUAAUAUAAUAUGAACAGUUAAUGAAGAAAAAAGGAGAAAUAUAGCAUAUAAAAUGCAACUGAAAAUAAAAAAAUGCAUGAACUUUCAUGAAGGUGAACACAUGUUCCUGCAAUAGAUGCUUUACCAUAAUUUUCCACAGGGUUUGCUUCCCUUGUACAGUAGGACAACUUGGAGUUUGUCAAACAGGGUCCAAGAGUGAUAACCCAACACCUAUCUAAAUUGAGUCGCCCAAAGAUAUACAAGAAGUUCACCUGAGUUUACAACAUAAUGAAUACAAGAGCUACUAGUUUUUCUGUUCCUCACAAGCUAGGAUAUCUUUUGAAGUAGGUUGUAGCAUUUCCAAGAUCAGGGAGUUGACAAUGGACCCAAUACAGCAUAUCAUAGUUUUGAAAAAGGAAAAGCUCCAAACUCCUCUCAAAAAUCUCUUUACCUAAAGCAAGAAUUAUAAAAAGGCUUAACGAACUGAGCUGGAUGAGGCCAAGUGAAUGAAGACAGUGUGAUCUCUACAUAAAACCCCAACAUCCAUAUAAAAUGAGUUGCCAGAUAGGUCAAUGUCACCAAGCAGUCAACCUUGGAGUUUGGAAAAUAAGGAAUCCAAGAGCUAAUAGUUCUCCAAUCAUUGAAAUUAUUGGAAUUCUAUAAAAUAGCUAGAAUAUUCCAAUAACCAGGGAGUUGAUAAUUGACCCAUUGUACCACAUUGUUAGAUUCACUCCCAACACUCCACCCCACCAGCAAAAAUAACUCUUUUUCGAGCAUCUCCUCACACUCAAUUCAGAAGCAAGAAAUACAAACGCAGGCCCUGGACAUCUAAAACUUCUUAGGACAGAAGCAAACCAAUAGAGACCAAUGGAUCCCAGCAUAAAACCCCAAGUCCUAUCUGGAAUGAGCUGCACCAAGAAGAGGAACUCUUAACACCACCUUGAAAGGAAAGAAUGGCAGAGGGUUCUGGAGUAUGCAGGUAUGGCAGUCUAGUAAUUAAGAUAGCAUGCUAAACCUGUGAGCGAUGACUUUGAAAACCAUCCCAUAGAGAUUUCAGCAAACAAAAAACCCAUAAGAAGGAGGCCUAUCAAUGGAUCCUAAUAUUGAAUUGUUCAAAGGGAAGCAUUGCAGACCUCCAUAAUUCAUGCAAACUCCCCAAAACCAAGGAGCAAGAGUUGUUUCAAAAGGAACAGAUCAGCUGGAUUCAUCUAGAUUCUAGCAUCACUGAAGAUAAAAGACUACAGAUCUUUAAAAUGGAGGGAAGAAGAAAAAGGUAUUCUACCAUCUCUUUAAUAAAAUAUACGAGGCAAUAGUCAGGGAGAAAUGAUGCAUCUUCUCCACAUCUGAAGCAUGACAGUGGUAUUAACCCUUUUCAGAGCAACUCUCCAGGAAAGGGCUUUGACUUGCAGAGAGGCUCAAGAAGAGAUAGAAAUAAAAUUUAUGAUAGCAAAUGAAAACAUGGAAGGAUCAGUGAUCCUUCUCCUAGAACACGCAUCAAGCCAGAAAAGUCUGUUCCAGAAUCCCAGAUUGGCUAAUUCAGAAACUGAUAUUGCAAGAGAAUUUUGUUUCAGCAAUUGCAUGCCUGGCCAGUUUCUUGGAUUCUGGUUUUGGCUUAGCCUUUUGCUUAUGGAGAACUCCUCUCUGCACUAUUCCUCAUUCUAUAAAAUUCAAUUUCUUAUACAAACAAAGGUGUAUAUAGGAGAUUGCUCUAUGUCCAUGAUGGAUUUUAUUGAUUGGUUAAGCGCAAAGUAGUGUAAGAGAGUUGCUUUUUGUGUUUCCCUGACUUUAGUUGGCCUUUUGAGGCCUUCAUAUAGGCAGUGUAUACUUUUGUGUGCCUUAUGGUGUAGGCACUGUUAAUAUAUUAAACUUUGCCUAUCAAAAAAAUUUUCUUAUACAAACAAAAGGUAAAAAAAAUUGAUUACACAAUCAUCUCUUUUGUAACAUAAACUAUUUACACAGCAUUUGUAGAAAUGGUUUUGAACUAUUUAUAAAGCGUUUGUAUAAAUGGUUUUAAACUAUUUACACAGCAUUUGUAUAAAUGGUUUUAAGCUAUUUACACAGCAUUUGUAUACAUGGCUUCAAACAAAGGACCAUAACUGACUAAAUCCACUUGAAAACCAUUCCAUUCUCCAUCUAUACAUCAGUAUGUAACAGCAUCCCCCAGGUUAGCAAAAUACUUAAGCGCAAGGAAAAAAAAGAAACAAGUUUCAACAAUAAAACUUCAUGUACUCGGCUGUUAAAGAAGAAAUAAAGGUGAAAACACUAACAAGAAGCAAUUAAAGGCCUAAAAGAAUAUUUUCACCUGAACAAACAUUAUUUUCUUUCGGAUGACAUGUGUGGAGGCACAUUAUAUACAUCAUCCAUAUCAAACUAGUUUUUGAAUAAAGACAUUUUUUUCACAUGGUAAAAUAUAAAUUAAGCACAUAAACUACAGUAAAACAAUGUUAUUGCCAAUCAAAACCACAAGUGUCUUCACUGGAGAACAUACCUCAUAUCCUAUCCAAACAACUGAAGCAAUCACUGCAACUGCUAAAGAAUUUGAGAACUUCCUGUAGGUAUCCAGCUUAACAGAACUCCUCUUUGCCUGAACACAAAUAAUUAUAGCAUCAGAAUAUGAUAAUGAAUGAAAAAUAAAAAUAGUAAAAAAGAAAAGGAAAGGAUAAAAAGGAAAGAAAAGCUCUGAUGUUGUUGCCACUAUUUUAACUGAUAUUAACAACUGGAACUCAAAACUGAUAGUAGACGAAGAACUGAUACCUGUAGUUGCUCUAAUGUCUUUGAAAGGGAAGUGAAAAUCCACAAUAUCAAAAAUGCAUCCAGGAAUGCAUCAGGAAGGACUAAGAAGAGCCUUGCUCUUCCUGAUACAUCAUUGAUGGUCCCCACAUACUCGGUAAUAUCCAGCAACUCAGUUGCCACAAAAUAAGUUAUGCCAAGAAGAAGAACCUUUGAGGUAAGACCACCAAGAGUAGGCCGCACAACACCAUAACCCAUUGAAACAGAGAGUAUAAGAAGACGUGAAACUGUUCUCCUUACAGCUCCAACUGUCACAACCCAAGUUGUGAUUCCAACUGGCCUUGUUCCCGUGCGGUUAAAAUUUUCAAACUCAAAAUACCAAAGAAUCAUCUCAAACAAUCCAAGAGCAAUAACAACCGUAAUGCAGUGCUGAAGUUGCAAUAUAUCCUUCCAAAACCUCAUGUACUGGAAAAACCAUGUCACGCAAAGCAAUACAUAUGCAAGUGACAUAUACACGUAAAACUUCAUUAAUGGGGCCAUCCUACCAGGUAAAUAGCCAUCAGGGUUCUUCCACAACGUCUUUCCAUUCAUUACUAGUCCCUUGAGUUUUGGAUCACAUGAUAUGAAAAACAAGUUAUACAUUCCAGUCUUUGUAAUGGGAACCUCUGAAUUAGCCAUACUUGUGGAUAGAGAUUUCCCACUGAACUGCACAUUUAAAACAAUAGGCCAAUUGAUAUCUGUCGCAGAAGGAAUCCUAAUGACUUCACCUUGCUUACAGCCUUCCAGCUUAGCAAGAUCAGGGGUGCAGCAUAUAGACCUCUGUCCACCAUAAGCAGAACCACCAAUAUUAUCACGAUCAGCUGCCUCAAAGAUUACAACUUGUAUCAACCCGGUACUGUGCCCCAUGUCUGAGUGCUGGUCAGCAGCUGCCUUGCUCCUCCAGAAGGUGAUAUUCUCGAAGCUAAGCAAUUGAAUUUUUUGAAAACAUAAUUUUUAAUGGGCACAAAUGAUCGCUCUUAGAAAAGCAGGAAAAAUGGAAAAGAAAAGGAAACUUAAUGACACAAAUGAUACAUCCCCAGAAUUUUUAGAAAUAUAACAUACUAAAUUUUAACAUUUUGUCAAAAGAAUUGAUAAUUAUAAAUACUCAUCAUAAACUUAUAAUGCUAUUCUCCAUUUAUUAUUCUUCAUCGGAUUCAAAAAGGUAGUUUAAUAAUUCUAUCAUAAAAAAUACAGCAAUAUUGAUAUUUGAACAUUCCUGGUUGCCAUAAAAAUUGAAUGUUUUCAUCUUGUAUUCUAUAUAUAGGAAUCGAGGUACAAAUCCUUUCUUGAAAAUGGAUCCAUUAACCAACAGUGACAAAAUUUGAAAGAUGGGUAUUUCAAUAUCAAGUAACACCAUAUAUAUAUAUAAUUUACAUGGAAAAUGAGAGGCAUUGUAUUUUACAAUUCAUUUGCAAAGUAACUGGCCCCAUUAUCCAUCAACCCCAAAAUGGUUCUCUUAUUCACUUUACACAUACAUUUUUCGUCAGACUUUUCAGUUAGUAUUUUAGAGCAUUUUCCAGCAUUAUUUGAGACCUAUGGAGCAGUUUCCUCCAUGAUUUGAGACCUUCGAAAACAAAAUUUUCAAACCCACAAGCCUAAUACCAUUAUUUUGACUUAGCUGGAUUUGUUCCAAAAAGAGAAGAUUCAAUACUUCUUUUCUUCUCCGCAGGUUUCCCACCAACCAAAGGAAAAUGUUAAUACUUCUUCAUCAACAAACCAUUUUCCUCCACGAUUUGGGAUCAAGAAAACAAAACUGUAAACCGAACAAGCUUGUUACUAUCAUUUGGUAUAGCUGAACUUGCUUUAAAAAGGGGGGAAAAUCAGAUUGCCAUAAGAACACGAGAUCCAGCAUUUUCCUACUAAAGUUUCUUAGCAACCAAGCAGAUUUAAAAAUUUAUAAAUCCAACAAGAUAACACCGACAUUCGCCUUAGCUGCACUUACCAAAAAUAGAAAAUAAAAAAAUAAAAAAAUAAAAAUUCAAUCAUUGACAUAGCAACACAAGACCCAACAUUUCCCUAUUUUCAUAUCUUUAUUCCCAACAUUCUCGCGAUCCAAACAGAAAAUCAAGGAAUCGAACAAUGCAAGCACAGAUCUGAGUAAAAAAGGGAGAGAAGAGUACCGGAUAAAGGAAUGGGCGUGAGAGAUGGCAGUUCCGGGAGUGGAGGAAGCGACAAUGCCCUCGCUGCCGCCGGAGAGGAGGUAGGAGUUCCCGACUUCCCGGAAGCCUUGGUGGUCGUAGAGGUGAAUGGAGGCAUUGAUGGAAGAGACGAAGGUAAGAACAAGAAGGAGAAGAAGGGGAGGAAGCCAUUGAAUCGAGAAGCUGGAUCCUCCAAUGGAUGAAUCCAUGGGAUUUCCUCAAUUCUGGUGGAGAGGGAGGUGGGAGAGUGUGAAAUCAGCAAUGGUGAAUGCCUUUGUGCACUCCCUCCGUGAGAGCGACUCGGUUUGAAUUGUGAGUUAUAAGAUUGGUACUCUCCUCCACGCGCCAACAAAGCGCGUCCACGUAUUGGAAAAAACUGAUAAUAUAUUUAUUAAUCAAACACUUAAUAAAGUGUAUAAAUAAUCAAAGAGAAAAAAACUUGGAGCAUCAAAAAUUUGUAACUAAGAGGAUUAUUAUUUUUAUUUUUAUUUACAAAAGGUUAUUGGGCUUAGAGUCAAAAUCAACCAAGACAAAGGGUUGUGAUUAUGCGAUAGUGAGUUAACUCCAAAAACCCGAGCUUGGAUUUUGAAAAUGGACAAAUUUUCAUAAAAAUAAAAUCAAAAUUAUUGUUAGAAAACAAAGGUAAUAAAUCAAAAAAAUUAUAACAACUCAAGUUUUAUAUUUUUUUUAAAUUACUUUAAAAAGAUGAUAAUUUUAAAAAUCAUUUAAAAAAAUUGAAGUAUUAAAAAAAAUUCUAUUUCAAAAUUUAAAAAUGAUUUUUAGAGGUAUAAAGUAAUUUCAUACCUAUUAUUAUAUUUUAUAUAAAAAAAUUAUUAUUUUUUUAUUUUUUAAAAAUAGAAAAUAACUUAUGUUAAUAGCACUUUUAUGAAAAUAUUUUUUUUAAUAAUUUGGUUAGACUAUGUUUUGUUAUUUAAUAUCAGACAAAAAAAUUAGUAAAAUAAAUACAAGAUUACCAACAAUUGGAGAAGGCGUUGGCAGAUCGUGGCGGUUAUUAACUUCCACCGUUGUUAGGAAUUUCGGAAACUUUCGGUUCAAACUUCCAAGGGUUUAGCCAACAACCGUAGCAAAGCUUGAGACAAACCUUUCAACUACCAGGACCAUGCGCCAACAACUGCAAGUAUGCUUCAUAACUUCCCUUUCUUUUUGUCUCUUUCCCUAGUAUUUUUCUUUUAAAAAAACCUAACUCAUAUCCAACUUGAAUAUUAAAAAUAAAACCAACUUAAACUUUAUUAAAAUUUUAAAAGGUUGAAAUUCUUGUAGAAUUUGAUCAAGAGAUUUAUGAGGUAAAUCUUAAAGCGGACCGGUUACAGCCCAUUAGUUAAAACUUGGGCCGGCCCAUGUCUAGCCUAUUAUUCCCCGACUCAACCCACCUAGCCCCAAUUUCUCUUUCGCUGCCUUUCGAUCGAGCACGACGGCAUUCACUCUCUGCUUAGACAAAAGCAUUCGAUUGAUACCUUCUCCAAACGCUGCGUUUCGGUCGAUAUCUGAGUUUAAGGUACUGUUUCAAUCUGUAUUCCCAAUUCAGUCAAUCGACUUCUAGGUUACAUACAAUCGUUUGGAUGCUGAGAAAUAGUGAGAAAAUGAAAGAAAAUUUUGAAUCGUAAAUCUUUCACCAUUAGAGCUCGAGAAUACAACAAAAUUUACUUUAUCUAAAAAUCACUUGAUCCUGAGGUUUAGUUUUUUUUUUUCAAACUUUUUAUUAGUUUUGGAUUGUUGACAGCAUGUAAAGUGAGAGAGAUAACAUAGUGAUCAAAAUGUGGUUUUCUUUUAUUAUUUCUUCAUUUUCCUGGUGGCCAAACAGAGGGUACCAAUAAGUCGGGAAUAUAGAAGCAUGCCACUUUACAGGAACCAAAAUAUGAGAAAUGACUAAUGAGUCGUUUUUUUUUUUUUUUUUAAUUGUUGUAUUUUCCUGGAAACAAAAUAGAGGGUUAGGGUUUCUCUUUUAAUGCCUUUAACCUGUUAGUGUUAUCGUUGAAAAUUUUGAAUUCUAUGAUUUCAUAAUGGAAUAAAGCUCAAGCUAGAAUUUUUAUAAAUUUAAUAAUUAUAUAGAAACAGAAUAAAAAUAUUGGUAAUUACUAUAUAUAAAAAAUAUUGAUAGAUAUUUUUUUUAUAAAUAAACAAAAAUACACAUUUUAAAAUUAUUAAAUAUAAUUCACGUAGAUACGAUAAAGAAGAAAAACAUUGAUAGACAUAUAUAUAUUUGUAAAUUUGAUAUUUGAAUUUUAAGAAUAAUAAAUAUGAAUUUUUAGAAGUAUGUAAAGUUAGAAUUGAGUUAAGAAAUAUUUGAUUUUAUUGAAUAAAAGUAAUUUAUAUAUAAAUAUAAUACAUAUGACAUCACAAUAGUCUUUAGUAUCAAAAUGAAGAACGAUGUGGUUUCGUCAUAUUAUUAGAUGUAGGGAGCCCAUCUUGUUAUUGAAGAUAAUAUUUAUUUUAAAAUUUUUAAAAUAUUUUUACUAAAACAUGUUUUAUUAUAUUUUAAAUAAAAAAUUAAAUUAAUUUAUAUAAAAUAUUUUAUUUGAGAUUUAAUUUUUAAAAUUUUAUUAAACAUAUGUCGUAACCAUUUUUUCUAUUAAUAUUAAUUUAUUUAAAUAAUUAAAAUUAUUAAUAAUUUAUUUUAUUAAAUUAAUUUUAAUUCAUAAAAUAUGUGAGCAAUAAAAACCGAAAUUUCAUGGUAGUGAUUUAAUCCAAAUAAAGAUAGAUAAUUAAUAAUUAUUUAUAUAGAGCGAGGGAAAUUCUUAUCAUGAUUUUUUAUUUAUUUUUUUAAUCUCUACUAAAUCUGAAAAUCAAAAGGAAGCCCUUCUCUGAAGUUGCCCUCCAGACGAGAGACUCCCUAAAAAGGCCCUAUUUUCCUCUGCCACUCUCAAUCCACGCAGGUACUAAUCUAAUCAUGUUAUUAUUUUUUUUUUUUUGCAACCCCCGAAAAUCCAUCCCCCAUUCGAUUUCCGGGAAAAUUCAUCCUCGUUUGAUUUCCGAGAAAAUCCAUGCAAAACCCCCAAGGAAAACCCAAAAAAUUGCUUUUCUUUUGCUCCCUGUGUUUUCUGGAUCUGUUCCAGGGGUCUCUUUGCUUUUGUGCCAUUGGAUUUAACUUUCACGAACCAUCCACGAUUUUUGAGCCAGGCUGAAAAAUACAAUCUUUGCCUGCAAAUCAUGAUCAGAUUACCAAAUAGCAUCUUAUGUUUUUGUUUUUGUUUUUUUAAAAAAAAUUGGACAGAUUUUGUAUCCUGUGCGCGGGCUGGACUGGUAGGAAAUAUCCCGAAAAAUCGGUAAAAAUACCGACCGAAAUAUGGGCGACAUUUUCAGCCAUUUUUUGAAAUCCUCCUCCUGCUGCUCCGCACGUCACUCCACUCGCGAUUUAUCGGUUCUAAACCAAUAUGUCACCGAUUUUGUUGAUUUUUUUGCCGAUAUUCCUCCUGUUUGAUAAUCUGUGUUGAAUUUCGUUUUGAGGCCGCCCGAUAUAUGAUGUAUCAGUGAAAUAUCGCCGAUAAAAUCCGAUUUUUCAAUCUAUGGUAUCCACUAUGUAAUAUGCAUAUAUACUCUUCAACAUUGACAAUUAAAAUGCAUAUCAAGACUCAUCUAAACCUACUUCGUGCAUUGUUUGAUUAGAAGAUCAUGUCUGACCAUUCACAUAAUCAUUUUUCCUAGGAGCUAGCAAAGAGAAAACUCCAUAAAGGGUCAACAUUUUUGGAAUAAAGUCCUUAUUGGACAACUUAUUGACUUGUUUUUUAGAGUCCAUCUGCUACUUGUUAUAUGUAUGGUGGGGGGGAAUAAAACCUGGAAAGAGGAGGAAUCUAGAUCAAGAUCAUGCUUUACAUUUUAGAUAGUGAUUCAUUCUUUAGCACCUUAGGAAUCAAGUUAUUAGAAUUGACGAAUAUUUGCUGCACUUCUUUGAGCUCUCUAUAAAUUGUUAUGGGAUAGGUCUUACCACAUCUCGCAUUCUAGAUUCAUCCUUAACAACUCUUUCCUCUUUGCUCACAACUUUGAAUUACAUCUUAAUGAGAGUCUUUGAUGGUUGUUUUGGUGUCAAUUAUGAUAUUUUCUCCACCGGUUGUUUAAGUGGUAGAAUUUCUUUCAUUGAGUGAAAAAUCUUCUUGCACCUAUUUCCACAAGUGUACAAGUAUUCUCAUAGGCAUCAUAUUAGGCUCUUUAAUAAAAACACCACGGUUUUCCAAGCAUAAUAUGAACAACUGUUAUCAGAAAAACAUCAUACCAUGUUGAUAAUUCAAAAUUAUUAUUAAAAUUAAAUGUUACUAGACAAUGAGAGCUCACCGAAAUAGAGUUGUCAUUUAUCCAUGGUAUUUGUUAGGGGUUUGGAUGUUUUUUUUAUUUUAAAUUUAGUUUGUCAACAAGUUCUUGUAAAACUAUGUUGAAAGUACUACCUCCGUCAAUAAUUGUAGUGCAUAGUCUCCCUUGGCAAGUAGCACAAGUUUGGAAAAUGCUAGUAUGCUGUCAAUCCUCCUCUUCAUUUGCUCUUGGUUUGUUCACCAAUAGUUGCAUAAAAAAAUUGUAACCGUCAAUCAUGGUUGAAUAAGUUGCUCUACUCCUCAAGCAAGCCAAGAACUUUCGCUUUGAUACCAAUAUUAAGGUAGAACAAACCUAGGAUGGUGUCUACAAUCAAAUAGGUAGGCUAGGGCUUUAGUCUUUAGGAUUUAGGGAGAGAAACAAGGAAUAAAAAUUAUGGCAGGGGGAAAAGGUUAAAUAGCAUAUGGUAAAAGAAGGAUAAAGAGGAAAAGAUACAAACCUUAGGGUCUCACUAAGGCCUUUUGGGAGUCUCACCUAGCAAAAAAGCAAUGGAGUCUCAUUGUUGAAAAUUGUUGGGUGUGCAAUAAAAUAAAAUCACAAAAAUGAAAACAAAAGUGUUGAUCAUUAAUCCUUAAUUUCAUUUUACAUCAAUUAACCUUGUUUUAUAGGCUUUAGAAAACCUUAAAGACAAAAUAAAAACAUGAAAAGGCAAAUUUAAUCUAAGUUGUAACUUAUUGAGACUCAUUUCUUUCCUAAAACUAUUGAAUCUUCUAAAAGAAAUUAAAAAAAUUAAGAAACUUGCUUUUGAAAAUUAGAAACUUACUUUUAUAGGAACUUUUUGUAUUAAAGUUUGCAAUAAAGAAGACUUUUAGAUUCUAAGAACCCAAAAUAUAAACCUUUAAAAGAGAUUAAUUUAGAAAGAAAAAAAAAAAGAAAGUUUAGAACUUCUCUUAAGGAGAAUGCUAAAACUUUUCAAAUUUUAAAUAAAACUCAAAUGUAAACCUUUAGGAUUUUAUUUUUUAUUUUCUUUCGUUCCUUUUUUGAGUAGGUCUUAGAGGUUUAUUUUCAUCCCCUCUACAUUUUGAAAAGGCUCAAGAUUUUAGUAUCAUUCACCAAACAAGAUCACUUCUAAAUUCAAUUUAGAUUGGGGUAGAUACCAUGGUAGAAAGUUGUGGUAUCGGAUCUUGACUUAGGGGGUUAUGAGACAGAUUGGUCGCAUUAAAAUUUUCAAAAAAUUCUAAAUUAUAAUGAAAAUCUUUGGAAAAUAAAUAUAAUAAGAUGGACUUAACAACUUAAUAAAAGAACAUGUACCAUAUUUGUUAUUGUUAAAAUAAUCAUAUAAGCAAAAGUUGGAAUUGUGUUUUGUUAAUAUUAUGAAUUUAAAACUCUACUACUAUAUGUGCCAUUAUUUUCUGAUAAAUAAUUAUACUCAAUUCUAGUUUGAGUGACAUAGAGGCUCAAAGUCAUUGUUGUUAGUCCUACAGUUAGUAUAUAAAUCAGGGUGGUAAUUCCCAUGCUAAGGAUAUUGUUGAGAGACUUGUUCACAACUCAGCUGUGUCGUAAUGUCACAGUGUUACAACUUGAGAUUCAUUUUGCAAUUUGUUCAUAACUUGGCUGAACCACCUGUUUUGGUUGAAAAAUGUUGUACUGUGUCAAACUCGCCAUUCCUAAUACAACUUGAUAUGACUACUCUGCAUGUUCUUUAAAUCAUUAACCAUGUUAUGCAUAGACUAGAUAUUUGAUUGAAAGAAACUGAAUUAAGAUAAUGUAUUUAGAAUCUGAGUAAAACUCCAUAUAAAAUCCUUGUUUGUUUCAUAAUGCAGUUGGAAACUUGGAAUAGAUCUUAUCCAUUAAAUUUUACUGAACCAUGUAUUUGGAAAUCAUCAAAGCACAACUUUUAUAUCCUUUGUUUUUUUUUUUUUUUUGAUAAGUAAGCAGAUGUUAUAUUAAAAAGGCAAAAAGCCACACAGCAUACAGGACGUAUACAAAGCAGCCAAACCCAAAAGCCACAAAAAGCCCACAAACCUACCUACCCUCAAUUGGACGCGAGCCACUCUAGAAAACCUAUGAGUGAAGAGGACUCCUCUCCAAUAUACACCCUAGCCCAACUCCACAAAUUACAUACAAAAGAAUUUUUGAGUUUCUGUAUAGAUAAGAAUCCCCCCCUAAAAGCUAAUCUAUUCCUUUCCUUCCAAACCGUCCAAAAAAUACACAACGGGAUGGAAGUCCAAACCUUUUUCCUUUUUUUCCCCACAAAAGAACCCCUCCAACUGAACAACAUAUCUUUAACCGUUUCAGGGAACACCCACUGAAUGCCAAACAAGACGAAGACAAUCUCCCAGAGUACCCGGACCACUGUACAAUGUAGAAGAAUAUGAUUUACAGUCUCCUCUUCACACCCACACAAAAAACAUCGGUUGGGGAACUGCCACCCCCUUCUUUGUAGCCUAUCCAAAGUUAGGACCUUUCCCCACGUGGCCUCCCAAGCAAAAAACACAACUUUAGUUGGGACCUUGUCCACCCAAAUGCCCUUAUUCGGGAAUACAAUAUCAUUCGAAGCAACAAGGAGGUUGUAAGCCUCCUUAACCCUAAAGAUGCCACUUCCCCCACCUUUCCAUAAUACCGAAUCCUCUUCUGAAGAGAUUUUGUAAUCCCUUAGCAUGUACAGCAAAUUACCAACCAAAUCCACCUCCCAAUCGUUAAAGUCUCUAGAGAAACUGAUAUUCCAACUUCCUUGGCCAAAGCUAGGGUCCCAAACUUCGUUCACCGUUGCAUUCCUAUNNNNNNNNNNNNNNNNNNNNNNNNNNNNNNNNNNNNNNNNNNNNNNNNNNNNNNNNNNNNNNNNNNNNNNNNNNNNNNNNNNNNNNNNNNNNNNNNNNNNNNNNNNNNNNNNNNNNNNNNNNNNNNNNNNNNNNNNNNNNNNNNNNNNNNNNNNNNNNNNNNNNNNNNNNNNNNNNNNNNNNNNNNNNNNNNNNNNNNNNNNNNNNNNNNNNNNNNNNNNNNNNNNNNNNNNNNNNNNNNNNNNNNNNNNNNNNNNNNNNNNNNNNNNNNNNNNNNNNNNNNNNNNNNNNNNNNNNNNNNNNNNNNNNNNNNNNNNNNNNNNNNNNNNNNNNNNNNNNNNNNNNNNNNNNNNNNNNNNNNNNNNNNNNNNNNNNNNNNNNNNNNNNNNNNNNNNNNNNNNNNNNNNNNNNNNNNNNNNNNNNNNNNNNNNNNNNNNNNNNNNNNNNNNNNNNNNNNNNNNNNNNNNNNNNNNNNNNNNNNNNNNNNNNNNNNNNNNNNNNNNNNNNNNNNNNNNNNNNNNNNNNNNNNNNNNNNNNNNNNNNNNNNNNNNNNNNNNNNNNNNNNNNNNNNNNNNNNNNNNNNNNNNNNNNNNNNNNNNNNNNNNNNNNNNNNNNNNNNNNNNNNNNNNNNNNNNNNNNNNNNNNNNNNNNNNNNNNNNNNNNNNNNNNNNNNNNNNNNNNNNNNNNNNNNNNNNNNNNNNNNNNNNNNNNNNNNNNNNNNNNNNNNNNNNNNNNNNNNNNNNNNNNNNNNNNNNNNNNNNNNNNNNNNNNNNNNNNNNNNNNNNNNNNNNNNNNNNNNNNNNNNNNNNNNNNNNNNNNNNNNNNNNNNNNNNNNNNNNNNNNNNNNNNNNNNNNNNNNNNNNNNNNNNNNNNNNNNNNNNNNNNNNNNNNNNNNNNNNNNNNNNNNNNNNNNNNNNNNNNNNNNNNNNNNNNNNNNNNNNNNNNNNNNNNNNNNNNNNNNNNNNNNNNNNNNNNNNNNNNNNNNNNNNNNNNNNNNNNNNNNNNNNNNNNNNNNNNNNNNNNNNNNNNNNNNNNNNNNNNNNNNNNNNNNNNNNNNNNNNNNNNNNNNNNNNNNNNNNNNNNNNNNNNNNNNNNNNNNNNNNNNNNNNNNNNNNNNNNNNNNNNNNNNNNNNNNNNNNNNNNNNNNNNNNNNNNNNNNNNNNNNNNNNNNNNNNNNNNNNNNNNNNNNNNNNNNNNNNNNNNNNNNNNNNNNNNNNNNNNNNNNNNNNNNNNNNNNNNNNNNNNNNNNNNNNNNNNNNNNNNNNNNNNNNNNNNNNNNNNNNNNNNNNNNNNNNNNNNNNNNNNNNNNNNNNNNNNNNNNNNNNNNNNNNNNNNNNNNNNNNNNNNNNNNNNNNNNNNNNNNNNNNNNNNNNNNNNNNNNNNNNNNNNNNNNNNNNNNNNNNNNNNNNNNNNNNNNNNNNNNNNNNNNNNNNNNNNNNNNNNNNNNNNNNNNNNNNNNNNNNNNNNNNNNNNNNNNNNNNNNNNNNNNNNNNNNNNNNNNNNNNNNNNNNNNNNNNNNNNNNNNNNNNNNNNNNNNNNNNNNNNNNNNNNNNNNNNNNNNNNNNNNNNNNNNNNNNNNNNNNNNNNNNNNNNNNNNNNNNNNNNNNNNNNNNNNNNNNNNNNNNNNNNNNNNNNNNNNNNNNNNNNNNNNNNNNNNNNNNNNNNNNNNNNNNNNNNNNNNNNNNNNNNNNNNNNNNNNNNNNNNNNNNNNNNNNNNNNNNNNNNNNNNNNNNNNNNNNNNNNNNNNNNNNNNNNNNNNNNNNNNNNNNNNNNNNNNNNNNNNNNNNNNNNNNNNNNNNNNNNNNNNNNNNNNNNNNNNNNNNNNNNNNNNNNNNNNNNNNNNNNNNNNNNNNNNNNNNNNNNNNNNNNNNNNNNNNNNNNNNNNNNNNNNNNNNNNNNNNNNNNNNNNNNNNNNNNNNNNNNNNNNNNNNNNNNNNNNNNNNNNNNNNNNNNNNNNNNNNNNNNNNNNNNNNNNNNNNNNNNNNNNNNNNNNNNNNNNNNNNNNNNNNNNNNNNNNNNNNNNNNNNNNNNNNNNNNNNNNNNNNNNNNNNNNNNNNNNNNNNNNNNNNNNNNNNNNNNNNNNNNNNNNNNNNNNNNNNNNNNNNNNNNNNNNNNNNNNNNNNNNNNNNNNNNNNNNNNNNNNNNNNNNNNNNNNNNNNNNNNNNNNNNNNNNNNNNNNNNNNNNNNNNNNNNNNNNNNNNNNNNNNNNNNNNNNNNNNNNNNNNNNNNNNNNNNNNNNNNNNNNNNNNNNNNNNNNNNNNNNNNNNNNNNNNNNNNNNNNNNNNNNNNNNNNNNNNNNNNNNNNNNNNNNNNNNNNNNNNNNNNNNNNNNNNNNNNNNNNNNNNNNNNNNNNNNNNNNNNNNNNNNNNNNNNNNNNNNNNNNNNNNNNNNNNNNNNNNNNNNNNNNNNNNNNNNNNNNNNNNNNNNNNNNNNNNNNNNNNNNNNNNNNNNNNNNNNNNNNNNNNNNNNNNNNNNNNNNNNNNNNNNNNNNNNNNNNNNNNNNNNNNNNNNNNNNNNNNNNNNNNNNNNNNNNNNNNNNNNNNNNNNNNNNNNNNNNNNNNNNNNNNNNNNNNNNNNNNNNNNNNNNNNNNNNNNNNNNNNNNNNNNNNNNNNNNNNNNNNNNNNNNNNNNNNNNNNNNNNNNNNNNNNNNNNNNNNNNNNNNNNNNNNNNNNNNNNNNNNNNNNNNNNNNNNNNNNNNNNNNNNNNNNNNNNNNNNNNNNNNNNNNNNNNNNNNNNNNNNNNNNNNNNNNNNNNNNNNNNNNNNNNNNNNNNNNNNNNNNNNNNNNNNNNNNNNNNNNNNNNNNNNNNNNNNNNNNNNNNNNNNNNNNNNNNNNNNNNNNNNNNNNNNNNNNNNNNNNNNNNNNNNNNNNNNNNNNNNNNNNNNNNNNNNNNNNNNNNNNNNNNNNNNNNNNNNNNNNNNNNNNNNNNNNNNNNNNNNNNNNNNNNNNNNNNNNNNNNNNNNNNNNNNNNNNNNNNNNNNNNNNNNNNNNNNNNNNNNNNNNNNNNNNNNNNNNNNNNNNNNNNNNNNNNNNNNNNNNNNNNNNNNNNNNNNNNNNNNNNNNNNNNNNNNNNNNNNNNNNNNNNNNNNNNNNNNNNNNNNNNNNNNNNNNNNNNNNNNNNNNNNNNNNNNNNNNNNNNNNNNNNNNNNNNNNNNNNNNNNNNNNNNNNNNNNNNNNNNNNNNNNNNNNNNNNNNNNNNNNNNNNNNNNNNNNNNNNNNNNNNNNNNNNNNNNNNNNNNNNNNNNNNNNNNNNNNNNNNNNNNNNNNNNNNNNNNNNNNNNNNNNNNNNNNNNNNNNNNNNNNNNNNNNNNNNNNNNNNNNNNNNNNNNNNNNNNNNNNNNNNNNNNNNNNNNNNNNNNNNNNNNNNNNNNNNNNNNNNNNNNNNNNNNNNNNNNNNNNNNNNNNNNNNNNNNNNNNNNNNNNNNNNNNNNNNNNNNNNNNNNNNNNNNNNNNNNNNNNNNNNNNNNNNNNNNNNNNNNNNNNNNNNNNNNNNNNNNNNNNNNNNNNNNNNNNNNNNNNNNNNNNNNNNNNNNNNNNNNNNNNNNNNNNNNNNNNNNNNNNNNNNNNNNNNNNNNNNNNNNNNNNNNNNNNNNNNNNNNNNNNNNNNNNNNNNNNNNNNNNNNNNNNNNNNNNNNNNNNNNNNNNNNNNNNNNNNNNNNNNNNNNNNNNNNNNNNNNNNNNNNNNNNNNNNNNNNNNNNNNNNNNNNNNNNNNNNNNNNNNNNNNNNNNNNNNNNNNNNNNNNNNNNNNNNNNNNNNNNNNNNNNNNNNNNNNNNNNNNNNNNNNNNNNNNNNNNNNNNNNNNNNNNNNNNNNNNNNNNNNNNNNNNNNNNNNNNNNNNNNNNNNNNNNNNNNNNNNNNNNNNNNNNNNNNNNNNNNNNNNNNNNNNNNNNNNNNNNNNNNNNNNNNNNNNNNNNNNNNNNNNNNNNNNNNNNNNNNNNNNNNNNNNNNNNNNNNNNNNNNNNNNNNNNNNNNNNNNNNNNNNNNNNNNNNNNNNNNNNNNNNNNNNNNNNNNNNNNNNNNNNNNNNNNNNNNNNNNNNNNNNNNNNNNNNNNNNNNNNNNNNNNNNNNNNNNNNNNNNNNNNNNNNNNNNNNNNNNNNNNNNNNNNNNNNNNNNNNNNNNNNNNNNNNNNNNNNNNNNNNNNNNNNNNNNNNNNNNNNNNNNNNNNNNNNNNNNNNNNNNNNNNNNNNNNNNNNNNNNNNNNNNNNNNNNNNNNNNNNNNNNNNNNNNNNNNNNNNNNNNNNNNNNNNNNNNNNNNNNNNNNNNNNNNNNNNNNNNNNNNNNNNNNNNNNNNNNNNNNNNNNNNNNNNNNNNNNNNNNNNNNNNNNNNNNNNNNNNNNNNNNNNNNNNNNNNNNNNNNNNNNNNNNNNNNNNNNNNNNNNNNNNNNNNNNNNNNNNNNNNNNNNNNNNNNNNNNNNNNNNNNNNNNNNNNNNNNNNNNNNNNNNNNNNNNNNNNNNNNNNNNNNNNNNNNNNNNNNNNNNNNNNNNNNNNNNNNNNNNNNNNNNNNNNNNNNNNNNNNNNNNNNNNNNNNNNNNNNNNNNNNNNNNNNNNNNNNNNNNNNNNNNNNNNNNNNNNNNNNNNNNNNNNNNNNNNNNNNNNNNNNNNNNNNNNNNNNNNNNNNNNNNNNNNNNNNNNNNNNNNNNNNNNNNNNNNNNNNNNNNNNNNNNNNNNNNNNNNNNNNNNNNNNNNNNNNNNNNNNNNNNNNNNNNNNNNNNNNNNNNNNNNNNNNNNNNNNNNNNNNNNNNNNNNNNNNNNNNNNNNNNNNNNNNNNNNNNNNNNNNNNNNNNNNNNNNNNNNNNNNNNNNNNNNNNNNNNNNNNNNNNNNNNNNNNNNNNNNNNNNNNNNNNNNNNNNNNNNNNNNNNNNNNNNNNNNNNNNNNNNNNNNNNNNNNNNNNNNNNNNNNNNNNNNNNNNNNNNNNNNNNNNNNNNNNNNNNNNNNNNNNNNNNNNNNNNNNNNNNNNNNNNNNNNNNNNNNNNNNNNNNNNNNNNNNNNNNNNNNNNNNNNNNNNNNNNNNNNNNNNNNNNNNNNNNNNNNNNNNNNNNNNNNNNNNNNNNNNNNNNNNNNNNNNNNNNNNNNNNNNNNNNNNNNNNNNNNNNNNNNNNNNNNNNNNNNNNNNNNNNNNNNNNNNNNNNNNNNNNNNNNNNNNNNNNNNNNNNNNNNNNNNNNNNNNNNNNNNNNNNNNNNNNNNNNNNNNNNNNNNNNNNNNNNNNNNNNNNNNNNNNNNNNNNNNNNNNNNNNNNNNNNNNNNNNNNNNNNNNNNNNNNNNNNNNNNNNNNNNNNNNNNNNNNNNNNNNNNNNNNNNNNNNNNNNNNNNNNNNNNNNNNNNNNNNNNNNNNNNNNNNNNNNNNNNNNNNNNNNNNNNNNNNNNNNNNNNNNNNNNNNNNNNNNNNNNNNNNNNNNNNNNNNNNNNNNNNNNNNNNNNNNNNNNNNNNNNNNNNNNNNNNNNNNNNNNNNNNNNNNNNNNNNNNNNNNNNNNNNNNNNNNNNNNNNNNNNNNNNNNNNNNNNNNNNNNNNNNNNNNNNNNNNNNNNNNNNNNNNNNNNNNNNNNNNNNNNNNNNNNNNNNNNNNNNNNNNNNNNNNNNNNNNNNNNNNNNNNNNNNNNNNNNNNNNNNNNNNNNNNNNNNNNNNNNNNNNNNNNNNNNNNNNNNNNNNNNNNNNNNNNNNNNNNNNNNNNNNNNNNNNNNNNNNNNNNNNNNNNNNNNNNNNNNNNNNNNNNNNNNNNNNNNNNNNNNNNNNNNNNNNNNNNNNNNNNNNNNNNNNNNNNNNNNNNNNNNNNNNNNNNNNNNNNNNNNNNNNNNNNNNNNNNNNNNNNNNNNNNNNNNNNNNNNNNNNNNNNNNNNNNNNNNNNNNNNNNNNNNNNNNNNNNNNNNNNNNNNNNNNNNNNNNNNNNNNNNNNNNNNNNNNNNNNNNNNNNNNNNNNNNNNNNNNNNNNNNNNNNNNNNNNNNNNNNNNCCUUCUUAACAGUGCACUAAGCACUUCCAUACCCAAAACAAAGAGGUAAGGAGAGAGGGGAUCUCCCUGACGCAACCCCUUGGUGCUUGAAAAGAAACCUGCUGGCACACCAUUAACAAGAACAGAGAACUUGGCAGUAGAGAUGCACCACCAAAUCCACUCCAUCCACCUAGACCCAAAGCCCAAUUUACGCAGAAUCUUCAUAAGGAAAUCCCAACUUAUGCUGUCAUAGGCUUUUUCAAUGUCCAACUUACAAAUCAACCCUUUCUCCUUACGUUUUUGCCAAGCAUCAAUCACCUCGUUAGCUAUAAGCGAAGCAUCCAAUAUUUGUCUCCCCUUCACAAACGCAUUUUGGUCCAAUGAAACCACCCUUCCUAGGACCUUCUUCAGCCUAUUUGCCAACACCUUUGCCAGAAGCUUGUACAAACCUCCUAACAGGCUGAUCGGCCGAAAGUCACCCAAGUCCUCAGCGCCUCCUUUCUUUGGAAUAAGGACCAGAAACGUUGUAUUCAAGCUUUUAACAAAGGAUCUUUGUUCAUAAAAUUCCUUAAAUAGCUCCAGGAUCUCCUCUUUCACAAAGUCCCAGCAUUCUUGCCAAAAAGCUACUGUAAACCCAUCCGGGCCUGGGGCUUUAUCCCCAUCCAUCUCCAACAAGGCAGAAUGUAUUUCAUCUUCAGAGAAAGGUAGCUCCAGAUUACCAGCUUCUUGACUACUUAAAUGACUUAGAUGCAGCCCCUCUAUGUCAGCUUUCCAACCUGACUCUUCAGAGAGAAGCUGCUGAAAGACAUUAACAAUUCCCUCCUUCACCUCCUGCUCCUCCGACAGCCAAACCCCAUUAAUCUUGAUUCUAUCCAAUGUAUUAUUUCUUCGGUGUGCAUUUGCCAUUCGAUGGAAGUAGCCUGUGUUCCUAUCCCCUUCCUUUAACCAAAGUUCCCUGGACAAUUGCCUCCAAUGAAUUUCUUCCAGCAGCACCCACUUCUGAUAGUUUUCCUUGGCUUCUUUCUUCAGCUCAGUCUCCCUUUCUGAGAGGAUCCUCUCACUUUCCACCCCAUCCCAGUGCUCUACUUGAUGGAGAGCUAAAUUUUUGUUAGCUUCCAGCCGACCAAAAACUUCCCUAUUCCAUACUUUGAUCUUCCUCUUCAACUCCUUCAACUUUGAGGCCAGUCUGUAGCUGGCAGUCCCUCUCACCACAGUCUCCUGCCACCACCCCCGGAGUAAGUUCUUAAACCCAACAACUUUCAGCCACAUAUUUUCGAACCUAAACGGGGAUGGACCCCUCCUAAGACCUCCACACUCCAGCAAUAUGGGAAAGUGGUCUGACGUAGGUCUUGGCAGCCUGCUCUGAACCACCCCACUGAAAUGAUCAAGCCAAUUCUGCGUCACCAAGAAUCUGUCGAGCCUAGCCCACGACUGACUCCCCCUACCCCCAUUCCAAGUACACCUCCCCCCUUGCAAAGGAAGGUCAGUCAGCUCAAGCUCAUCCACCAUCUGUGCAAAUCUUCUCAUUGCCCUAGUAAUCCUUCCUUGCCUACUUCUUUCCCCUUGAAGAAGGGUGAUAUUGAAAUCCCCCCCUAAGCACCAAGGAACAUCCCACAGACCCCUAAUCGCCCCUAACUCCUCCCACAAACACUCCCUUUCGUCUCUAGAGAAAGGUCCAUACACGCCUGUGAACAUCCAACAAAAACCAUCCUCUACAUUCCGGACUCUACAGGAAAUUGAGAAUUGGCCCACCUCCACAUCUAACACAUCCAUCAUCCUUCUAUCCCAACAAACCAAAAUCCCUCCAGCAGAGCCUGAAGCUUCUAAGGCCCCCCACCCUAAGAACCUACCCGUACCCAAGCUUCUCACCACACCCUCCGACAUAGCUUGAAUUUUUGUUUCUUGGAGACAGAACACAUCCACCCUCUGACUCCUAAUCAGGGCCUUAAUCACCUUCCUUUUGGAGCUGUCAUUAGCUCCACGGACAUUCCAACUCAGAAGUCUUAACUUCAUAGGACUUCUAAUAUUUGACACCCUCUACCUUGCCUGCCACCAACCUGCCUUUUCCCUCCUUCGUAGUUGAUAGAACACUCUAGUCUUCUUAGCUCCCUCUCAAAUUUAGAUUUUUCCAGCAAAGACUUAUUAUGGAUUCUUUCCCUUCUCUUUCUAAUUUUACCCAGAAAAUCCAUGAUCUCCUUCUCCAGUCCCUCUGUGGAGAACCCCAAAAAAUUGCUGAAUCUAGCCAAAUCGCUUUCCUCCCAGCUGGCCUCCUCCCAAUCGCUACCUUCAUGGGGCUUAGGUUGGACUGGUUUCAAUUCCGCACCGCUUACUAUACUGCAACCAUUCUUUGCCUCCACCAGCUCCCACCGAGAGACCACUUUACCCUCCGUGAGACCCGAAGCAUUGAUCAUACAUAACGGCCUUUCCCCCUGACCAGCCUCACACACAGCCCCAGAAUAGUCGUAAUACUCCCUUUCAAGAGUCCGACCAUGAAAAAAACAGAGAGGGGGAGAAAGACCAGAGACUAAUGCUCCUUUAAAAUUAAGAGUAGUCCCAUACCUCGAAGCUUCCUCAAUUAAGGCCAGAUCAGUCUUCGAUUUCUCCAUAGCUUGGCUCUCUAUUUCAAAUUGCUUACGCAAAUCAUCCUUCUCCCAGAAGAUGAAAGACUCUGAUACUGGCCUUCCCACAACAAUUGGAUCUACCCUCACUAAAGAAGAGGCCUUUCCCGCUUGGGCUUCGCCCCCUGGCCCUGAGUGAUACUGACCCCUUACCAGCCCAAGAUCCUCGUUUAUUCCACUAACCUUGGUCUGCCCAUGAGCCAUCCUUGUGCACAGCCCGUAACUACUUGGCCCAGCCACAAAUGGGCCAGGCCCAAAGGCGCCAAAGGAUAAAUCAUUUGGGCUAGGGAAAGGGACCUCAACAGGGCCCUUCUUGGAAGAACCACCCAGCGCUGGCCCGCCUCCACUGGUCCGGCCCAACAUCCCAUGGCCCGGAAUAGGGCCCAAAGGACACCCUGACCCAGAUGACUGACGCUGCAUCCCAUCUGCAGACUGAAUCAUGACCUCGUAACUCGUGCCAUUACCCUCCUCCACCACGCGUUUCCCCGCGCGUGUUACUGCCUCACCCCCUACCUCGGCAUCUACUGCAACUUUCUUCCCGCUUUGAUCCGUCGGAAAAAUCCUCAGAAGCGGUCUGAUUUCCCACCACAGGGUUAGCACAUAGCACCUCUCAUCAACCCAGAUUUCCACCGCGCUAGGAAUCUCAUCACCGUUUACCUUCACCAGUAUCCGGGCCCACUGCAGCUCCUCCAGCUUCUCCGUUUGAUUGUCGACUGCCAAGAAACCCCCACAUUCCUCCCCUACUCUUUUUAGAGUGUCCCGAUCCCAAAGCGAUACCGGUAACCCCACUAUCCUCACCCAGGCCUCGCUUCUAGCUUCCCCCUCCAUCACACACCCCGUUUCGAGGCUCCAUUCUUCCACGCGUAAGGAAAUCCCCCCCACCAACACUUCCCCAGAUUUGAGCACUUUCCUAGCUUCUUCCAACCUCUCAAACUCCAACAAUAUCUUACCCCUUUCCAGUUUUGCCAACCCUAGCUUACCCCUCAAUCCCCACAUACUUGCCAUUUGGGUUCCCCACCCUUGCAGAUCGUCACCUCUCCCUGAGUUCGGAUUCCAGAAUCCAACGAGACAGUGGGUCAGCUUAUGUAAAUUACUGCUCAAUGCCUCUUUCCUAAUCUUCACCUUCGCCACUGCUUUACCUUUACUCCUUGGCGUCUGUUCCACCUCCGCGAAGGAUUUCCUCAGGUCCGGUUCCGACAACCUCACAUCCGGCUGUUGCCUUUCCUUUCUAUCCAUGACAACCCCCAAAUUGCGUAAUGUCAUCGCCAUUAGAGACCAUCCUCCCUUCACCCCUCUUCCCUUAGGGAUGAAAAUGCUAAACCUUUUACUUUCCACAUCCACCACGCCCAGACGUAGAUAACAACCCCCUUUAUUCGCAUCACGCAACAGCGAAUAGGACCUGCCGUCCUCUUCCCACCUUUUUUCCCAUUUUUCCUCACUCUUCUCUUCUAAGCAGAGGAGCAAGCACUCCAGAAACAGCCCCAGGCUCACCGGUCCCAACUUGACCCACGAGGAGAUCCCUCUUUUCCUCUCCACCAUAGUAGCUUUCAUUUUACCUUUCCUCUCCUCCACUACGACCUCAAACGAUUUCGAUUCCACACCAAAGUUGCUCACCCUCCGGCUUUUCCUAGUCCCCAACCAUGUCUCACCCUCUGUCUCCUCGCCCGCACCCACAGACUUCUCUUCCCCACCCACUCUCUCACGCUCUCUCUUUCUAACUUUCUCUCUCUCUCUCUCCUCCAUGGGGAUAGGAAGCCUGUAGAGUUUUAUGAUUCAAUACCUUAAAUCUUUGCCUCACCAAAAAAGAAAAUUAAGAGCCUGAAAUAAGAAGAAAUUUUCUACCACGUUCUGCAAUCCAGGUCAUGCAAUCUUUGAUCAUAUAAUUCUAGGGGCUAACUUUUAUAUCCUUUGUUGAAGUACUAUUCUAUUAUUUAUUCCUUUUUUUUUUUCAGGUUUAAUUUAUUAGGAUAUGUUACCCUUUUUUCUUUUCCCUAUUGGUACUUAUGUUGUUUAAAUUUAUCAUAUUUUUUUCUAUUCUAUUGAAUUUUCACUGUUUCAUUUUUAAAUUUUGUCUCUUCUUUUUUCUUGUAGAAACUUUCAGAUGACAUUCUAAAUUUGGGGUUCCUUCCAUUUGUGUCACAUUAGUGCUUUCUAGCCUUCUCCUAAAUUUUAUGGGAUUCAGUUGUCAUUGAGCAUCUAGCAUUUGAUGGAGCUGCAUAAUUUAUUUAAGAAAAAUGCUUAAUGAACAUUUGAAUCUGGAUAAUUGGAAAGUGAUUAUAAGGUGUGUGUCUUGUGACGAAGCCAAGCAUCAAGUAAAGGUUCAUGAACUUGCUUUCCUAUGAGCCUCUGAUCACCAAUAGCCUUUCCUCUAACCUAAUUUUCUCUAUCAAUCUUUAGAAAGAUGCAGACUCUGCAACGUCUGAAAAUAUACAAUCGCCUUCAUGCAGUCAGAACCACCAGUUUCAACCCCAUUGGCCACCAUCUUAAAACCUACUCCACCAAGUCCAAAAGCGCCGGUGAUGAUGAAUGGAACAAUGCCUGGGAAUCCGCUUGGCUUCCUGAAGACCUCUCUGCCAAGAACAGAGCUCCCUGGGAGACUGAUGUCAACUUCUCAUCUUCAGAGUCUGCUAUUGUUCUUCCGUCUGAUGUUGAUGCUGAGACAAAGGCAUUUGUUGAGGACAUGACUGAGAAUUGGAAUGAGAGGAGAAAAGGUCAGCAAAAGCAAGAGGAGAAGCGUGAUUCACUUUAUAAUCUUGAGAAUAUGAAGAAAGAUUACAGGUUGAAGAAGCAGAGGCUGCACGCUGGGUUGUGGAUGAAAGAGAUUGAGAAGCAGGAGGAAGCCAAGUUGGGGGAUUUGGUUGCAGGUGGCGGAGAUGACAUCGAUAGAUUGCUUGAUAGCUACUCUGAGUAUGUUUCUAUUUUCUUUUGCUCUUGCAGAUCAUUCACUAGAUUGGUGUUUUGUCUCUGCAUUGAAAUCAAAUCACUUAUUUUUAAUUUUAUGGUUGAACUCAUUAAUCACAAUAAAAGAAUUUUAAAGGGAUCUCCUGCCAAUGCAAUAUAAAUGUUAUAAAAAUUGAAACAGAAUGACUUCAAAUGCUCUCCAGAACAAGAUGGAAUGGUUUUGAUCCCCAAAAGGUCUAAGAAAUUAGGGGUUCUCAAUAUGCCAAUCAGAACUGGCUGUUCUUUUCCUAUGUAUGUCCUUUAAAUUAUAUAUUGUAGGUUAAUAAUUAGGAUGCAAACUUCUACUAGUUUAUGAUGGUGAUCUAUCAAAUUAUUGUGCUGGAAUUUCUGGGAAGAAUUGAAAGCUACUGAGUUUUUCUCUGUCAUCAAUGAUUAGCCAUGAUAAAUUGCUUGAACAGGAACACUUUUUUUUUCUUUUUCUUUUUUUAAUAUUAUCACAGUUAUAACAUCUUUGUCAUUUGUUGGAUGUGGCAAAUUUGGAAUUGGAAUUAUAAGAAUAAACUUGUUGGGCACAAUGACUUCAAUGACACAGGAUUUUUGAUACUGGCAACAAUGAUUUCAAUAACUCGAAUAUUCCGAGCUCUUCUGAGUUUAAAAACAAGCCUGAUGGUUGGGAAACAAUAUCAAAGGCCCAAGAUGGGAAUAUAUGGGAGAUGUCACAGAGGGAAGAAGAUAUCCUCCUUCAAGAGUUCGAUCGUAGAAUCGCAUACUGCAAAUUCCAGGUGCGUCAAUAUCAUUGCUUACAUUUUUCCAGUUGUGUGGUCAAUGAUUUUCAUCCAGUUUCUUACGAGAAAAUUGAUUAGUUAGUUACAAGUGUUAUGUCAACAAAGGAUACAGACACCCAUAAUGUUCACAUUGCUUGCUGAGGAUCCAUCCCGCCCAUGUUGAGUGGGACACAUCGCCUGAUUAUUCUGGCCAUAUUACAUGUUAUUUGUUCUUUGGUCUUGAUAAUCUCUUUUUAGGUGUGAUAAGGUGCCCAGAAUAUGAUUACUAGAGCAAUGACAUGUGUAUGCUAGUCUGAAAAGAUUCAGAAACCAUAGUUUUAUCUGUUAAAAAAACUAUCCCCAAUUAUUGAAAGAAUUUUUAUUGAAGUGGAUCAUCAUUCACCCAUGCAGUUUCAUUGGUUUUUCUGAAUUUCAGAAACUGUGUAAUGUUCCCUAUAUGUUAUAUGUUAUAGAUCUUUUAGGGUUGCAUGUAGAGACCAAGCUUCUCAAAUCUGAAUGUUCUGCUAAGAUCCAUUCAAUGCAGGACAAUAUUCUGGGAGCGUGAUUAUGGACUUUUGGAUUUAUAACUUGACGAAGAUAUGGUUUUUACUGAUUUGAUUACCAAAAAAUUUGUACCCCACCAUUGUCACUGCUGGUUUUCUUUCAUAAAUGUUACAUUAAUUGAGAUUGGUAUGCAGAUAGCGAGUUUCAUUAAGACGCACAUAUUCAGCCGGAGGAGACCCAUCGAUGGAUGGAAAUACAUGAUAGAGGAGCUGGGGCCAAAUGCGAGGAAAGGGAAGGGCAGUGUUUCAAGGUUACCCAGCAUAUCAGAUGCAUCAACUCAACCUUUCAAGGAGGAGAGGACCACCAGCGGCAGUCUCACCUCCUUUAAGGGGAGGUAGCUUGUCUCCAACUUUUUCCCGGUAAUCCUCUCUUGUAUUUAUGGAUGACCACACUUAAAAAUUUUGACGACUUAUAUAUCAGUUAAGGCUAGUUUUUACAUAUCAAUUUUAUAACUUUAUAUUAAGAACAAAAUUUAAUGGCACGCAUAUUGUGCGUAUCAGGCUUAGUUUUAAUGAAUUUUAACGGGAAAUGAAGAAUAAGCUUGAUUUUAUUUGCAUUUUUCAUUUUUAAGUUAAUGGGUCAAUGUUGGGUUUUUCCUCGAUUUGACUUAUACAUAAUUGAUGGUUUAAUAUGAUCAUAGUUUUAAAAGGCGUAAGGCGCAUAUAAGGGCCAAAAGUAUGCUAUAGCUUAAGCGCAAGGCGCAACACAAGGUGCGUGCUAAAGUGAAGUGAAACAUAAUCUAAGUAUGCAUAUCAAUUUUAUAAAAUAUGAUUCAAAAUUUAAUCAGGUCAGUAAAAAAUUUAAGAUUUUAAAUAUUUAAAAAUGAUAUUUAAAAAAAAAAGUAAUAAAAUUAUAUAAAUUUUAAUAUAUAAUUAAAAAUUUCAAGAAUAAGAGUGUUUAAAAAUAAAAAGUAAAACAGAUAAGGGGAGUCCAUGUCUUGCCAAGCAAGACAUUAUAGGUAUGAAGUGGUUGGGUUUUGAGCCCAAGGGCACUUUAUGCACGCGUUUUAAAACUUUGAAUAUGAUAUCAUAAUAUUAAUAUUUAGAAUGAUGUCUUAUCAAAAAAAAAAUAUAUUAAUAUUUAGAAUGAUGUGAUUUGUAGCCUCACUAGGUGUUUUGUUUACCUUAUAUAUCAGGACUUCAUAUAUAUUGUGAGCUACUUCUUUGAAGAUCUAGACUAUCAAUAAUAUGUAAAUGGUAAAGGAUAUUUGUUAAAUUAUUAACAUAUUUUAUGCAUUUCUAAAAACCAUAAAGCUAAAAAAAUGUUUUCCUAUGUUACUUUCAUUUUUUAUUUUUGAAAAAUGGAAAAAAAAGUUACAUGAUGUUAAUUUAGUCAUUCUUCAUAUGAUAAAUUAAAUAAAUAAAAAAUGAAACUUGUGCUUUGGGCUUCCCAUCCCAACAUAAUAGCAUUUUCAAAACCCAACAAUGGGAAAUAUGAAAAUCAUCUUUUAAUAUGAAAAGUAUUAUUAUUUUUGUGUACUUUGAGCCCGUUCCAUCUUUUGUGCCUAUAUUGUCCCUUCGUUUUUCCAACUUAGCAUCAUCCCAACCUCCAUGUCACACUCUCUCAUUUGGAAACUUUUUCUCAUCUUUCUUCACUUUCGACAAUCCAAAAUUUCUCUCAUUUCAAUUCAGAAACCCAAAUCCAAAACUUCAAGGCGGUGUCAAAACGCGCCUUGGAAGUUCAAGAGAAUCUGAGAAAAACGAAAAUGAGCUUAGGUGGAGAGAGUAAGUACCUAAAAAUCGAAACCCUAACCUCCAAAUGCGUCUUAAACUCGCAAAUCUGUGUCCAAGAUAGCUCUAUCAACAAGAAAUAGUACCAAACGUCUCUCAUAGACCAUUGAAUCGACAAAACCCUUGAAGAACCAGAGGAAACAAUGUAGAAAAUGAAGCACAUGAGACUCUCAAAGUAUUGGGUCUUGACAAAUCGGUCAAUUGGUCCUUAACCGGGAAGAAAAGUCUACCGGAAGAGAGAGAAUGUUUGUUCCAUCUUUCGAUCGGACAUCGAUCGGUUACCUUUGGUAUUUUGGUGAGUGUACCUUAGGUACUACUUUAAUAACCCUUAGGUACUAGCUUAAUCUACUUUAAGUAUUACCUUAACCGACCUUAGGUAUUAUCUUAGUUAAACUUACGUACUACUUGUGUGAAAAACUCAGAACUUCAUUUGUAGAUAUUACUUACUUCAUUUAUGACCUUUAGAGCAUGCUAAUAUGUAAUUAAUUAGUGUGGUCAAUUGGUUCACCUUUGGUAUUUUGGUGAUUGUACCUUAGGUAUUACCUUAAUAAGCCUUAGGUACUAUCUUAAUCUACCUUAAGUAUUGGCUUAAUCGACCUUAGUAAAACUUGGAUACUACCUACCACACUAAUUAAUCACAUAAUAACAUGUUCUAAGGGUCACAAAUGACGUAAGUAAAAUCCACAAAUAAAGUUUCGAUGCUUCAUAUAGGUAGUACCCAAGUUUUACUAAGGUAGUACCUAAGGUUGGUUAAGGUAGUACCUAAGAUAGAUUAAGAUAGUACUUAAGAGCUAUUAAGAUAAUACCUAAGGUAUAGUCAUCAAAAUACCAAAGGUGAACCAAUUGACCACACUAAUUAAUCAUAUGAUGACAUGCUCUAAGGGUCAUAAAUGAAGUAAGUAAUAUCCACAAAUGAAGUUCCGAGGCUUCAGAUAAGUAGUACCCAAGUUUUACUAAGGUAGUAUCUAAGGUCGGUUAAGGUAGUACCUAAGAUAGAUUAAAGUAGUAUGUAAGGGCUAUUAUGGUAGUACUUAAGGUUUAGUCACCAAAAUACCAAAGGUGAACCAAUUGACCACACUAAUUAAUCACAUAAUGACAUGCUCUAAGGGUCACAAAUGAAGUAAGCAAUAUCCACAAAUGAAGUUUUGAGCCUUCACACAAGUAGUACACAAGUUUAACUAAGGUAAUAUCUAAAGUAGAUUAAGCUAGUACCUAAGGGAUAUUAAGGUAGUACCUAAGGUACAGUCACCAAAAUACCAAAGGUGAUUAGUCGAAGUUCGAUCGAAAGAUGGAACAAACAUUCUCUCUCUUCUAGUAGACUUUUCUUCUCGGUCGAGGACUGGUCAAGGAUCGGUCGAUUGGUUCGUUGGGACCCAAUACUUCGAGAGUCUCUUGCGCUUCAUUUUUCUGCACCGUUUCCUCUGGUUCUUCAAGGGCUUUGUCGAUUCAGUGGUCUAGUUGAGAUGUUUGGUGCUAUUUCUUGCCGAUAGAACUAUCUUGGACACAGAUUUGCGAGUUUAGGACUCAUUUGGAGGUUAGGGUUUCGAUUUUUGGGUACCUACUCUGUCCACUUGAUCUCCAUUUCGUUUUUCUCGAAUUCUCUUGGACUUUCAAGGCGCGUUUUGACACUGCCUUGGAGUUUUGGAUUUGGGUUUUUGAACUUAAAUGAGAGAAAUUUUGGGUUGUCGGGAGUGAAGAAAGAUGAGAGAAAGCUUCCAAAUGAGAGAGAGUGACAUGGAGGUUGAGAUGAUGUUGAGGAUAUUGAGCUGGAGAAAUGGAGGGGCAAUUUGGGCACAGAAGAUGGAGCCGACUCAAAGUGCACAAAAAUGAUAAUACUUUUCAAAUUAAAAGUUGAUUAUCAUAUUUCCCAUUAUUGGGUUUCGAAAAUGCUAUUAUGUUGGGAUGGGAAGCUCAAAGCAUAACUUUCCCAAAAAAAGAAAAAAAAUGAAAUGAUUGUCUUUUAAUCAAGGCGAGAGACAUUAUAUAUAAUGCUCUCUAUUUUAUUUUUUGUUAAACAAAUAGGUUCAAAACCAUGCCAUGCUUAAUACAAAAUAUUUAAUAAUUUAAAAUUCAAAAUCGAUUCAACUAGUAUUAGAAAGUUAUGUAGCUCAAAACCGAUCGAAUUAAUAGUAAAAAGUCACUGACCUAAAUCCAUUUUGAAUGAAUGUUUAUUUCUUUUAUAUAAUCAUAAUUUUGUGAUUUUUUUCUCUAGGUAAAUAAGCUUCAAAUUAAACAAAACAUAUUAUGUUGGAUUUACUAAUAAAUCUAGUAAUUUUUAAAAAUAAUUUAAAACUCAAAUAAUGAACCAAUAAAUACAAAAAAUUUAUGGAUGCAAAAAUUGGUACUCUAUUGCUUUUCUUUUUCAUCAAAUCAUUUUUUUUCUCACUAGUGAAUUUCAAAUUAAGCGAGACUUUUAUUGGAUUUAUUAAUACAAUAAGUAAUUUAAAACUAAAAAGUAUAUAUAAUCGCAAAAAAAGUAAUAGACAAUUAAAUGAAUAACUGCAAAAUAAAAGAUUCAUUAAAUAUAUAGUUAUGACUUUAUUGUUUCUCUUGUACACAUAAUUAUAUUUUACGAAUUUUCUCAAUAAAUUGAUUUUAAAUUAAAUGAAACACAUAAAAAAAAAUUAAUGAAUUAAAUUAUCAUUAAAUUGUAGUUCAACAAAUUUUGGGUUUGAUAAGGGAUAGGUUCUACCCAUCAAACAUGUGGCAUGCAACUCAACUCAAAAGGUUAUAUGUGAUGAAAUUUAAUUGCUAUGAAAUUAAGUCUUCAAAAAGGAAUCAAAUCAAACAAUUAAAGUACUAAUUAACCCAUCAAAUUUUGGGAAUUUUAAAUUGAAUUCUUUAACUUUACUUAUAAAUACGUGUGACUUCUUUUGAGGGGAGGAGAGUGAAAACAACUUCAUAUGGGAAAAAAGAUUUUACAAAGAAAAAAAGACUUCAUAAAAUUUUCUUACAAGUUGGAGAAAUCAAAGUGCCAUACAUAUGUUUUUUGUCUUUCAAUAAAGUCAUUUAGAAAUAAAUUAUUCUAAACCUUCUAUUAAUCUCCAAAACAAAGAAAGUGUUUUCAUUGUUGUCUUUCAAAUUGUGAUCAAAGUAAAUGAUUUAGAGAAAAAAAAAUUCUUUUGUAAAAAAUAUUAUCACUAAAUCUAUACUCCACAAUUAUUUUUAGUACAAAAGUUUUAUUUGUAUAAUUUUUUUCUAUUUUUUCCUUGUUUUGUAAGACUUUACAAAAUUUAUGCACACAAACACAUAAUUAACACUUUAAAUUCUUUAAUAAAUAUUUUAAUUUUUAAAAAUAAUUUGAAAUUCAAACAACUAAAUAAUUAAUUAUAAUCCAACUAAAAAAUUUCAGAAAAACUUAGCUUAUGUAUACCUUAAAAAAUUAAACUUUAUUUGUUUUUAAGUUCAUUUAGAAUACAAUAUUAAUAGUAAUUAUUAAAUUUAAAUUAUUGUUUUUUAACAAAAUAAAUCAAUUAUGCUUACGAGGAUUUUAAUAUUUAUAUUUUUUAUAAUAUUUUUUAAAAAUAUAUAAUUUAUGAUUUUAUUAUAUAUUACUAUUCAUAUUUUAUUAAAAAUAUACAUUUUUAAUAAAAAAAUUAUUUUUAUUUUAAUAAGAUAUGAAUUAAAUUUAGUUUAUAUUACAUAAAUUGAAUUUACAAUUUUUUAUAAAAUCAAAAUAAAAAAUUAUUUUCAAAAACCACUUAUCCAAUAGUUUUUUAUUUUUUGAAAAAUGUUUUAAAAUAUCUCUUCUUAAAGACCCUUUGAAAUCUUAUUUAUAAACAAGAUUUCAUCUUCAUAGAAGUAUUUUUAAUUCCAUUCUCAUACUUACUUGGAUUAUCUAAACAUGACAAUGAAGAAAAAAAAGAAUAGGAUAUAUAUUCUUAAUCUUUAUUCUCGAAUAUCAAACAUGACCUUAAGGUGGUUGAAACACUAUUUGUGGUCAAACACAUUUCAACUAUGAAUUUUUUUUUUUACUAGCCUUAAACUCUUAAUUAAAAUCAUUGAAAAAAAAAUGUUUUUUUAACAAAUUGUUUUGAUUUAAAAAAAAUAAAAAUCGAGAGACAAAUUUUACUUUCAAGCCAAACGGAGGGAUACUUUACGGUGACGUGCCACGUGAGACGGCAAUGGAUAAAAAAUCCAACGGCCCAAUUUAUAUGGGAAAAGCCGCAGUUAAAUAAGAGUGAAGAAGUGCAAAACGACAGCGUAUGCCGGAAAACGACGCCGUAGCAUCCUCCUCUGUGGAACGACCGGCAUAGCCAUGACUUCGGAGGGCGAGGGCCAAGCCGCCACCGUUCCUAAGAGGCGCCUGUCCUGCAAGACCUGCAUCGACAAUCUCUGGUUUUGUUACUGUAUGUUUUUUUAUUUUUUAUUUCCAUAAAUCGUCUCACUUCAGUUCGUUCUUUACUUUCAUUUCCACAUCAACAUUUGUAUUCACAGUUGAAAAUUUCGAUCCUGUUUUCUUUAAUUGAUUUGUGAGAAUGAUAGGGUUUUGGUAAUGUUGGGUUUUUGCUAUUAUUGGAAGUCAUGUAUGGAAUUGAACAAUUUAGAAUGGGUGAAAUCUUAGGAUUGCAAUCGAAGAAUUUGAUACUUCUUUUGUUAAAUUUUGAUGUUGAAUGUUAUUCUGUUGGUUUCAGAAUCAAGAGUGGAGUAUUUUAGUGAUGCAGUUGUUGCUGUUGUUGUUUGUAUUUUAGGCUUCUCCCAAAUUGGGUGGAUUGGGGCAUUAAUAUUUGCAUGAAAUCCUGCAAUGUAGAAGAUUAAGGUUUGUUUUUUGGUGUUUUGGGUUUAGGAAACUUUGAUUUUGGUGGUUUGAAUUUAUUAAUGAAGAAGAAAAAUGUGUAGAAAUUGCUCAGUACAUGUGGUUUGACCUGAGAUAUAGGAAAAACAUCAGAUUGGAGGGGAACAGAAGAAGUUUGCAAUAUAGGGGUCUCAAAAGAAAAAUUCUGCUCGGUACAAUGCUUUGAGUCUUUUGAAUUCAGAGUGGAGAUGCAGAUGUCUUGGAACAUUACAUUGCCCCUCUUUCCAGAGUGUCUGAAAAAUCACGUGGCACCAUCUUCUCCUCGUGUUUAACCCUAAUUAAAAGACAACUUUUGGAACACUGUAAGGAGAGGAAAAAAAAGGUGAAGAGUCUUGAAGCUCCUCUCUGUGUGUAGAAAUAAGUAUUGUACCCAUUUGGGAUCCUAAAAUUUGGGAUUCAAUCAAGUGGGAAUUGGACUUAAAAUUCAACUCAAUUGCUUGUUUCACCUAUUUAGGUUCUGUUGGAUCUUGGAUGCACCAAUUUUGUCUUCUAGUUUGCUCCAUCUAAUGCUAUAUUUUCUGUUAAAUUGGAGACUAUUCAUUGCCAGCUAACAUCACAUACUCUUGGACUCAUCAUCCUGUGCAGUAUUUAGGCUUACAUCAUUCUUCCAUAAGAAACAAUAUGCAUGAGCCAUAUAUUCUCAUAGAUUCUUUGGUCCUAGGCUGUUUGCAGGUCUAAUCUUCCCUCUAAUAAUAAGUAUGUUGUGGUUCUUGUGGAAACCCUAGCUCUUGUACCAGAAAUAAAGCAGCAUGAAUGACUACUUUUAGCAAUUCUUAAUAUAAACCUUAAGGCAAUGCACAAUUAAACUACAAAGGAGUUAGAAACUGGAUGAUCUAUUGCCAAUCACUGCCAUUAUCUCCAAAAUAACAACUAAAAAUAAUGAAAAUUUGAGAAUUGAAAGAGUGAAGAGAGUAGGUUUUGUACCCAAAAUUGUUCCCAGAUCCAACUAAAUAAUGCUCCAACGCAAAUCAUUUCCUCAAAUUAUUCCAUAAAUAACACUUUUGCAGCCUUUUGUAAGGUGAACCCUACCUCUCCAGAAAGGGAGAAAAAAAUUACGGGGUACCUGGAAAUCACUAAGAAGAUAAGUCAUGACUGUACAAGGAAAACAUGUUUCGCCUGCUUUUCUUAUUUUGCAUGCUUUUAUGGUUUUUUGUUUCGUGUCCUUAACCACCGUUUUCGGGUUUGUCUUUAUUAGUUAAUCUUUAAAGUAGUUAGCUCUGUCAAGCCCCUUGAUUGGAUAUAGACUUACUGUGGACUUUUAGCAUUAUUAUGUGUGGAUGCAUAUUUCAAGUCAUAUACAUGUAUUAAUGCCUUAUGGUCAAUCCCUGAUCUCACAAGUAACUAGAAUUAUUUUGUAAAAACCAAUUUUGAUGGUGUUAUGAUGGUACACUUGUAAUUUAUAUAGGCAGUUGACAAGUUCAUAGUAAUUGAAGGUUUAUUAGAUUUUGCUAUAAAGGGACAAGGCAUCUUCAUAUAUGUCCUCUAUGAAAUAGAGUUACUGGUCAAAGUAAAUACUCUUUCCUCCUUCGGGAAGAAGGAUACAUACCGAUCAGUUGGAGAAUAUUCAUCUCCUAUAAUCUGAAGUGGUAAUUGAAAUGUAAUGGAAUGCCUGACAAGGUAGAAUGGGAACAAGCUAGCAAGUUUGGAAUUUAAUGCAUGUACAUGAAAGAGAGUGGUUGCUAUAUGUAUCAAGGAAUGUGAAAAGCCUUGGCAGUUGCAGCAAUUUGUAGAACUAAAUCAAAGAUACUACAAUUUUAUUGAAGCACAUCCAAUUGUGCUGUCUAGUUACCUUUGCAUUUUCUGAAUAUUCAGUUGAUAUUACUUUGUAAAAGAAUAUCCCCCUUGGUAUUCUCUUGAGGAACUUCCAUUUGUGUUAUAGUGUUUUUAAAUGGGGAACCACAUUCAAGAGCAUUUUGGUAAGAAAAACAGGGGAUGUGUGCAGUGUGUUGGCCUGUUCUGGUUUUUUGGAAUGCUGUGCUGUUCUUUUGACUGUUUCUAACUCUCUUUUCUGGCCUAUUAUUUGUUCCCUUGCAUAUGCUUUUAGCAAUAAAGUUGAUGAGCAUUUAUCUUCUGACAGCUCCAGUUCAUCAAAUGCAGCAGUAUUAUCGGCUCGGUGUUCUUGAUAACUGUGCUGAUAAAUGGAGUUCUCUUCUUGACUGUUUAAGUCUGAAAACAAAACGAUCUUCUGAGGUGCAGGUGGGUUGUUAAACUUAAUUUACUUUAAAACUUAGGUUUUUUUUUUUUUUUUUUCUCUUUCUCUCAUUGUGUUAAGGCUACCUACAAUCUUAGAAAUAAGGAAUCUGGAAAAAUGUUUGCAUGGAUUCAUUAUCUUGAUCCAAGUCUUAAUUCUUGGUUGUUUAGGUUUGAAAACAAU